GUUUUUUUUUGUCCGGACGCACUUCCUUGCGUGCGAACAUGUAGCUGGUGGGUCCCAGCAGUCAGGGGGGCGAAUUUUUUUUGCCCAGACGCACUUCCUUGCGUGCGAAGGUGUAGCUGGUGGGUCCCAGCAGUCAGGGGGGAAACGAUUUUUUCGUGAAAUACGGUGGCCCGUCCGGUGGGUCCUUGCUGUCAGGUGGAGGAAUCAUUAUUUUCCGCAUAAUAAGGAGGCACUUCCUUGCUGCCGCCGUGGACCCAGCUGUCAGCCUCUCCACGUACAGUCCAUGUUCGAUGGAAGUCGUUCCAUGACCAUGUUGACCACGCCGCACCGAGAGCACCAGGGCGGUGGACGACGGCGAGGCCUAGGAAGGGGACGACGCGGAGCCGGUGAAGACGCGGCAGUGGAUGCCCACGCGGAGAGGAGUAUGAGGGUUCACUCGUUCGGCUGUGGUGUGAGGCUGCCGUCGCCGCAGCGCCUGGCCAGCGGUGGGAAUAGUAGGGGGCGGUGAGGCCUCCGCGGCAGCACAGCCGGCCACGGGAGGCAGGAGCAGGCGGCACGACCGGCGCUGCUUUGGGCGGCUGGAGCAAGAAGACCAGAGGUUGAAGAAGCACUACGGCCGUUGGAUGGACAUCGUACGUUCACUGGAGCUAGAAUCGUUCAUAUUGACUAAGUUGACAAAGCCCUCCGUCCCCGUCAACUUAGUAGGCCCACAAGUCAGCCUCCCACCAAGGUGGGUCCCAGCUAGCAGGGGAGUAUUCAUUUUUUUGUGCGUAAUAAGGAGGCACUUUCGGUGGGUCCGAGCUGACAGCGGGGGGAACUUUUUUUUGCGAAAUACGGUGGCCCGUCCGGUGGGUCCUAGCAGUAAGGGGGGAAAUGUUUUUUUCGCGAAAUAAGGUGGCCCGUCCGGUGGGUCCCCGCUGUCAGGUGGAGGAAUAAUUAUUUUGCGCGUAAUAAGGAGGCACUUCCUUGCGGCCGCCAUGGACCCAGCUGUCAGCCUCUCCACGUACAGUACUCUUCCGAUGGAAGUCAGUCGUUGACCAUGUUGACCACGCCGCACCCAAACCACCAGGGCGGUGGACGACGGCGAGGCCUAGGAAGGGGACGAGGCGGAGCCGGGGAAGAUGCAGGAGUGGAAGCCCGCGCGGAGAGGAGUACGAGGGUUCACUGGUUCGGCUGCGGUGUGAGGCUGUCGUCGCCGCAGAACAACAGGGGGUGUGGGUGAGUGGAGGGAUGGCCUGGCCAGCGGUGGGAGUAGUAUGGGGGCGGUGAGGCCUCCACGGCAGCACAGCCGGCCACGGGAGGCAGGAGCAGGCGGCACGACCGGCGCUGCUUUGGCCGGCUGGACCAAGAAGACCGGAGGUUGAAGAAGCACUACGGCCGUUGGAUGGACAUCGUACGGUCACAGAAGCUAGAAUCGUUUAUAUUGACUAAGUUGACAAAGCCCUUGGUACGCUCCAACUUAGUAGGCCCACAGGCCAGCCUCCGAAACGGUGCGCCCCAGAUGUCAGGGGGAGGAAUCAUUUUUUGGGCGGCCGAAGCUAAGAAUAUCCGAGAUUGAAGAAGAAGCACGACAUCCGUUGGAUAGACAUCCAACGGCCACUGCUGCUAGAACCGUGUGUUGACUAUAAUAAGUUGACAAAGCCUUGCAGACGCGUCAACUUAUUUUUUUUAGGGGACGCAUCACUUAGUAGGCCCACAAGUGUGUGGCAGAGAACUUAUAGCCCAUUUGUGUUUUGAAGAAUGUACAGCCCAUUUUUGAAUUCUAAUGGAAUUUACAACAGCCCAUUUACAGUUUGUUAAAAGCACAGCCCAUUUUCUAGCUAGGACAACGAUUAAUAAUUUCAACCAACCGUUGAAGACAGAAUUCAAUAAAAUUUCCCACAUUUUGAUGGGAUCCGAAAUAUUUUUAUCCCGAAAUUUAUAAUCAGAUUAAAUAUAAAUUUGUAUUACGUAAAAAUCCAACGAAACAUUGCGCGCGCAACAAUGAAAAUUUAAGAUUUUCAAAAUCCAUAAAUAAUAUUUUAUAAACUAAUUUCGUGUUUGGUGCAUUUUUUAUAGUUACUGCCCAGUUUUUAUAAUUACAUCCCAUUUAUUAUUUUUUAAAGCCCAUUUUCCUGUUAAGCCUAAUGCAUCCCUCCUAGGAAAGAUUUGCAGCCCAGCGGGGCGGAGAAUAACAAGUUGACCUUGCCUGGGUAUUCCUCAAAAAGACGUAUAGCUGGGAUAGCCAUUUUCAUCUUGAAAAAAUUAGUAUCUGGGCUGGAUAUGUGGCCUGGGCUAGACGGGCCACAGCCCGCCCAGUUAAUACCCUGCUCUCCUCUGAACAACAACGAAAUCAUCGCCAAGAAAAACUCUGCAGUGCUCACGCCUCAAAAACACAAAUACUGCUCGAGCUGCUUGGUCCCAGCUGUCGGCCGCACCUUGUGCAAUUCUCUCAUUUAUAUUGACUACAUAGGUUGACAAUGGUGUGGGAUCGUGAUGUCAGGAAACCAGGAGAAAGCAAAAAAAUAUAGUUGUACAUAAUAAGGAGGCACUUGCGUACGUACGGCUAUGGCCCUAGUGGGUCCCUAGUGUCAUCCAGUCAAAAUAAAGUCAUCUCCUGAAUCCUCAUGUUCGUUGACGAUGUUAACAAUGCUCGGCGCCACGGCGAGUGCAACAACUCGAAGGACAAUGGAGAGGGACUCGCGGGCCCUACGGAUGGUCUGAUAUAGCGCCCGCUGCUCAUUCAGGAAGCCAGGAUCAUCGGACACCUAUGAGCACCUUCGAGAAACUGAGACGGCAUGAAACGGUAAGGCCGCGCUUGGGAGCUCUGGUUUAUUUCAAACCUGUAUUAACAUACAAGUGUAAUUUACUCGUCAUCGGAAACAACGCAUAAAAUAUAGGCGUAAUGAAACCGAGGGCCCGAGGUCUGUAAGUAAAAUCGGCGGGUUACGCGUGUAAUUUGAGAGACCAGUGUAUAUUUUACGAGCACUGCUAUAUGGACGACAUUACCAGACGAUACAUGCACGAUGUGCGUAUCAUGCCAUCCAUGGGCAAGGCUGAAACAGCAGCUAACGGCUGGAUUAGCAAUCGUCCGAGUGUCGUUCAGCGUUUUUAUCGUGUGUGAAGUACUUCCGAUAUUUUACUAGUCGAAAUCGACCAACCAAGCGCCUUCGCCCGAGACCAUCUGCUUUAAUUUACAAGCGUCAGUUUUACAAGCGGUCUUGGUUAGAAAACAACGAUCCAAUCACGGCCUAAUAUCAUGAGUUGGUCGGAAGAUCAUAUGGUUUCACGUCUAACCUACCCGACUUGUCAUAUAGGCUAUGAAUGAAACAUCAGAUGAUGAACUUCUUAAGCACGGAAACAACAGAAGAGGAUGAUCUUCUUAACAAGCAAAUCACUGGCAUUAGAUCGACAUGCAAAACAAUACGAAGCAUUAUUCUCAGGAGGCACGGUGAACAGCUCGUGAUGCCGCAUGCCACAACAUUCCAAGCUCAACUUUGCAAUCAAACACAAGGCCUGGCAUUACAUAGACAAUAUUCAGAACAAACUCUUAACACAGGUAUAUCUCAGCAGAGUAACUAUUUACUUCUAAACUGAACACGGGAAUAGGAAAAAACACUCGACGGUGCUCACAGCAAGGGCGUCCCACUCAAAAAUAUCAAAUGCAUGUCUUCUGGCUAACAUCAAUGAGCAAAUUUUGAUAAGGUUUUCCAAUUACAAUAUAUUAAACUAACGUCUUCUUGCUAACAUCGAUGAUUAAACUUUCACAAGCUUUUCCCAUUCAAAAUAUGUAAUGCCUAUGAUCGUGGAGUCCUGUCGUAGCUUCUUGUACUUGUUUGGGCACUUUUUGCCCAGGGCACUCCACGUGUUGUUAAAUUGCCAAUGGUCUCUGCAGACUAGUCAUGUCACUGGUGUCUAAUAAUACUCUGUAAAGCUUCUCGGUCAUUCCUUCUGUAAUGUAGUGCAAACAGUGACUGCUUCUUUCUGCAAAGUGGAACGACCAACUGGACCCAGUAAUGCAGUAGUUUGCCUUGGACACAUUGGCUCCUUUUGUGCAGUUCAACUAAAAUCGAAGUCGGAAUAAAACCGAGCUUUAAUUUUGAUAUCCCUGUAAGCAACAAUAGGUAUAAGGGAAACAAUUACUGAGAAAUAGCGGUUGAUGACUUGUACUCUCAGAAGAAAAGCAUCUACUGAUCUACUUUAUCUUAAUGGGAAACAAAGCAGGAGAGUAGCAAUUCUCCAUCAGUGUGAACAUUCAUAUUGACUGAGACAUUAUCUUAACAAUGCCUUGUUUCAACAUGUAUAAGGACGACAAAGCAGAAAAGUACCAUUCCUAAAACAAUGCAACUGAUUCAUUUUAACAGAGACAUCAUCUUAACAAUACCUUGGUUAAACAUGUAGAAAAAACUACAAAGCAGGAUAGUACCAUUCCUAACAAGUGUUGCAGUUUUGAACUAAGAUUCAGUAGUUAAUUAAUUCUGAGAGUGGCAUUGCUUAAUUUUACUAGCGGCAUUAGAUUAACGAAAAGCAUAAACAGUUCCAGGGGAGAGUGGGCGCAACAACAGUAUGUGCUUCCAUCUACUUAUAAAGGGGGUGAUGCAGAGUUUGUUGUAACAAAGCAACAAGCAUCAUGUCUGGGUUGGUCCCAUUUUUGUUCACUACUUAAUGGGAAAAGACAGCAAUACAAUAGCUUCAAUUCAACAUUUAUUUAAAACAGUACCAAUACAAGUAGCACAACAUCUCAAAGCACACUGCACAAUCAUGUGGAUGAAGGCCUGUACAGACCUUUCAUGAGACGGACAAGAUAAAAUACGAAUCUGCCAACACGAAUAGGAAAUCCAAUCUCGUUUUGUGCAGUUGCACUGAAAUCAAGCAAAGUGUUUCGCAUAGCGAAGCAAAAUGUCGCAAUAGCAACAAGUUGAAUAGAUAUCCCUGUUUAAACAGAGGCAAAAAAGGAAUCAAUUACUGGCUAAUAAAGGAGGAUGAAACAUGCGGCCACAAAAAUGGUAAUCCCGCCAAUCCCUAACAAGUGUUGCAGUUUUGAAAUAAGAUUCAGUAGUUAAUUCUGAGAGUGGCAUCAAUUACUGGCUUAUAAAGGGGGUGAUGCUGAAUUUGUUGUAACAAAGCAACAAGCAUCAUGUCUGGGUUGGUCCCAUUUUUGUUCACCACUUAAUGGGAAAAGACAGCAAUACAAUAGCUUCAAUUCAACAUUUAUUUAAAACAGUGCCAAAACAAGUAGCACAACAUCUCAAAGCACACUGCACAUCAUGUGGUUGAGACCAAGAUUUGAAACAACUCGCCACGAAGACUGGAAACAAAUCUCGAUCUCCUUUUGUGUAGUUCCACCAAAAUUAAGCAAAGUCACCGGUGUGACAUUCAAGUUGAACUGCACAAAACACUCUUAAAACAUAAGUGUUUCUAGUAGCGAAGCAAAAUGUCGCAAUAGCAACAAGUUGAAUCGAUAGCCCUGUUUUAACAGAGGCAAAAAAGGAAACAAUUACUUGCCGAUAAAGGAGGAUGAAAUAAACGGUGACAGAAAGAAGCAUCUAACUUAUCUUGGAUGGAAAACAAAGUAGGACAAUAGCAUUUCUAAAACGGUUGCAUUAAUUCAUAUUAACAGAGACAUUCUCUUGAAACAACAUUCGUUAAAAAUGUAAUUUACUUUUAACAGUGGCAUUGCUUCAAUUUUUCGGCGGCAUUCUUAGAUUAACAACAGCAAAAUAGCUGUAUGGGACAUGCCAGCACCAUGUGCGUCCACACGUAUAAAUGAGUGAUGCAGAGUAUGUAGCCAAGCAGCAUAUAUGCGCUGGUCCCAUAUUUGUUCUCUUUGAACCUUCUUCCUAUGUGAGGGCAGCAAAUCUAGUCCUGCACAAACUACUCGACCCCCCAGUUUCUUUCCCUUUUCAACAAAGAGAUCGGUUCCUUACAGAUGUGUGUACUGGGUUACCCCCUUUUUCCCUUUUCGACCUACAAAGCGGCUAGAUAGCCAGUCUAUACUACUUUCCGCCCCUCCUUUCCUCAUUGAACCACGUCCUAGAUUCUUGCUCCAGCCCACCGCACCCUUCUUUCCUCUUUGAACCAAGACCUAGAUUCGACUACAGAUCGAAAAAGAUCCACAUGCAGCUAGUGCAACAACGGUUUCAAAGAAACUUAUACCUUAGGGUCGUCGGGAUGUGGCAAGGCGUGCGGCGGGAGGCCGGAUCUGCCCACACUAUGUACGGCAGCGAGGAAGAAGGGGUCGGUGGCCCUCCCGCACAGGCGCUGGGUGAAAGAGAACAGCGCAGCCGGCAGUGGAUUGCCUCCCUCGCCGAAGGCGAUAGAGUGAACGCUGCACCUCCUCCCCUUCCCGGUGCGACGGGAUACGGACGCCUCCUUCACCAGCUGUGAGGGGGGAGAGAGAGACAAGAGGCCAACGCAGUCUUGUUUAGAUCUGGUGAAGAGAGGGUGAGAGACUGUGAAUAUAGCAAACCCUAGCAAAUGAACGCUGAGCCUCCAGCGUGUAACAUAUAUGGAGAGGGUGAGAGAGCGAGAUGCAAGAAACUCUAUCAAACAAGAGGCUAUAAUGGAGUAAAAAAAUCUCUCCAUAGCAGUGGUUUUAAAAAGAAUACGCAUGUUCCCGGAAAAAAGAAACGAAAACUGGCGGACAAUUUUUUAAGGGUCUGUCUAGGACACAUCUAGAUGUGACAUAGUUAUGUCACAUCUAAGUUGAUGUCCACUCUGUUUGUGGUCUAUUUUUUUCCUAGUUUUUUUUGUUUCUUGUUGCUACAUUAUAUACUUGUGGGAGCUUAGAUGUGAUAUCCUUAAAUAACAUCUAGAUGUGAAUUAGACAAACUGAUUUUCUAACGUACCAAGAAAGAAAACUCGAUCAAAAACACGCCCCCGCUUCCAGGUCGCGAGAGUCGUCGCGUACACACACAUAGACAUAGACAUGUCCGUGUUUACGUAAAAUUCCAUUUCCAUCUCCAUCUCCAAUCAUAUUUGUCCAACUCGCACAUUAUUUACGUUGUUAAUUAUAUACGCAUCAAUAUUAACGUACAACAUCUCUUGUUUGCGCACGUCUGGACCGCUGCCACGGCCGGUCCUGACCAACCCGAACCCUCUUCAUCACUCGCGCGUGCUUCCCGCCCAAAACGGUCAGUGUCGCAUUCAUGCCCAGCCAGAGCGGACGCAACCUCUCACUGCCCCGGCAUUGAAGCGGCGCGCCGGCCGAGAGAGCGUCGCCCGCGCCGCUUCCGGGUGCACGCGGUUGCUCCGCGUUCAAAGGUCGCAAUAGCCGGCUACAACAUGCAUGUAAAAAGUUCUUGGGAGUCCGUGCUACAGCUAGCUGUCCUCCCCCAACUCGCCAAUCUCUUCUAGUAGUGCUAGUACUCCAUGGCGCGAUCCAUCGACAAGCAGGCGGGAAAGUUAUCGUAUACUCGGUUUGCGGUGAGUGGCAUGCCGAGUGACUGUGUGGGGUCGAGCCGUGGAGGAGGGCACGAACACGACAUACGUGAUUUAAACGUUGGUUUUGCUCGAUGGCGCGAUCCAACGAAACGAAAUGUUGGUUUCUCUCCGUUUCCAUUUUUUUCUCCGGAAAAACGGAAACUUUCCACUCCAUUUUCAUUCCUAUUCCAAGGUUGCCCCAUUUCAACAUUCCAUCAAAUACAAAGGAAAACUAACACGCAUGCUGAUGCAUCUCAAUGAUUCACAGAUCAUAGCCAAUAUUUACUUCACAACUAAAGAAAAAAGUUGCGAGAGCGUGUACGAAAGAAAAACUACUGAUGGGGUCACUACGACUUAAACCCUAAACCCUAAACAUGAUUUAAUUUCCUGGCCAGGUAGAACCUGUCGAGGGAAAGACGGCUGGCACCCUCGGAUCAUACGAUGCUUUUGUGCAGUUCCACUAAAAUCGACCUGAGCAUCCCUGAUGGCAAAGAUAUUGAAGAAGUGUGAUUAGAAUAAUAGUACUGGCACUAGUUCAUGAGACAUAAACUCAUCACAAGUAGAAGCCGGUAGAAGUAGAGAAAGAUCGACAUGGAGAUGGAGCUACGGCAGUGGAGCAAGCCGGCUCCAAAAGGAAGAUGGACUACCUGGGACGUCGGGCUGUAGCUAGAAGGGCGGUUGGGACGCGGCAUCGGCCCAUACCGCGUUGACCCCCGAUUGGGACGCACCGACUGUGGGUUUUCUCCCCGCCGAUGUCGACCACGUCUACGCAGAACAUUGUUCCCUUCCCCCAGCUGUGGGAUCAGGCCCGUCAUUCUAUGCUUGUGAAGAGAGCAACCUAAGCCAGCAGGCUUGUAGCUUAGGCUCCUGCUAGUGUAUAUAUAGUGGUUUUCUUUUUGUCUCCAUAUCAACCAUUUUAUAUUGCGUAUGUGUCAUUCAAGAGUGAAAUGAUGGUUGCUUCUUCCGACUAACUUACUGUGUGAUUUGACUGCUCCUUAGUGGCCCCUACACGUACUCCCCCUACGUGUAUGCAACAGUCACACGUACACAUGGACGCAAAAACGCGCGCGACGCCCUAAUGCAUGCAUGUCCGAGCACACGACGGAACACACACGGUCACGCUCAAGUGCUCAACCUGCACGUGCAUGCACACACAUACUCAGUCAGGGUGAGCUAGUGACCGUAUAAACACCGGAAAAAAUAUAUAUAUAUAUAUUGAGCGCAAUGAGCGUAUUAUGAAGUCCACUGACCGUAUUUUUACAAAUAUACAGUGACAGACAGUGUAUUUAUCUCGUUUGAAAUUAAGCCAUAUUAACCGGAGAGGAGGCAGUAUGGACUAGCAUUACUUUGUUGUGUCCCGUCAACUUGCCGAACGAGGAGAAGGUUGCAGGACGGGAGAAGCUUGCGCGCGGUGGCUCGCAGGACAAGGAGAAACAGAUGGUGGACGUGCAAGCUCUCCCUCGCUCAGGUGGUGGACGUGCAACAGUUAAUUCGGUGUCAGAUUGCCAGAAGCAUACACUAUACUACUAAUGCUAUUAUUGUUCGACUUCCUGAAUAGGCGAACAGCCAAGUGCAAAGUUUACUAGUACUACUACUAUAGUCUAUAAAGGUACGUACUAUACUAGUACUAGGAACCGGAUGGAGGAGCAUCUGCACUCUUAUUAUAAUUUUAAAAUGUGAUAAAGCAAUCUUCAACACAUUUGGUUCUCUUCGAGGGUUCUCGCAUGUGAUAAUGGAAGUUGAUUGCAUGGAACACUCGCCACAAUUCUUGCUUAAUUCUGGCUCAUAUCCUGUUACAAAUAGUAGCGCUAGGUAAUAUUUCCUCUUUUGUUGUUAUUCAGCAUGUAAACAGGUCAGCAAACCUUGCGGUGCAUCUUCGUGCGAACCGUGCUUGCUGCACUUUGAAUGUGGCCGAGAGCUGGCUUGAUGAAACACCUCGCUUCCUACUUCUUUUUUUGUGGGGUACCUCGCUUCAUAGUGACUAGUGUCUUGGCUGAUCGUCCUAAGAAUGCUUAUAUAUGAAUAAAGCUCUCUCAUUUACCCGCAAAAAAGAUUAAGCCAUAUUAACCGGAAAGGAGGGAGUAUGGACUAGCACUACUUUUUGGUGUGUCCGGUCAACUCGCAGAACGAGGAGAAGCUUGCAGGAGAAGGUGAAGCGCCUUUUGACUAAUGCAACCUACCCUCGGUGGACAUGCAUCAGUCCAUUCGGUGUCAGAUUGUCAGAGGCAUACACUGUAGUACCCAACAUGCGGAGUACCAUCAUUGUUCGACUUCACGAAGAGGCAAAGAGCCAAGCGCAGUAGUACGAGUAGUACUACUACUAGAACCGCAUGGUGGAGCGUCUGUACUCUUAUUUUUUAUCUCUGAUAAAAAACACGUUUAUUCCGGAGAAGGGCGGAAAACGGCAGCCCAACAUGUAAUGAAUGAUAUCGAUCAACCAACCAUGCUCGAAUAUAUCUUGGCCCCCGUGCGAGCCCGUUUGUGUGUUCUCGCUCCUCGUCUCUCUCAAGGAACGGCGGGUUGGCUCUUUGCCGUCAAUUGAGAUCGGUUUGCUCACACUCCUGUCCCACAUGUCAGUGAUAUGCCAAGAGGAGGUGCGUUGACCGACUGGCCAUACGCGUACUUGGUUUUGCACCUUCAUACUACUCCUCCCUCCGUCACAGUUUACAGGGCGCGCUUCAUUAUGAUGCAUUUCUCUCAAUGCAUUUCCACCACCAGAGAGACUUUAGACGCGUUUGGUUUAAUGCUUAAUUAAUUAGGGCGUGGUAACCGCAAUCAAGUCCACAAUUUUCUCUCCAUGUACUGUACUACUACGGAGUGGAGUAAGUGCAUGCAUGUGUGUACCCGGGGUGGAAGCACUGCAUGCAUGUGUGUACGCAUUAUUCCCUCUAGUAAUAGACGCCGUGCUAUAACUACCAAUGCUAUUUUUCAGGCCGAUCGCUAGUCUCCUUGGUCCCACAUAUAUUUUUUUCUUUUUUCUGAAGGGCGUUGUAUAAACAGUGACGGAUGGAGUAGUUUGAGCGGAUUCAAACAAGAGCGUAUUGAUGGUUGCUUCUUCAGAGCAACUUACAGUGGGAAAGGUGGGGCUUAUGAUUUGACUGCUCAUUACUCACUAUUAAUGCGGCGCAACGACCGGGCUGAGUCUCCCAUGCGGUUGUGCACUACCCCCUCGGUUCUUAAAUAUACUCCGGAGUAUUUGUCUUUCUAGAGAUUUCAACGAGUGACUACUCAAAUAUUUGUCUUUUUAGAGAUUUCAAAUGGACUGGCACAUACGGAUGUAUACAGACAUAUUUUAGAGUGUAGAUUCACUCAUUUUUCUCCGUAUGUAGUCACUUGUUGAAAUCUCUAGAAAGACGAAUAGAAUAUUUAGGAAUGGAGGGAGUACACAUACGAAGCAAAAUAAGUGAAUCUACACUCUAAAAUAUGCCCGUUUGAAAUUUGUAAAAAGACAAAUAUUUAGGAACGAAGGAGUAUAAUUUUGUGCAUGGCACAUGGACCCGGAUGAUGAAGAGGCUUCUGGCAAUGCUAUCAAGCUUCCAUUAUUUGUUUACAUAAUUGACGUACUAUACAAAUAAUUUUCCAGCGACAUGAAAUUGUACAAUGGUGUGAGCUUUCAGCUUUUGUUUCGCGUGUCUUGCCAUCGAUGCUCUUUCGGAAACAAUAAAAAACUAACUUCCUUGCUAAUGCAUGUCAAUUAUUAGCAGAUCAAAGCUAAUAAUUACAUCACAACUGAAGAUAGAGUUGUGAGAAUGUGUUAAAUUAAAAUUGAUCCAUGCUUUCAUUGGCAGCAACAUCCCCCCCCCCCCAGCUCUGUCUAAAUCAACAAGGCAUGUUGGGGAAAAAAGUAGCUGUAUGGAGCAUGCAACAUUCCGAUCAUUUUGUGCAGUUCCACUAAAAUAGAGCUGAGCAUCCCUGUUCCAAAGAUAUUAAGUGUGAUUACUAUAAUAGAGGACUGCUGAUGAAACAAUAAACACACAAAUAGAAGCCGGUCACCUUUGCAGUCUCUCUUAAGACUAACUAGUUGGAGAAGAUUAGGCUCGGAGUUGGAUGAGGAGGAUAGAGCAAAACCAAUCUCCCUUUGUGCAGUCGCACUGAAAUGUAGAGACGUUGCCCGUGUGACAUUUAGUACAACUGCACAAAACACUCUUAAGAAAAAAGUGAUUUGUGCAGUUCACCAAAAGGUCGCAAUAGCAACGAGUAGAAAUGAAACAAUUACUGGCCAAUAACAGUUGAUGACACAUGCGACGACAAAAAAGAAGCAUAUUCCUUGUCCUAAGGGAAGAUAACAACACAGUUGUGUUUGUCUAAAACGGUGUGAGGACGAGAAUGCAAUAUGGAAAGUACGCCGGACAAGCUACGUUUUGGGCAAAGAACUAUGGAAGAUCCACAUGCAGCGACGUGGGAAGACAGGCAGUGGAGCAAGGCCGGAGGGGAUACCUGGAGGUCGUCGGGAUGUAACUAGGUGAGCGGCGGCGGGCGGAAUCUGCGAGCAGGUGGCGUAGGCCCUGCCGCGCCGGACCUUGGUCAGAAGAACGGCGUGUAUCGCAGAACGGGACGUGCUGCCUCGGCGCCGUCAAACGGAGGAACGAUGCACUUCCUCCCUUUCCCCCGGCGGACGGGAUGCGGCCGGAUCAGUGCCAACGGUGAGAGAGAGAGAGAGGCCACCGCACUCCCUUUCCCCCGGCAGACGGGAUGCGGCCGGAUCAGUGACCAAUGGUGAGAGAGAGAGAGGCCACCGCAGCCUUGUGUGAGAUACUCUGAAGAGCGACAAACCAGGCAGGCAGGCUCCAUUGUAUAUAGUGAGCGGACUACCUUUUUCUCCAUAAAAAUCGUUUUAUAUUCUGUGUACGUGCCAUUGAGCGCUAUAACUUUAUUUAAAAAUAACGCGGCAACGCGUCAAGUCGAACUUUGUUUCGUGCACGCGUGGUACACGGCCUCCCUAGGUAAACAACCGCUACAGGCGUUCAAAUUAGCACGUGGGCUGCCAUUUUGUAAAGAAAUGAGCUCCACCGUGUACCCGCGCGAGUGUGGCUGGGCACGAGGCGUGAGUACGUGCACAGUGCACCUAUUCUCUUCUUGUAUACGUACACCACCUACAUGGGGUUGUGUGAGAGACAUACAAACCUAGAGAGAUAUAGUGUGUGGGUUCUUGAGAGUUUUUUUUGGGGGGGGGGGGUCAAUCAAAAAAUGUAACAUAUGCAAUGUGUGUGAAAUAGAGUCCAGGAUAUAACAUAUAUAUAGAGGGGGCGAUCCACGAGAAGAGAGUGGAGGUAUCAUCGGCUUGAGGUGUCCAUAGAAUCAAAGAGAGGGAUGAUGUGUGUGUGUGCGCGUGCGAUCGGUAAAGAGUGCCAUCGAAUUUGUGUGUGCCCACGUCAAAGAUAUAGAGUGGCUGGCCUACUGGAACGUGAGAUGGGACAUGUGCAGUUUGUCUCUGUGGCAUGGAUACCUACCUGCAGCGCUCGACUAUCGGUGUGUGGUGGGGGAAGAGGGAGGCCCAAUUAACUAUAGAGGUACAAUGGCUGGUAUAUGUGUGGAGGAGGAGAGAGGCCUACCUCAUGUAUUAAGGAGAUCGAUCUGCCUCAUGUAUUAAGGGAGAUCGAUCGGCAUCCAUGCAUAUGUGCAGGAGAGGAAUAAGGUUGGGAGAGAGACAGAGCUAGAGUGUUGGAGGGGGUGGUAGUGGAGUUCCUUCUAACAAAUGGUGGGAUAGGCUUGCUAGACAAACGGAGGGCACGCCCGCAAUAUCAAUAAGAGAGGAGAUGGCUGCUUGUUGUCUGUGCACGUGCGUGUGAGAGACGGGUCAGGAGGCAUGCACGAAUGAUGAGGGGGGACGAUGUGGCUGUGGUAAGCAGACGUAACUACAUAGGAAGAUCAAUCGCCCUUUGUUAGAGAAAGGAGAGACAUAACUUGUGAGGUACGUCGAUCGAUGGGGGGUAGUUAAAGUCGAUCUAGGUAUAUGUUGGGAGAUCGAUCGGUAUACAUGCAUGUGUGUGUUAGAAGCAAAUGAGGCACGAGGAGAAGGAUAGAGAGAGAGGGGUGCAUGUAGGAGGUGGUACGAGAGGCAUAAUAUAUCGAGGGGGAGGAGUGUGCGAGUACGAGAAUGAUGAAAAGAGUGGAGGGAGUGAGGCAUGGACGCUGACAAGAGAAGAGGGGAAGCUUGUGUUUGUGCUAGGCACACCUGGCUAGAGAGGCAUAUCGAUCGAUGUGUGCCGUAAAGAAGGAGCUAGGGGCCUACACAGACCAUGGGUGAACAACCUAAAGUGAAAAGACGAAUUUGCGCGAUGGAGCUAGAGAAUGCUGAGGGAGGGUGAGAGGGAUGCGGGCGUGUGCAUGCACAAGAGAAAGUUAGCGCUAGCUACAAAGAUAAGAGGGUUGUGUGAGUGUAAAAGACGAAUAGAGAUCAUAUAUACUUCAUUAUAAAAAGCGAAUUCGGAUAUUUGAAGAAUUUAUCAUAGUGUUUCAAACCGACGCAUGUGUGAAUAUAUAUAACGGUGAUACACAUGGUGUGGUUAUGAACAUGUUAUACUACAUUUAAUAUAUUUUAUCUCUACUCUUAUAAAAAACGGAGUUGUUGAUGAUGGUGUGCCUGCCAUCCUGCAUUAUAGGCCGUCCGAUUUAUAUCUGGCGGAUAGCAAGGAAACUAUGAUGGUUGAAGUUGGCAACAAUCAUGAUUGUAGAUUCUUAUUGAAAUAGAGAAACAAAUUCAAAUUUAGUUCGAAUUGCAGCAGUAGUAUAGACAUUUGGAAUGCACUAAAAUGUUGGUAUGAGUAGGUUACAUGCAUUAUACAGCAAGCGAAAAAAAUUAAUCGGACAUAACAUGGAUUCAUACUCCCUCCUCCCAAAACUGACGCCUUCACAACCCGCGCCUUGCUAUCCCGAAAUUACAACGCGCGCGAAAACUUCCUCCAGCUGCCAAAUCCCGACACGCGAAAUCCCCCUUCUAACCCUGAGCUGAAAGGGCCGCUAGUUCAAAUCGGUGGGGGAUACUUUUGUAACACACCCUACAUUUUGGACAAGCGCGUCCCUAAGUCAUGCUUCACCCCCUCCCAUCGCCCCCUUUUCGCCAUUCGAAAUCCCAGGCCGCCAUAACCUCUCCGCUCCAGCCGCGAAACCCCACCCUCCUCCGUCUGCCACGUCACCGCUACCCAGCCGGAGCCUCUUCCCCGACGACGUCGUCCACCGCAACAGCUCAACGUCCCUUGUCCACACCUCCCCGGAUGAGGGUCCGUCGUCCAUCUCGCCGUCCCGCCGGUUCAGCCACCCCGUCCUCCACCUCCAAGGAGCUGCUCCGACGAUCGCCUCGUCUAUCGCGGCUACUCCAUCCCCACAGCACCGCCUUAACCUGCUCCACCGGAACCGCAGCAUCCUCACUGACUCCUCGGACGAAGCCGAGGCCUACUCGGCGCCACCAAAGAGGUUGUACACUCAUCGCAUCGCACCUUCUCCUUAACUCGACCUCCCGGCGCCGACGGUGCUCCAUCCCGCAACCCCAUGGAGCGGCUACCUUGAAGCCGGCACCGCGGGCGACAUCUCCACAGCGGCUCUCCCCCAGUGCGAGGCCCCUUCGGCGGCGGCGUCCAUACCAGCCGGAUCUGCUGCUGCUGCUCCAGCUCUCGCUCGCUCGCCCAGCUGCUGCUGCUGCUCUCCCCCUCGCUCGUGCUGCUGCUCUGCUCCGAUUAAGACACACUUCAGUCGACUGAAUCGACUUUUGGGUCAGUUGAUUUUCAGGGGUUGGGGGGCUCGCCGGAGUUAAGGAAGAACCACCCAUAGCGGGGACGGGGGCUCGCCGGAGAGGUACCCCACUAUCUAUCUUAGGGUUCAGGGUGGGGGCGGGGGGCCUAGUGGGCUGGCCGGGGCGGCGGUGGCGAGUUGUUUCGGGACGGCGAGGCGACGCUGGGGCCGGCGGUUAGGCCGGUGGUGGCUGGCGGCUCAGGGGGGUGCAGGUUGAAGAUGAACUGCAGGCCCUCCCUAAACUGCAUGUCAAGUGCCUCUCUGCUACCAUUGCGUUCAGUUUCGACAGUAGCAUUCAGAUUCCACAGUAAAUUUCAGUUUCGAUAGUUAAGUUCAGAGUCAACAGUUUUUACCUCAUCUGUUGUAGUCAGGUGGUUUUUGGUGAUGUUAAUUUUACAUCCAUUUUACAUCAUCUAUUGGAGAUGCUAUUAGAAUCCCACUUGAGAUUGACGAUGUCUGUCUUGUGCUGCUUCAGCCUUGACGUCUUACGGCUCACCGGAGCUGCUCCAAUGACAGAACGAUCCAUCACAACAGAGCAGUGCCCUGGACGCCGUCUACAGAUUCCUCGGAUCUUCCUCCACACCUCCGACAGCCACCUCUGCCUCAACUGCUUCAGCGACCAACCCAAGGAUUCUGAGGUCGACACGGCUACGGCAAAGAGGUUGUACACUUGUUGCAUCACUUAUUACUAUACAUUCACGUCGAUCCAUUAGGGCUAUUUUGGUUCAACGGAAAAACGUCGAUCCACUGGUUGUUACCAUCACUCUAAAUUUCUGCAUGCUCUCCUUACAUAAUCUCACCAUAUUUUUUUCAUAUGCAUGUCAGAUAUUGUACACAGUCAUGCUGAACAUGUAGAGAAAAAGAGAAGAGUUUUGCGCGGCAAUACAAUGUCAUGCAGACAUCGCUCCAUGGUGGGUUCAAUGGCAAACCCUCCCCACCCCUCUCCAAAUUGUAAUCCAGAGGAAGAUAUCUGUUCUGAGGCGGAUUCAGGCGACGCUGACCACUCCUAUUUACCCCCCCAAGGUGUUUGCUCUACCUUGGCAUGAUGAUGUUAGUCAUAUCAUGCAUAUGUUGCCUUGCAGUGCCUACUUUUGACAUCAUAUAUGUCAUCUGCUAGUUUAGACAUGUUUCGUAAUGCCACCUGUUUAGUUUCUAUAUCAUAUAUGGGAAUUAUGCAGUCUCAUGUCUUUUAGCCAGCCAUAAUAUAUGUGAAAUGUGCAAUGCCAUCCUGUUUAACCAGGCAUCAUAUAUUUGAAUGAUAUCUUGCCCAUCCUUUUCUUCAUUACAUUUCCAUUUGUCGACAAUGUUUGUACAUUAAACUACUCUUCCUGUGAAUCAGCCAUUUGGGUGGGAGAUGGAAAAAUCUGGAGUGAAAACAAGGCCUUCAGAGCAGACAGUGCUACCUGUCAAAGCAGAUCUCUUGUUGGGUCCCGAUAGCUCCUCAGAGAUGGAUUCAGAGACAGAUAACCAGUCCUAUUCCCCCACUGAGGUGUAUGCUCUAACUUGGCACGGUUAUACUGCUCAUAUGAUGCAUACGGUGUCUUGCAUUGCAUAGUUUAGACAUCAUAUACACAAUAUUCAACACCAUGUUCUUAGUUCAGACAUCAUAUCGAAUGCCCUCUGUUUAGCAUAUAAAUCACAUAUGUGAAUUAAAUGAUGCGAUCCUGAUUACUUACAUAACAUGUAGGUGAAUUAUGUCAUGCGAUCCUGUUUAGUUAUUCAUCAUAUCUUUGAAUUAUGUUAUGCUAUGCUAUCCAGUUUAGAUAGACAUCAUAUAUGUGAAAUUAUGUCAUGCUAUCCGUUUUAGUUAAACAAUAUACAUGUCAACUAUUUCAUGCCCUCUUUUUUCCACACUAUCUAUUGCAUCUGUCUCUCAUACAACGUCUAUACAUUCAACUAUGUUUCCUGUUUAUCAGCCAUUUGAAUUGGAGCGGGUGAUGCCAGUAUCUAGCGGACUAAAAACACGGUCUUCAAAUAAAACAGUGCUACCUCUUGGUGGAGAUAGCACCCCGGUUGUACAUGCACAAGAACCAGCCGUACCACACAUAACCCAAACUCUCGCAGAUUGUACCCCUACUGCGAUGGACAGAGAACCAGCUUCACCCAAUCUAACCCCAACCCCAGCCGAUAGUAACCCAGUUCCUGUUGACACAGCACCAUCUCCACCACAGAGCUCCCAACAAGAGCAGUUAGUAAGGCAGCUCCAGUGCCUUAUUAAGCAAUGGUAAAGGAAGUAAUGCAGAUAAGGUUCAGGAUAGUGACACAUCCUUGUUGGUCUCCAACAAAGCUGAUAAAACAGCUAAGGAAGACUAUCUUGAAGACAGCGAGACAACCCCAAAGUCCUGUCUUUGUUUAGUGUUCGAGUUACUGGCCACUACCGCUUGCACAAGCUAUUCAAACUCACUGUCUGAAUCAGUUCGGUUUCUUGAGUCUCAACUACAAGCUGAAAGACAUCGAUCAGUUGUGCUGCGACAAGAAGCGGAAGGACUGCGGAAGUCCCUGGAGCAUUUAGAUGCACACUUUCUAGUGCAACAGCAAGCGUUGGAGGAUUUUAGCGCCAAACAGCACAAAGCUAAUCAGCUUGCUAAGCUUAUUGCCAGCAUGGUGGAUACCCAGGAUAACGUUUCUGGAGCUAUUCUGAAGUUGUUUCAGUUAUGCUCUUGUUUUGCUGCCGCGUUUAUUUGCACUGGUGGCCAAUUUUGACGGCCAGUGUAUGUAAUGUGCUGCUUUGUUCCCUAUAUUUGCACUGGUGGCGAACUUUGAUGCCCAGUGGAUGUAAUAUGUGUAAUAGCGGUAAUAGGCUAGCAUUAAUUGCUUGCUUAUUUAUUUCCUUAUUGUCUUGUUUAGUUGUUUGCUUAUAGUCACUGCAGUCCUUUUUCUGUUUUUUUCUAGUGGCCACAAUAGCCUAUUUUUGGUAACUAGGCCAAAAUAAUCAUGGUAACACACGGACUGUUGUAACCAUGUGCCUCCUGCAGGUCGUAUGAUCCAUGGGCCUUCGUCCGGCCGUAGGAUCCAUCGGCCUUCUAUCCGGGCCUUAGGGUCCAUGGGCCAUCUACGGGCCGUAGGGUCCAUGGGCCUUCUACCGGCCGUACGAUCCAUGGGCCUUCUACGGGCCGUACUAUCCAUGGGCCUCAUACGGGCCGUAGGAUCCAUGGGCCUUCUACGGGGCGUAUCAUCAUUUCGCCAAUCAUGGGUCGUACAAUUCGUGGACCAUAACGGGCCGUUAAUAGGCCGUAUUUGAUAACUCUAUGAAAACAGCCCAACGGGUUUUUUUUGACAUGAAAACGGCCCAACGUAUUAACGGUCCGCAAACGGGCCGACUGUAAUGACGGGCUGAAUUUGGCCCACAAGCAGAAAAUGACAGUAAAGGGCCGUAUGUAACCGAAUGCUGCAAAUGAGCCCAAGAAUCAAUGGGCCCUGAGAAGGCCGAAAGAUAACUUGGGUUGGAAACGGCCCAAUGGAAUAACGGGCCGUUAAUGGGUAUAAAGUGAUACACUGUUCAUUACGGGCCAGUUUCACCACGGGCCGUUAAUGGGCCAAGAGUUACAAAGGUCCUCAUAUGGGCUGAAAGAAGUCAUGGGCCACACAUGGGCCGGAAGUUAAAACGGGCUGAAUCAUAUUGGACGGCCCAGAUGACGCUACUGGGCCUAAUUCGGAUAGGGCGUAACGGGCCCUGGGUUAGCGGGCUAUAAAUGGGCUAUAUGCGAACAGGCCGUUAACAGGCUUUCCGUCGGCCGGCCCGCCACCUUUUGACCAAGUCAAACGGGCCGGCCUUUUCACAGCAAUGGGCCUCUAUUGGGCCGUGCCACGUGUCACCGUAUCAUAGGCGCCUUUGGUCCAAUGAGCGGAUGACAUCUGUCCCAACGGUGAGCCGACACGUGUUUCCUCCAGCCAAUGAUGAUUUUACACGUGGAAAAUCCCCAUUGGUCGAGGCUGUUAUUGGGUUAUCGGAUCCAAAACCCGACCCGAUAGCUUAACGGCAUUCCGUUACGGUGGAUGCCACGUGUCGGUCACCCUUGACGAAAGCACUUCUGUGACGCGCGAUUUAUCGUCAUGGAAGUGGACACUUCCAUGAUAAUAAUUGUGGUAAUGUCAUGGAAAACUUCUACGACAGCACAGGUAUGACUAUCUUGAUUCUGUCAUAAAAUCGUCAUGGAUGUACAUGCAUGACAAAAAACGCGACCUGCUGUGACAAACACGUAUCAUCACGGAAGUGUGACUGUUGUGUCUUUGGGGUGCCCCCCUGCCCACGUAUAUAAAGGAGGGGGGAGGAGGAGGAGUCCAGCCCAAGGGGGGGCGCCAUGGGGGGGAGUCCUACUAGGACUCCGCUCCUAGUAGGAUUCGCCCCCUUUCCUUCCAAUGGAGAGGGUGGAAGGGGAAUGGAGAGAGAGGGAGAAGGAAAGAGGGGGGCCGCGCCCCCUCCCCUUGUCCAAUUCGGAUUGGGCAAGGGGGGCGCGCGCCUCCUCCCGUGGCCUGCCUCCUCUCCUCCACUAAGGCCCAAUAGGCCCAUUAACUUUCCCGGGGGGUUCCGAUAUCCUCCCGGUCCUCCGAUAAAUCACAGAACCUUAUCGGAACCAUUCCGAUGUCCGUAUAUAACCUUUAAAUAUAUCAAUCUUUACCUCUCGACCAUUUCGAGAUUCCUCGUCAUGUCCGUGAUCUUAUUCGGGACUCCGAACAACCUUCGGUCACCAAAACACAUAACUCAUAACACAAAUAGUCAUCGAACGUUAAGCGUGCGGAAACUACGGGUUCGAGAACUAUGUAGACAUGACCGAGACACAUCUCCGGUCAAUAACCAAUAGCGGAACCUGGAUGCUCAUAUUGGCUCCUACAUAUUCUACGAAGAUCUUUAUCGGUCAAACCGCAUAAUAACAUACGUCAUUCCCUUUGUCAUCGAUAUGUUACUUGCCCGAGAUUCGAUCGUCGGUGUCAUCAUACCUAGUUCAAUCUCGUUACCGGCAAGUCUCUUUACUCGUUCCAUAAUGUAUCAUCCCGUAACUAACUCAUUAGUCACAUUGCUUGCAAGGCUUAUAGUGAUGUGCAUUACCGAGAGGGCCCAGAGAUACCUCACCGAUACAUGGAGUGACAAAUCCUAAUCUUGAUCUAUGCCAACUCAACAAACACCUUCAGAGACACCUGUAGAGCAUCUUUUAAUCACCCAGUUAUGUUGUGACGUUUGAUAGCACAGAAAGUGUUCCUCUGGUAUUCGGGAGUUGCAUAAUCUCAUAGUCAAAGGAAUAUGUAUAAGUCAUGAAGAAAGCAAUAGAAAUAAAACUAAACGAUCAUUAUGCUAAGCUAACGGAUGGGUCUUGUCCAUCACAUCAUUCUCUAACGAUGUGAUCCCGUUCAUCAAAUGACAACACAUGUCUAUGGUCAGGAAACUUAACCAUCUUUGAUUUACGAGCUAGUCAAGUAGAGGCAUACUAGGGACACUCUGUUUGUCUAUGUAUUCACACAUGUACCAAGUUUCCGGUUAAUACAAUUCUAGCAUGAAUAAUAAACAUUUAUCAUGAUAUAAGGAAAUAUAAAUAACAACUUUAUUAUUGCCUCUAGGGCAUAUUUCCUUCACCUCAAAUACCCAUCGAGGAACUUUUGGAGCGCCGUGCCGCCAAGGUGGCUUCCAAGCUAAAGCAUCAACAACAUGUCAUGGAGAAUGUGCUUGGAAGCUUGAGAAAAGGGGUAACUACACAUAAACAAUUGUCAAACUUUUGUGAGCAUCACGCGUUUGUUUCGUGUGUUGAACCCCAAAAGGUCCAUGAGGCACUCGUUGAUGAGGAUUCGCUUGAAGCCAUGCAUGAUGAACUCAACAACUUCGAGCACAAUCAAGUUUGGGAAUUAGUGCCAAGGCCAACGCAGGAACAUAAUGUCAUCGGGACCAAAUGGAUUUUCAAGAACAAGCAAGAUGCGAACGGUGUGGUUGUUCGGAGCUAGGCAAGAUUGGUGGCACAAGGCUACCCAAGUCGAGGGUAUCGACUAUGGUGAAACCUUUGCCCCCGUUGCACGUCUUGAAUCUAUUCGCAUGUUCUUUAAAUUACAACAAAAGGAUGUGAAAAGUGCAUUUCUAAAUGGUCCUUUGAAUGAGUUGGUGUAUGUCAAACAACCUCCGGGAUUCGAGGAUCCCAAGCUCCCCAAUCAUGUAUACAAACUCAAGAAGGCGCUCUAUGGCCUUAAACAAGCUCCACGUGUGUGGUCUGAGCACCUUACUGAGUUGUUACAAGAUCGUGGGUUUGAAAUUGGGAAAAUCGAUCCCACUCCUUUUACUAAGCGGGUCAAAGGGGAUUUGUUCAUAUGCCAACUAUAUGUUGAUGAUAUUAUUUUUGGUUCUCCUAACAAAUAUUUCAAUGAUGAGUUUUCCACACUAAUGACCGAGAAGUUUGAGAUGUCUAUGAUGGAAGAGUUGAAGUUCUUUCUUGGGUUCGAAGUCAAGUAAAGAAGAGAAGGAACUUUCAUCAACCAAGCCAAGUAUACCCAAGACAUGCCCAAGAGAUUCAAGCUAGAUGAUGUCAAGACGGUCAAGCUUCCCAUGCCCACCAAGUGCAAGCUUGAUAGUGAUCCCAAUGGUAAAGCGGUGGAUCAAAAGGUAUAUUGCUCCAUGAUUGGAUCCUUGCUUUACCUUUGUGCAUCUAGACCGGAUAUCAUGUUGAGUGUGGGAAUUUGUGCAUGGUUUCAAGCCGCACCUAAUGAAAUACACUUUGUGGUGUUCAAGCGAAUCUUUCAAUAUUUGGCUCAUACCCAAAACUUUGUCUUAUGGUACCCCAAAGGAGCAAGCUUCGAUCUCAUGGGUUACUCGGACUCGGAUUGGGCGGGAGAUUGUGUGGAUACGAAGUAAACUUCCGGAGGGUGCCAAUUCCUUGGUCGCUCUUUGGUGAGUUGGUAUUCUAAGAAGCAAAAUUGUGUGUGUCUCUCGUCCACCGAGGCUGAGUAUGUAGCCGCCGCAAGUUGCUGUGCACAAUUGCUAUGGAUGAGGCAAACUUUAAAGGAUUACGGUGUCACAUGUGACAAAGUGCCUCUUCUAUGUGACAAUGAAAGUGGUAUCAAGAUUUCUCACAAUCCGGUGCAAUAUAGCAAGACAAAGCAUAUUGAGAUUUGUCAUCAUUUUAUUCGGGAUCACAUCAAGCGGGGAGAUAUUGAUAUCAUCUACAUCAACACUCAAGAGCAACUAGCGGAUAUACUCACCAAGCCUCUAGAUGAAGCAAGAUUUCGCGAGUUAAGGCAUGAGCUAAAUAUCAUUGAUUCGAGCAAUGUGACUCGAGUCUAGGCACAUCCCCAAUCCGAAUUGGACAAGGGGAGGGGGCGCGGCCCCCCUCUUUCCUUCUCCCUCUCUCUCCAUUCCCCUUCCACCCUCUCCAUUGGAAGGAAAGGGGGCGAAUCCUACUAGGAGCGGAGGCCUAGUAGGACUCCCCCCAUGGCGUGCCCCCUUGGGCCGGACUCCUCCUCCUCCCCCCUCCUUUAUAUACGUGGGCAGGGGGGCACCCCAAAGACACAACAGUCACUACAAAAAAAUACACUUCCGUGAUGAUACGUGUUUGUCACAGCAGGUCGCGUUUUUUUUCAUGCAUGUACAUCCAUGACAAAUUUAUGACAGAAUCAAGAUAGUCAUACCUGUGCUGUCGUAGAAGUGUUCCAUGACAUUACCAAAAUUAUCAUCACGGAAGUGUUCGCUUCCAUGACGAUAAAUCGGGCGUCACAGAAGUGCUUUCGUCAAGGGUGACCGACACGUGGCAUCCACCGUAACGUAACGUCGUUAAGCUAUCGGGUCGGGUUUUGGAUCCGAUAACCCAUUAACAGCCCCGACCAAUGGGGAUUUUCCAUGUGUAAAAUCAUCAUUGGCUGGAGGAAACACAUGUCGGCUCACCGUUGGGACAGAUGUCAUCCGCUCAUUGGACCAAAGGCGCCUAUGAUACGGCGACACGUGGCACGGCCCAGCAGAGGCCCAUUCCUGUGAAAAGGCCGGCCCAUUUGACUUGGUCAAAAGGUGGCAGGCCGGCCCACGGAAAGCCUGUUAACGGCCUGUUCGCAUAUAGCCCAUUUACAGCCCGCUAACCCAAGGCCCGUUACGCCCUAUUCGAAUUAGGCCCAGUAGCGUCAUCUGGGCCGUCCAAUAUGAUUCAGCCUGUUUUAACUUCCGGCCCAUGUGUGGCCCAUGACUUCUUUUGGCCCAUAUGAGGACCUUUGUAACUCUUGGCCCAUUAACGGCCCGUGGUGAAACUGGCCCGUAAUGAACAGUGUAUCACUUUAUACCCAUUAACGGCCCGUUAUUCCAUUGGGCCGUUUCCAGCCCAAGUUAUCUUUCGGCCUUCUCAGGGCCCAUUGAUUCUUGGGCUCAUUUGCAGCAUUCGGUUACAUACGGCCCUUUACUGUCAUUUUCUGCUUGUGGGCCUAAUUCAGCCCGUCGUUACAGUCGGCCCGUUUGCGGACAGUUAAUACGUUGGGCCGUUUUCAUGUCAAAAAAACCCGUUGGGCUGUUUUCAUAGAGUUAUCAAAUACGGCCUAUUAACGGCCCGUUAUGGUCCACGAAUUGUACGACCCAUGAUUGGCGAAAUGAUGAUACGCCCCGUAGAAGUCCCAUGGAUCCUACAGCCCAUAUGAGGCCCAUGGAUAGUACGGCCCGUAGAAGGCCCAUGGAUCGUACGGCCCGUAGAAGGCCCAUGCACCCUACGGCCUGUAGAAGGCCCAUGGACCCUAAGGCCCGUAUAGAAGGCCGAUGGAUCCUAUGGCCGGACGAAGGCCCACGGAUCAUACGGCCUGCAGGAGGCCCAUGGUUACAACAGUCCGUGUGUUGCCAUGAUUAUUUUGGCCUAGUUACCAAAAAUAGGCUAUUGUGGCCACUAGAAAAAAACAAAAAAAGAACUGCAGUGACUACAAGCAAAAAACUAAACAAGACAAUAAGGAAAUAAAUAAGCAAGCAAUUAAUGCUAGCCUAUUACUGCUAUUACACAUAUUACAUCCACUGGGCAUCAAAGAUCGCCACCAGUGCAAAUAUAGGGAACAAAGCAGCACAUUACAUACACUGGCCGUCAAAAUUGGACACCAGUGCAAAUAAACGCGGCAGCAAAACAAGAGCAUAACUGAAACAACUUCAGAAGAGCUCAAGAAACGUUAUCCUGGGUAUCCACCAUGCUGGCAAUAAGCUUAGCAAGCUGAUUAGCUUUGUGCUGUUUGGCGCUAAAAUCCUCCAACGCUUGCUGUUGCACUAGAAAGUAUGCAUCUGAAUGCUCCAGGGACUUCCGCAGUCCUUUCGCUUCUUGUCGCAGCACAGCUGAUCGAUGUCUUUCAGCUUGUAGUUGAGACUCAAGAAACCGAACUGAUUCAGACAGUGAGUUUGAAUAGCUUGUGCAAGCGGUAGUGGCCAGUAACUCGAACACUAAACCAAGACAGGACUUUGGGGUUGUCUCGCUGUCUUCAAGAUAGUCUUCCUUAGCUGUUUUAUCAGCUUUGUUGGAGACCAACAAGGAUGUGUCACUAUCCUGAACCUUAUCUGCAUUACUUCCUUUACCAUUGCUUAAUAAGGCACUCUUCCCCAAUAUUCUGUCAGCAUUCUAAAAGAAGAAACAAGCAGACACAUAACAAGUUUAGCAUGUACUAGUAUAUGAAACUCAUUUCGGUGAACCAGUUCAUUAGUAAGGUGCACAGGAUUAAACUACCAAGUCUUCUAUUGCCAAGUACUAGUACAUAAUAAAAACAUCAAACAAACAUAUAUCUAUGUCCUAUGGUCACUGCAUUGUCUUGCCAAAUCAAAAUAGAGACACGGUUCAAAUCAUAUCAAUUCAAGACAAAGCAGCAGUGAGAGAAUACAAAGCAUGGGAAACUACACGGCACAACAAGAUUUCAGAUGGGUACCACGGGUCUACAUGUACAACAACACUAUUGGCUCCGUUGUGAUGCUAGUAAUGUGCAUGAUAUGAAAGUCAACUGUAUACACAAUUGAAAUUGAAAUCAACAGAGCUAUUGAUAAGAGCAAAGCUGUUAAAGAAACAGGCGUGAACAUACCUGCUGUGCCAUUGGAUUUUCGAUUGGAUCCUUCAAUUUAAAAAUAAGUUUGUAUGACUAAAUACAGUGAUACAAGAGCAAAGCAAUCAUAGUUAAAAAAAGCGCGCCUAAGCGAGCGCUUAAGCGCGCCUAGGCUCUAGGCGUUGGCAAAACACAUUGCGCAUAACUACGCAUAAUCUGUGCAUAAUUGCGCAUAAGCAUGCGCUUUGGUCAGUAAAGCGCAAGGCGGUGGCAAAACGCACAAUUAACGCCUAGCGCUUUUUUGAACUAUGAUAGCAAUGGAAUCUUAAACUAGAACAGUUGUUCUUCAUGUUUAGGCACUUGUUCUACAUGAACAGAGUACAGUAAGACGCAAGAAUAUAAUACUUAAAAAUAGAAAAUGAGCUCAUAGACCUUACCACAUUCUUGGUUCGGGACCAGUACAGAACAAGGCGUUCCCAGUCAUCGUCCAGUAAAUGUGUCUCAGGAUACGUAAGGGAAUUUGAUGAGUUUCUUUGCCGGUGAAGUACAUUUUCUUCAGGUAAUUCCGAUACUGCCACCAAGCAUUCUUGAAGAUAGCAGGUUACCUCAUCCUGAGUUUCCAAAUCGGUCCUUCUCUAUAGAGAAAAAUGGGAAAAUUUGAUGUAUUAUAACCAUCAUGGAGGUAGGAUGUAUGGGACGAAGCAAAGUAAUUGCAUGAAUAACAUUACUUACACAUAACUCCUGGACAAACACCUGCAACUGGCAUUUUCCUUCAUCUUCAGUAUAAUAUUUCCAAGAUGGGAAGAUACGCACAUACGAUUUAACAACAUCAAAUGCGAUAGAUGCUAAACUACGACUAGCUGAUUGUGCUUCCUCCACAGGAAUAGGCGUACUAACUGGUGGAGUUGGGGUUCGCCGUGAUAGUACUGGCCCUUUGGGCACUGGAGCUGCCUUACUAACUGCUCUUGUUUGGGAGCUCUGUGGUGGAGAUGGUGCUGUGUCAACAGGAACUGGGUUACUAUCGGCUGGGGUUGGGGUUACAUUGGGUGAAGCUGGUUCUCUGUCCAUCGCAGUAGGGGUACAAUCUGCGAGAGUUUGGGUUAUGUGUGGUAGGGCUGGUUCUUGUGCAUGUACAACUGGGGUGCUAUCUCCACCAAGAGGCAGCACUGUUUUAUUUGAAGACCGUGUUUUUAGUCCGCUAGAUACUGGCAUCACCCGCUCCAAUUCAAAUUGCUGAUAAACAGGAAACAUAGUUGAAUGUACAGACAUUGUAUGAGAGACAGAUGCAAUAGAUAGUGUGGAAAAAAGAGGGCAUGAAAUAGUUGACAUGUAUAUUGUUUAACUAAAACGGAUAGCAUGACAUAAUUUCACAUAUAUGAUGUCUAUCUAAACUGGAUAGCAUAGCAUAACAUAAUUCAAAGAUAUGAUGAAUAACUAAACGGGAUCGCAUGACAUAAUUCACCUACAUGUUAUCUAAGUAAUCAGGAUCGCAUCAUUUAAUUCACAUAUGUGAUUUAUAUGCUAAACAGAGGGCAUUCGAUAUGAUGUCUGAACUAAGAACAUGGUGUUGAAUAUUGUGUAUAUGAUGUCUAAACUAUGCAAUGCAAGACACCGUAUGCAUGAUAUGAGCAGUAUAACCGUGCCAAGUUAGAGCAUACACCUCAGUGGGGGAAUAGGACUGGUCAUCUGUCUCUGAAUCCAUCUCUGAGGAGCUAUCGGGACCCAACAAGAGAUCUGCUUCGACAGGUAGCACUGUCUGCUCUGAAGGCCUUGUUUUCACUCCAGAUUUUUCCAUCUCCCACCCAAAUGGCUGAUUCACAGGAAGAGUAGUUUAAUGUACAAACAUUGUCGACAAAUGGAAAUGUAAUGAAGAAAAGGAUGGGCAAGAUAUCAUUCAAAUAUAUGAUGUCUGGUUAAACAGGAUGGGCAAGAUAUCAUUCACAUAUAUUAUGGCUGGCUAAAAGACAUGAGACUGCAUAAUUCCCAUAUAUGAUAUAGAAACUAAACAAGUGGCAUUACAGAACAUGUCUAAACUAAGCAGAUGACAUAUAUGAUGUCAAAAGUAGGCACUGCAAGGCAACAUAUGCAUGAUAUGACUAACAUCAUCAUGCCAAGGUAGAGCAAACACCUUGGGGGGUAAAUAGGAGUGGUCAGCGGCGUCUGAAUCCGCCUCAGAACAGAUAUCUUCCUCUGGAUUACAAUCUGGAGAGGGGUGGGAAGGGUUUGCCAUUGAACCCACCAUGGAGCGAUGUCUGCAUGACAUUGUAUUGCCGCGCAAAACUCUUCUCUUUUUCUCUACAUGUUCAGCAUGAUUGUGUACAAUAUCUGACAUGCAUACGAAAAAAUAUGGUGAGAUUAUGUAAGGAGAGCAUGCAGAAAUUUAGAGUGAUGGUAACAACCAGUGGAUCGACGUUUUUCCGUUGAACCAAAAUAGCCCUAAUGGAUCGACGUGAAUGUAUAGUAAUAAGUGAUGCAACAAGUGUACAACCUCUUUGCCGUAGCCGUGUCGACCUCAGCAUCAUUGGGUUGGUCGCUAAAGCAGUUGAGGCAGAGGUGGCUGUCGGAGGUGUGGAGGAAGAUCUGAGGAAUCUGUAGACGGCGUCCAGGGCACUGCUCUGUUGUGAUGGAUCGUUCUGUCGUUGGAGCAGCUUCGGUAAGGCGUAAGACGUCAAGGCUGAAGCAGCACAAGACAGACAUCGUCAAUCUCAAGUGGGAUUCUAAUAGCAUCUCCAAUAGAUGAUGUAAAAUGGUUGUAAAAUUAACAUCACCAAAAACCACCUGACUACAACAGAUGAGGUAAAAACUGUUGACUCCGAACUUAACUGUCGAAACUAAAAUUUACUGUGGAAUCUGAAUGCUACUGUCGAAACUGAACGCAAUGGUAGCAGAGAGCCACUUGACAUGUAGUUUAGGGAGGGCAUGCAGUUCAUCUUCAACCUGCACCCCCUGAGCCGCCAGCCACCACCGGCCGAACCGCCGGCCCCAGCGCCGCCUCGCCGCCCCGAAACAACUCGCCACCGCCGCCCCGGCCGGCCCUCUAGGCCCCCCGCCCCCACCCUGAACCCUAAGAUAGAUAGUGGGGUACCUAUCCGGCGAGCCCCCGUCCCCGCUGUGGGUGGUUCUUCCUUAACUCCGGCGAGCCCCCCAACCCCUGAAAAUCAACUGACCCAAAAGUCGAUUCAGUCGACUGAAGUGUGGCUUAAUCGGAGCAGAGCAGCAGCACGAGCGAGGGGGAGAGCAGCAGCAGCAGCUGGGCGAGCGAGCGAGAGCUGGAGCAGCAGCAGCAGAUCCGGCUGGUAUGGCCGCCGCCGCCGAAGGGGCCUCGCACUGGGGGAGAGCCGCCGUGGAGAUGUCGCCCGCGGUGUCGGCUUCAAGGUAGCCGCUCCAUGGGGUUGCGGGAUGGAGCACCGUCGGCGCCGGGAGGUCGAGUUAAGGAGAAGGUGCGAUGCGAUGAGUGUACAACCUCUUUGGUGGCGCCGAGUAGGCCUCGGCUUCGUCCGAGGAGUCAGUGAGGAUGCUACGGUUCCGGUGGAGCAGGUUAAGGCGGUGCUGUGGGGAUGGAGUAGCCGCGAUAGACGAGGCGAUCGUCGGAGCAGCUCCUUGGAGGUGGAGGACGGGGUGGCUGAACCGGCGGGACGGCGAGAUGGACGACGGACCCUCAUCCGGGGAGGUGUGGACGAGGGACGUUGAGCUGUUGCGGUGGACGACGUCGUCGGGGAAGAGGCUCCGACUGGGCAGCGGUGACGUGGCAGACGGAGGAGGGUGGGGUUUCGCGGCUGGAGCGGAGAGGUUAUGGGGGCCUGGGAUUUCGAAUGGCGAAAAGGGGGUGAUGGGAGGGGGUGAAGCAUGACUUAGGGACGCGCUUGUCCAAAAUGUAGGGUGUGUUACAAAAGUAUCCCCCACCGAUUUGAACUAGCGGCCCUUUCAGCUCAGGGUUAGAAGGGGGAUUUCGCGUGUCGGGAUUUGGCAGCUGGAGGGAGUUUUCGCGCGCGUUGUAAUUUCGGGAUAGCAAGGCGCGGGUUGUGAAGGCGUCAGUUUUGGGAGCACGAUAUCUGAAUUUUCGGGAUAUAACAAGACGCGGGUUGAAUUUUAGGGACAAGCCUAACGUGUAGUAAUAUUGUACUUGUACGUACCAAAUCAAUUCGCACUUCCCUCAACCAAAAAGAAAACGAAAAAAAUAAAACUAUUCACACCACACAAAGAGAGAGUCUUGCCCCGUUUUACUAUACAAAUGCUAUUCAAAGCUACUCCCUCCUUACAUCUAUAUAGGGCCUAAUGCGUUUUUCGAUGCUAACUUUGACCAAAUAUUAGAGAAAUGAUAUAUGACAUGCAACUUACACAAAGCACACCGUUAAAUUCGUUUGUGAAAGGUUCUUUCAAUGAUAUAACUUUCACAUUGUGCAUCUCAUGUACUAUUAAUCUUGUCAAUAGUCAAAGGCGGUCUUAAGAAUCUCAUUACGCCCUAUAUAGAUGGAAGGAGGGAGUAUGAAUCCAUGUUAUGUCCGAUUAAAUUUUUUCGCUUGCUGUAUAAUGCAUGUAACCUACUCAUACCAACAUUUUAGUGCAUUCCAAAUGUCUAUACUACCGCUGCAAUUCGAACUAAAUUUGAAUUCGUUUCUCUAUUUCAAUAAGAAUCUACAAUCAUGAUUGUUGCCAACUUCAACCAUCAUAGUUUCCUUGCUAUCCGCCAGAUAUAAAUCGGACGGCCUAUAAUGCAGGAUGGCAGACACACCAUCAUCAACAACUCCGUUUUUUAUAAGAGUAGGGAUAAAAUAUAUUAAAUGUAGUAUAACAUGUUCAUAACCACACCAUGUGUAUCACCGUUAUAUAUAUUCACACAUGCGUCGGUUUGAAACACUAUGAUAAAUUCUUCAAAUAUCCGAAUUCGCUUUUUAUAAUGAAGUAUAUAUGAUUUCUAUUCGUCUUUUACACCCACACAACCCUCUUAUCUUUGUAGCUAGCGCUAACUUUCUCUUGUGCAUGCACACGCCCGCAUCCCUCUCACCCUCCCUCAGCAUUCUCUAACUCCAUCGUGCAAAUUCGUCUUUUCACUUUAGGUCGUUCACCCAUGGUGUGUGUAGGCCCCCAGCUCCUUCUUUACGGCACACAUCGAUCGAUAUGCCUCUCUAGCCAGGUGUGCCUAGCACAAACACAAGCUUCCCCUCUUCUCUUGUCACCGUCCAUACCUCACUCCCACCACUCUUUUCAUCGUUCUCGUACUCGCACACUCCUCCCCCCUCGAUAUAGUAUGCCUCUCGUACCACCUCCUACAUGCAUCCCUCUCUCUCUAUCCUUCUCCUCGUGCCUCAUUUGCUUCUAACACACACAUGCAUGUAUACCGAUCGAUCUCCCAACAUAUACCUAGAUCAACUUUAACUACCCCCCCCAUCGAUCGACGUAACUCACAAGUUAUGUCUCUCCUUUCUCUAACAAAGGGCGAUUGAUCUUCCUAUGUAGUUAUGUCUGCUUACCACAGCCACAUCGUCCCCCCUCAUCAUUCGUGCAUGCCUCCUGACCCGUCUCUCACACGCACGUGCACAGACAACAAGCAACCAUCUCCUCUCUUAUUGAUAUUGCGGGCGUGCCCUCCGUUUGUCUAGCAAGCCUAUCCCACCAUUUGUUCGAAGCAACUCCACUACCACCCCCUCCAACACUCUAGCUCUGUCUCUCUCCCAACCUUAUUCCUCUCCUGCACAUAUGCAUGGAUGUCGAUCGAUCUCCCUUAAUACAUUAAUUGAGUUUCUGGAGUUUUAAUAUGCAUAAUCUAAAUAUGAAUUGCAUGCACAUGCUCCGGUGCACCAAAGUGGGUUGAAAAAUCACAUGUGUGUCCUUGGUUGAAUUUCUAGGUCCCAUGGAAGAAAUGAGAAUGAAAUUCAAACAUCUGGGCGUCAUGACUCGGCCGAGGACAUCGAGAAACUUUGAUUUUAAAUUCAUGUAAAUCCAAAACUCGCCUGGAAAUCAUGAAACUUGGCAUGGUGUCAUGCCAUGGCACUAACAUGUUGUGGUAAAAAAUUGGGCCGAUUUGGAAGCUCGUGGUUCUAAGAGGGAACGUGCCACCUUUGAGUGUGAAACGAUAUACGCUGCCCCCCCCCCUUGAGUUUCUUAACAAAGGCAACAUAGAACUACAUUAGUGCCCUAUUAAAUUUUGGAAUUAUUCCGGGUUCGUUUGUCGUUUUUUAUACAUUAAUUGAGUUUCUGGUCAUUUAAUGUGCAUAAGUCAAAUUUGAACUACAAGCACAUGCUCUCGUGCACCAAAGUUGGUUGAAAAAUCACAUUUGUGUCCUCGGGUGAAUUUCUAGGUCCCAUGCAAGAAAUGAGAAUAAAAUUAAAACAUCUGGGCAUCGUUGCUCGGCCGAGAACAUUGAGAAACUUGGUUUUAAAAUUCUUGUAAAUCCAAAACACGUCUGAAAAUCAUGAAACUUGGCAUGGAUGUCAUGUCAUGGUACUACCAUGUUGUGGUAAAAAAAAUUGGCCGAAUAGGAACAGAUUUUGGUAUAAGCUUCUUGCAAACCGAAGCUUCUCUCAAGAAGGCUCGUGGUUCUGAGAGGGAACGUGCCACCUUUGAGUGCGAAACGAUAUACGUUGUCCCUCUUGAGUUUAUUUACAAAGGCAACAUAGAACUACAUGAGUGCCCUGUUAAAUUUUGGAAUUAUUCCGGCUUCGUUUGGCCUUAUUUACACAUUAAUUGAGUUUUUGGUCAUUUAAUGUGCAUAAUUCAAAUUUGAACUACAAGCACAUCCUCCCGUGCACCAAAGUUGGUUGAAAAAUCACAUUUGUGUCCUCGGGUGAAUUUCUACUCCCUCCUUCCAUCUAUAUACGUCCUAAUGCAUUUUUCGAGGCUAACUUUGACCAAACGUUAGAGCAAUAAUAUAGACAUGCAACUUACACAAAGCAUACCUUCAAAUUUGUAUGUCAAAGGAGCUUCCAAUAAUAUCAUUUUCAUAGUAUACAUCUCAUGUGCUAUUAAUCUUGUCAAUAGUCAAAGGUUGUCUUGAAAAACACAUUAGGCCCUAUGUAGAUGGAAGGAGGGAGUAGGUCCCAUGCAAAAAAUGAGAAUAAAAUUCAAACAUCUGGGCAUCGUGGCUCGGUCGAGAACAUUGGGAAACUUGGUUUUAAAAUCAUGAAACUUGGCAUGGUGUCAUGUCAUGGUAGUACCAUGCCGUGGUAAAAAAAAUUGGCCGAAUAGGAACAAAUUUUGGUAUAAGCUUCUUGCAAAUCGGAGCUUCUCUCAAGAAGGCUCGUGCUUCUGGGAGGGAACGUGUCACCUUUGUGUGCAUAAUUCAAAUUUGAAAUACAAGCACAUGUUCCAGUGCACCAAAGUUGGUUGAAAAAUCACAUGUGUGUCCUCGGGUAAAUUUCUAGGUUCCAUGCAAGAAAUGGGAAUGAAAUUCAAAAUUCUGGGCGUUGUGGCUGGGUUGGAAACAUUGAGAAACUUAGUUUUUUAAUUCCUGUAAAUCCAAAACACGCAUGAAAAUAAUGAAACUUGGCUUGGUGCCAUGACAUGGCACCAACAUGCUGUGGUAAAUUUGCAGUCCGAUUUGCGAAGGCGCACACAUUAACAAUCAACAAAGUCAUUUUGGAACAAGUGUUGUCACGUUACAAUCGGAAACACAAGUAUUAUUGAAACCGUGGGCGUUCUACUUACUAGUACCAUUUACGUGCCGCCACGCGUCCCCAUUUUUUAUUAGCUAGGAGGCGCCAUGCAGGGUAGCUAUUUGAGUACGAGAGGCGUGCGAUCAGACCCCUGCGCGUGCUUAUCGGGAGGAGAGCCCUUUGACCUCCAUCUGUCGUCCACCUCUCUCCCAAGGUCUCCAUUAAUGGCGCCCGAGCCUCUGUUUAAUGGCGUGGCUAUGUCUCACUGACUGAGGUUUAAGAGAGAAAAAAGAAAAUCUGAAAGCACGGAUCUUGAUGUAAGAUCCGACGGACCUAUAUAGCAUCUACUGCGACUUAUAGCAAGACUGAUGAAUAUAUAAGGACGCGGUAGUCCGCGCAGGCCAGGUGCCCUCCCUUGCACUUCAGAAAUCAAUCGAACAGCACAUCAAUCAAGAAACCUGCACCUUGCUCAAUCAGUCAAACGGACGAGGUGUAUUCGAACCUCAUACACUGGAGGCGUCAAGGGGCGGAGGUACAAGGGGCAGUGGAGCACGGUGAGUUCCAUCGAGACCUUAGAGAGCUCCAUCGUCGGGUCCUGUUCGAUCUGCAUGAUCUCGCCCUCCUCGUGCACAACCAUCUCUCGACUUGGGCUGAGGUAUUACAAAGCUUUACCGUCACAUAUUUUAUACUACUUCAAGGUGCAUUAAAUCAACACAUGCAAGUAUCAAAAGGAGAGUCACGGCAUGCAUGCAUGCGUUGUAAUUAAUGCAUCUAUAGCGACCAGACCUCAAACAGUCUGUGCUGUUGUGCACCAGUGUCAUCCCUGGAUCAGUAAUGCUGACACGCACAGUACAAAUGGAGGAUUUAUAACAGAGUAGCAAUCACACACUUAUUACAUCGAAUAUCUCAAAAGAGAAUAAGUAUGAAUAAAUAUGGCUUAAGGCCAUCUAAAUACGAUAACAGCGAAACGCUUUGAAGAUAAGUGAGUCCAUCAACUCCAACGGCAUCACUGAGUAUAAGACCACGACCUAAGGCACCUUACUCGCCGUCUGAAAAGUCUGCAACAUGAAACGUUGCAGCCCGAAACGGGUCAGCACAUGGAAUAUGCUGGCAAUGUAACACAUAGAGAAUAAUGAACAUAAUAAUGCUAUACUACAUGCAUAUAUGGCUGGUGGAAAGCUCUAUGGUUACAGUUUUUGCGAAAAACCAAUCUUUCCCUACUGCAAAGGAAUAAAUUUUAUUUAACUAUCAUGGUGGUUGUUAAACAUUGAGAAUGGUUGACAGCAUUCUCAAUCCCAAUUAAGUAUCAUCAUUAACCCAACAAAAUUAAUUAAAGUAACAUGAUGAGAUUCAUAUGAAAAUCCAAGUACUAGAUACUCAAGUUGUCCAUAACCGGGGACACGGCUAACCAUGAUUAGUUUAUACACUCUGCAGAGGUUUGUGCACUUUUCCCACAAGACUCGAUCGCCUCCGCUUGAUUCUCGCACUACAUGAUGUUUGAGAAACGGAUGACCGAGACACAGUCUUUCGGAAGUGUUUGCACCUUACGAUGUGAUAGACCGUACCACCUACAUCCCCUACAUCUGCUAGUCUACCACUGUAAGAGUUCACACAACUUAAUCAACUAUGCUAGAGCCCAUAAUAGCUUGCGGCUGCACACGGAAGUUUCUAGCAUGAAUAAUCUCAUGAUCCCUUUGAACCUGGGUGGCGGUCCAAAAGAAAAACAGGCAAUCCUGGAAUACCCAGGUACCUCAAUCCACCCAGAUGUGAGUUUUAGUUGCCACCUUAAGUUUAACCAUAUAUUAACAAUCUCACAUUUGUCAUGGAUACACUCAAACCCAAUCCAUGUCUAGUAGCAUAGCAUAGCAAUAUAAGCAAACGUAGAAGUAACUCCCAAGGGUUUGAUAAUAAAACGGGUAAUAGGUACUACCUCAACUACUUCCCAAUACCCACAGUUUAAUUAGAUCCUAACCAUGCAAUGUUUGAGGAUUGAUCUAAUGCAAUAAAAACUGGGUAUGGAAAGGUAUGAUCAAAGUGUUACUUGCCUUGCUGAUGAUCCGCGAAACCUAGAGAUUCGAAGUAACAAGCGGCGCACUCCGGGUACUCUAUCGCAAACAAACAAGCAAACAAUAAGUACUCAUCUAAUGCACAAGUAAAACUCAAAUAAAAGAUCCAACCAGAAAGUUCAACUUAAGAACUCCGGUUUGCAAAAAGAAUCAAAUCGAACGAAGCAACGAAAGUCAAACGGCGAAAGAAACAAGCUUCGUUUACGAAUCUGGAUCUAGGUCAAAUUUUACAGUAGCAAAAACAUGUUUGAGUAGCUUAAACGGAAAGAAAAUUUCGAGACGAAACUCUAGGCGCUCGAAUCGCCUAAUUCCGAUAAACGAGCGAAAAGUUAAACGAAAACGAAGAUCUGAUCAGGAAUCGAGAUCUGGAAAAAUCGCGGAAAAUCAAUGAAAAAGAAAACUGACGAACAGUUAAACGAACGGACGUUCGUUAACAGCGACAAUCCGACGAACACGUUCGUUUAAACGAACAGGUCGGUGAACGUUCACUAAGUAAUAAAACCGAAAAGAAAAAAAAUAAACCGAUCUGGAAAAAAAUACGAAAACUAGGGUUUACAGAAAAAAACGAACGUUUUUUUUUAGAAAACCGGCAAGGCGGCGGCGGCUCGGCUACCUCGUCGAGACGGGCUCCGGCGGGGCUCGGCAAGGGCGGCGCGGCGGCGGGGCGACGAGGGGCGGCGGCGUACGGCGUCGGGCUCCGGCGGCNNNNNNNNNNNNNNNNNNNNNNNNNNNNNNNNNNNNNNNNNNNNNNNNNNNNNNNNNNNNNNNNNNNNNNNNNNNNNNNNNNNNNNNNNNNNNNNNNNNNNNNNNNNNNNNNNNNNNNNNNNNNNNNNNNNNNNNNNNNNNNNNNNNNNNNNNNNNNNNNNNNNNNNNNNNNNNNNNNNNNNNNNNNNNNNNNNNNNNNNNNNNNNNNNNNNNNNNNNNNNNNNNNNNNNNNNNNNNNNNNNNNNNNNNNNNNNNNNNNNNNNNNNNNNNNNNNNNNNNNNNNNNNNNNNNNNNNNNNNNNNNNNNNNNNNNNNNNNNNNNNNNNNNNNNNNNNNNNNNNNNNNNNNNNNNNNNNNNNNNNNNNNNNNNNNNNNNNNNNNNNNNNNNNNNNNNNNNNNNNNNNNNNNNNNNNNNNNNNNNNNNNNNNNNNNNNNNNNNNNNNNNNNNNNNGGCGUGUCCGAGCCGGACUCGGCGGCGGCGGCGUCGUGCGCGCGAGGGAGACGACGGGCGAGCGGCGGCCUGGCUCGGCUGGGCCUCGGCCCAGUCGGGCGCGGGUUUUUUUUUUAAUAUUCCGCCGAAUUUACAAAAAAUCGCAGAAAAAUAAAUAAAAAUCCAAAAAUGAUAAAACAAAAUUUCCCCGUCUAAUUAAAAUAAUUAGAACAAGGUGAACAUUUUUUUGACCCAAAAAUGCAGUUUUGAAAACGUGCAAUUUUUUUAAUGCAAGAAAAUUGCAAGUAAAAUCCGAAUAAAGUCCAAUAUAUGAUUUUAAUAUUUUUCCUCCAAUAUUUCAAUUAUUUUGGAGAAGUCAUAUUUUCUCCUCUUAUUUAUUUUAAUAUGAAAUAUUUUUCGGAGAGAAAAGUAAUUAAAACCAAAAAUCCUCGUUUUAUUAUUUGAUAAAAAUCAAAUAUGAAAAAUCGGGAAAAUCCCCAACUCCCUCCGAGGGUCCUUGAGUUGCUUAGGAUUUAUCGAGGAUUUGCCAAAAUGCGAUAAAAUAUGCUAUGCAAUGAUGAUCUAAUGUAUAACAUUCCAAAUUGAAAAUUUGGGAUGUUACAAACCUACCCCCUUAAGAUGAAUCUCGCCCUCGAGAUUCGCGUUGGCUAGAAAAUAGGUGAGAGUGGUCCUUCCGUAGAUCUUCCUCUCGCUCCCAGGUGGCUUCAUCUUCCGUAUGGUGACUCCACUGGACUUUGCAAAACUUGAUAACCUUACUGCGGGUAACUCGGCUGGCAUACUCAAGAAUCUUAACUGGUUUCUCCUCAUAGGUCAAAUCACUUUCCAGCUGAAUCGCUUCCAGUGGCACUGUAUCUCUCAGUGGUAUCUCAGCCAUCUCUGCGUGGCACUUCUUCAACUGGGAAACGUGAAAUACGUCAUGAACUCCUGACAAUCCUUCGGGCAAUUCCAGCUUGUAGGCAACUUCUCCCAUGCGUUCCAAAACUCUGUAUGGUCCGAUAAAACGAGGCGCUAACUUUCCCUUAACUCCAAAGCGCUUCACUCCUCGAAGUGGUGAUACUCAAAGAUAAACUCUGUCUCCGACUUCAUGAACUGUCUCCUUACGUUUAGAAUCCGCAUAACUCUUCUGCCUGGACUGGGCUACCUUGAGCCUAUCGCGAAUCAACCUCACUUUCUGUUCAGACUCCUUAAUCAAAUCUGGUCCAAACAAUUGACGGUCUCCAACUUCGUCCCAUAACAAUGGUGUUCUACACCUCCUUCCAUACAAAGCUUCGAAAGGGGUCAUCUUCAAACUAGUUUGAUAACUGUUGUUGUAAGAAAACUCUGCAUAUGGCAAACUGUCGUCCCAGCUAGAUCCAUAAUCUAGCGCACAAGCUCUCAACAUGUCUUCCAAAAUCUGAUUGACUCUCUCGGUCUGUCCAUCUAUCUGUGGGUGAAAGGCUGUACUGAAUUCUAGCCUGGUUCCCAAAGUUUCAUGUAACUGAUUCCAAAACUUCGAGGUAAAUUGGGUUCCUCUAUCUGAUACAAUGGUCCUCGGAACUCCAUGCAAACAUACGAUCCUGGUCAUGUAUAUCUUUGCCAACUUAGCACUGGUGUAAGUGGUCUUCACUGGAAUGAAAUGAGCUACUUUCGUCAAACGGUCGACUACAACCCAUAUUGAGUCAUAGCCUGAACGAGUCCUGGGCAAUCCCGUGAUAAAAUCCAUGCCUAUUUUAUCCCACUUCCAUUCGGGUAUCGGCAAUGGUUGUAGCAAUCCUGCUGGCUUCUGAUGUUCUGCCUUCACUCUCUGACAUACAUCACAAACUGCUACAUACUCCGCAAUAUCCUUCUUCAUUCCGGUCCACCAGAAAGUAUCCUUCAAAUCCAAAUACAUCUUGGUAUUUCCUGGGUGAAUCGAAUACGGUGAAUCAUGGGCCUCUUGCAAGAUCAAUUUUCUGAUCUCCGGAUCAUUGGGCACGUAAACGCGGUCCUCAAACCAUAAGGUAUCGUGCUCAUCCUCACGAAAUCCCUUGGCUUUUCCUUUGCUCAUCUUUUCCUUUAUCUCGAUAAUUUCCUUGUCUGUCUUCUAAGCUUCUCUGAUCUUUUCCAUCAAGGUAGACUGAAUCUCCAAUGUUGCUAAAUAGCCUCUUGGAACUAUCUCCAAACAUAGCCCGCGAAGAUCCUCGGCUAACUCCUGGGGUAACUCUCCUAUCAUGAGGGUGUUGACAUGGCUCUUGCGGCUCAAAGCAUCUGCUACUACGUUAGCCUUCCCUGGGUGAUAAUGCAAUCUCAUAUCAUAGUCCUUAAUAAGCUCCAACCAUCUCCUCUGCCUGAGAUUCAACUCCUUCUGCGUGAAAAUGUACUUCAAACUCUUAUGAUCCGUGUACACCUCACAAUGGUUUCCGAUGAGAAAAUGUCUCCAUGUCUUCAAUGCAUGCACCACGGCUGCUAAUUCCAAAUCAUGCGUGGCAUAAUUCUUCUCAUGGGGUUUAAGUUGCCGUGAAGCAUAUGAAACAACUCUUCCUUCCUGCAUAAGCACUGCUCCAAGUCCUCUACGAGAAGCGUCGCAAUAAACUUCAUAAUCCUUGCGUUGAUCUGGCAGAAUCAACACUGGUGAUGUAACCAAUCGUUUCUUCAACUCUUGGAAACUAGCUUCACAUUCCUCAGUCCAAUUGAACUUGGUGUCCUUCUUCAAUAGCUCAGUCAUGGGCUUUGCAAUCUUUGAGAAAUUCUCGAUGAACCUCCAGUAGUAUCCUGCAAGUCCAAGGAAACUACGGAUCUCUCCAACUGACGUGGGUGAUUCCCAACUUGUUACUGUGUCAAAUUUGGCGGGGUCUACUGCUAUUCCUUCUCCGGAUAUAACAUGUCCGAGGAAUCCAACUUCCUUCAGCCAAACGCAAAUGCUCCUUAUGCUCUUCUUCAUUCUUGGAGUAGACUAAAAUAUCAUCAAUGAACACCACGACAAACUUAUCCAAAAACUCCAUAAACACUUUGUUCAUCAGGUUCAUGAAAUAGGCAGGUGCGUUAGUCAGACCAAAUGACAUAACGGUAUACUCAUACAGCCCAUAUCUGGUGGUAAAAGCCGUCUUAGGUAUAUCCUGCUCUCGAAUGUUUAACUGAUGGUAUCCUGAUCGUAGAUCGAUCUUGGAAAAUACCUUAGCUCCUUGUAAGCGGUCGAACAAAUCAUUUAUCAUCGGCAGUGGGUACUUGUUUUUGAUGGUCACUUCAUUCAAUCCACGGUAAUCAACAACCAUCCUCAACGAUCCAUCUUUCUUCUCCACUAGAAGUACUGGUGAUCCCCAAGGUGACGAACUUGGGCGAAUAUAGCCUUUAUCCAAUAACUCCUUAAUCUGCUUCUUAAUUUCCUCCAAAUCUUUUGCGGGCAUCCUGUACGGUCUCUUAGAUAUUGGCCCUGUGCCUGGCAAAAGUUCAAUCAAGAAUUCAAUGUCUCUAUCCGGUGGCAUGCCUGGCAACUCUUCUGGAAAUACAUCCGGGUAAUCCUUCACCACUGGUACUUCCUCCUGUAGAACUCCUGAUAAGGGAUUCACUUGAAUCCUCUUUGGCACAUGCCGGGAUACAUACUUGAUCCUUCUUCCUUCUGGGGUGGUAAGCAUAAUCGACUUACUGGCACAAUCGAUGUUCCCUCCAUACUUUGAUAACCAAUACAUGCCUAAUAUCACAUCCAAACCUUGCGAUUCCAAUAUUAUUAGGUCUGAGGGAAACACGUAGUUACCAAUCCUUAAUGGUAACCGAUCACACCAUAAACUAGCCAUAUACUCUGCUCCUGGCGAGGUUACUAACAUGGGUGACCUAAGGGCUUGGGUUGGCAGUUUAUACUUAUCCACAAAUCCCCUUGAUAUGUAUGAAUGCGAUGCACCAGUAUAAAAAAGAACGAGUGCAGUAAAUGACUUAACCAUAAACUUACCUAGUACUGCAUCAGGCUGUGCUUCAACCUCUUCCACGCUCACGUGGUUCACAUGUCCUUUGUUGAAAGGGUUUGGCUUCUUCCCAGAGCUUCCAUUUCCAUUACCAUUCUGGGCUUCAGGACAUUCAUUGGCAUAAUGUCCAGUCUUCUGGCACUUGAAACAAGUGACUUGGCUCAGGUCCCUCUUAGCUGGGGUUGAAGGGUUGGUACGGUUCUGUCCGUUGCUUCCUCCGUUCCCAUUACCAUUCUUGGAGCCAUUAUGGUUGUGCGAACUACCUCCUCCAUGGGUAUGCUGAAACUGUCCUCCCGAUUUCGGGGUAAAACGUGGCUUCUGCUGAGCUCCAGAAUUGUACUUCCCUUGUCCAUACUUCCUCUUACGGUUUUCAAUCUGCUGCUGCUUCCCUUCAAUCAUGAGUGCUCUAUCUACCAACUCCUGGUAGUUGUUGAAGGUUGCUACCAUUAGUUGCAUGCUCAGCUCAUCAUUCAAUCCUUCGAGAAACUUCUCCUGCUUGGCUGCAUCUGUAGCAACGUCAUCUGGUGCAUAACGUGCUAACUUACUGAAAUCCUCCACAUACUGGCCUACGGUGCGUCCUCCUUGGCGUAGGUUGCGAAACUCACGCUUCUUCAUAGCCAUAGCUCCUGCUGAAACAUGGGCUGUACGGAAAGCUUGCUGAAACUGGUCCCAUGUGACAGUGUCAAUAGGGUGUGUGGCUGUGUAAUUCUCCCACCAUGAUGCUGCGGGUCCAUCAAGCUGAUGUGCGGCAAAAUGCACUCUUUCUGCAUCUGUGCAUCCUGUAGUGGCCAACUCUCUUCCAACUUUGCGGAGCCAAUCAUCUGCAAUAAUCGGCUCGGUGCUGCUGGAAAACACCGGCGGAUUCAGCCUCAAGAAACGGGCUAAGUGAUCAACAGGUGGUGGUGGUGGGUUGUUGUUGUUGUUGCCUUGGUUCUCUACUAACACUUGCAUCAGGGCAUUCUGUUGCUGAAUCAACUGUGUGAUCUCCGGUGGGAAAACAAAUCCGGUGUCGCGUCUCGGAAGCAUAUGAUAGGUUAGAAAAGAUGAGAGUUUAGAAUAGAAUGAGGUCUAGAGGGAAAACACUACCCAUAUGCUCAUGAGACAAAUACAAUCAAUAUCACUCAAUCAAUUCAAACAAGGCAUACAAUCGAUCUAUCUAGCGUUACAAAAGUGCUCGAACUAUACUAUAUAAAUGGGGGAAAACUACUACUGAUAUGGUGGUCUACUAGAAAUUCUGAUCAGUUGAAGACUCCAUGAUAUCUGCUCCAGCUUCAUCAACAAAUUCAUCAUCACUGGGGUCCGAGUCGGUGUCGUCGAUGAUGAUGUAGUUAUCCGGGCAAGCGCAUUCAUCAUCUUCUGCUUUUGGCACUGGAUUUCCCAUGAAUACUCCAAUCUUCUUCUCCAGGUCGUCAUUCUUCCCUACUAGUGCGACGAUUUCCUCCAAAUAAUCCUCGCGUGUAGCCUUGAGUUCUUCCUCUAGCUCCUUGAUCUUCGUCAAUGCCUUCUUCAGAUCUAUCUUGUCUGAGCACAUCUGGUUCUCCUGGCGACGAAUGUGUUGGUUUUGCUCCUGGAUGAAAGCUGCAAUUGAUCCAUCCUUCUUGGUGCUGAUCAUCUCCCAUUGCUCGUCUCGGCGUCCACAAAUUUGAUAAAUAGUAUCCUUAAGCUCCCUGUGGUAGACUUCUCCAAUGCGUCCCAUAGCGAUGUGGGCUGCCAUGCUCUUCCCUAAACUCCAGGUUGGUGCUUCAAAAGACAACUUUAUAGGCUCAGUAACUGGCGCUAUCGUCCUUCCUGGAACUUGAACUUGAAUCUGCCAGCUCUCCUCUUCAGGUAUUGUGGCGUUGUAGGUUCCGGUGAUGCUUGGUAUUCCUAUGUUCAAGUACUUAGUGACUUCCUUCAAGUGUCGUCCAAAAGGCGUAUCUUCAUCUGGUUGCAUGAACUUGCUCCUUGCAUCCGCCAUUCCUAAAAGAGUAGAAAGUGGAGAGGGGUCAGAAAUGAGAAGAGAGAAGUGUUCUAGGGUUUAAGCUUAGUGGUCGUGUCCUAUAGUCAGCGUGUGCUCUGAUACCACCUUUGUAGCGACCAGACCUCAAACAGUCUGUGCUGCUGUGCACCAGUGUCAUCCCUGGAUCAGUAAUGCUGACACGCACAGUACAAAUGGAGGAUUUAUAACAGAGUAGCAAUCACACACUUAUUACAUCGAAUAUCUCAAAAGAGAAUAAGUAUGAAUAAAUAUGGCUUAAGGCCAUCUAAAUACGAUAACAGCGAAAGGCUUCGAAGAUAAGUGAGUCCAUCAACUCCAACGGCAUCACUGUGUAUAAGACCACGACCUAAGGCACCUUACUCGUCGUCUGAAAAGUCUGCAACAUGAAAUGUUGCAGCCCGAAACGGGUCAGCACAUGGAAUAUGCUGGCAAUGUAACACAUAGAGAAUAAUGAACAUAAUAAUGCUAUACUACAUGCAUAUAUGGCUGGUGGAAAGCUCUAUGGUUACAGUUUUUGCGAAAAGCCAAUUUUUCCCUACUGCAAAGGAAUAAAUUUUAUUUAACUAUCAUGGUGGUUGUUAAACAUUGAGAAUGGUUGACAGCAUUCUCAAUCCCAAUUAAGUAUCAUCAUUAACCCAACAAAAUUAAUUAAAGUAACAUGAUGAGAUUCAUAUGAAAAUCCAAGUACUAGAUACUCAAGUUGUCCAUAACCGGGGACACGGCUAACCAUGAUUAGUUUAUACACUCUGCAGAGGUUUGUGCACUUUUCCCACAAGACUCGAUCGCCUCCGCUUGAUUCUCGCACUACAUGAUGUUUGAGAAACGGAUGACCGAGACACAGUCUUUCGGAAGUGUUUGCACCUUACGAUGUGAUAGACCGUACCACCUACAUCCCCUACAUCUGCUAGUCUACCACUGUAAGAGUUCACACAACUUAAUAAACUAUGCUAGAGCCCAUAAUAGCUUGCGGCUGCACACGGAAGUUUCUAGCAUGAAUAAUCUCAUGAUCCCUUUGAACCUGGGUGGCGGUCCAAAAGAAAAACAGGCAAUCCUGGAAUACCCAGGUACCUCAAUCCACCCAGAUGUGAGUUUUAGUUGCCACCUUAAGUUUAACCAUAUAUUAACAAUCUCACAUUUGUCAUGGAUACACUCAAACCCAAUCCAUGUCUAGUAGCAUAGCAUAGCAAUAUAAGCAAACGUAGAAGUAACUCCCAAGGGUUUGAUAAUAAAACGGGUAAUAGGUACUACCUCAACUACUUCCCAAUACCCAUAGUUUAAUUAGAUCCUAACCAUGCAAUGUUUGAGGAUUGAUCUAAUGCAAUAAAAACUGGGUAUGGAAAGGUAUGAUCAAAGUGUUACUUGCCUUGCUGAUGAUCCGCGAAACCUAGAGAUUCGAAGUAACAAGCGGCGCACUCCGGGUACUCUAUCGCAAACAAACAAGCAAACAAUAAGUACUCAUCUAAUGCACAAGUAAAACUCAAAUAAAAGAUCCAACCAGAAAGUUCAACUUAAGAACUCCGGUUUGCAAAAAGAAUCAAAUCGAACGAAGCAACGAAAGUCAAACGGCGAAAGAAACAAGCUUCGUUUACGAAUCUGGAUCUAGGUCAAAUUUUACAGUAGCAAAAACUUGUUUGAGUAGCUUAAACGGAAAGAAAAUUUCGAGACGAAACUCUAGGCGCUUGAAUCGCCUAAUUCCGAUAAACGAGCGAAAAGUUAAACGAAAACGAAGAUCUGAUCAGGAAUCGACAUCUGGAAAAAUCGCGGAAAAUCGAUGAAAAAGAAAACUGACGAACAGUUAAACGAACGGACAUUCGUUAACAGCGACAAUCCGACGAACACGUUCGUUUAAACGAAUGUGUCGGUGAACGUUCACUAAGUAAUAAAACCGAAAAGAAAAAAAAUAAACCGAUAUGAAAAAAACGAAAACUAGGGUUUAGAGAAAAAAAACGAACGGUUUUUUUAGAAAACCGGCAAGGCGGCGGCGGGUCGGCUACCUCGUCGGGACGGGCUCCGGCGGGGUCGGGCGGGGCUCGGCGAGGGCGGNNNNNNNNNNNNNNNNNNNNNNNNNNNNNNNNNNNNNNNNNNNNNNNNNNNNNNNNNNNNNNNNNNNNNNNNNNNNNNNNNNNNNNNNNNNNNNNNNNNNNNNNNNNNNNNNNNNNNNNNNNNNNNNNNNNNNNNNNNNNNNNNNNNNNNNNNNNNNNNNNNNNNNNNNNNNNNNNNNNNNNNNNNNNNNNNNNNNNNNNNNNNNNNNNNNNNNNNNNNNNNNNNNNNNNNNNNNNNNNNNNNNNNNNNNNNNNNNNNNNNNNNNNNNNNNNNNNNNNNNNNNNNNNNNNNNNNNNNNNNNNNNNNNNNNNNNNNNNNNNNNNNNNNNNNNNNNNNNNNNNNNNNNNNNNNNNNNNNNNNNNNNNNNNNNNNNNNNNNNNNNNNNNNNNNNNNNNNNNNNNNNNNNNNNNNNNNNNNNNNNNNNNNNNNNNNNNNNNNNNNNNNNNNNNNNNNNNNNNNNNNNNNNNNNNNNNNNNNNNNNNNNNNNNNNNNNNNNNNNNNNNNNNNNNNNNNNNNNNNNNNNNNNNNNNNNNNNNNNNNNNNNNNNNNNNNNNNNNNNNNNNNNNNNNNNNNNNNNNNNNNNNNNNNNNNNNNNNNNNNNNNNNNNNNCGGCCUGGCUCGGCUGGGCCUCGGCCCAGUCGGGCGCGGUUUUUUUUUUAAUAUUCCGCCUAAUAUAAAUAAAAUCGCAGAAAAAUAAAUAAAAAUCCAAAAAUGAUAUAACAAAUUUUUCCCCGUCUAAUUAAAAUAAUUAGAAGAAGGUGAACAUUUUUUUGACCCAAAAAUGCAGUUUUGAAAACGUGCAAUUUUUUUAAUGCAAGUAAAAUCCGAAUAAAGUCCAAUAUAUGAUUUUAAUAUUUUUCCUCCAAUAUUUCAAUUAUUUUGGAGAAGUCAUAUUUUCUCCUCUCAUUUAUUUUAAUAUGAAAUAUUUUUCGGAGAGAAAAAUAAUUAAAACCAAAAAUCCUCAUUUUAUUAUUUGAUAAAAAUCAAAUAUGAAAAAUCGGGAAAAUCCCCAACUCUCUCCGAGGGUCCUUGAGUUGCUUAGGAUUUAUCGAGGAUUUGCCAAAAUGCGAUAAAAUAUGCUAUGAAAUGAUGAUCUAAUGUAUAACAUUCCAAAUUGAAAAUUUGGGAUGUUACAGCAUCGGUAAACGCAAAUUAUUGAAAUAUAUCGAGUGCAGUGCUUUGCUGUGUCGCGUCAACUCAUACAUCAACGAGAAGUUUGAUUAUCCUCUCCCUCGCGGACUUAACUGCACCUGCCUUUGGCUGUAUGACAGGUUGGCCACACACCUGUCGGGCCCACCCGUCAUACACGCAAAGGCAGGAGCGUCCCUCCCUCGCCCAUGAGCGUGGUGACUGGCAAGACUAGGAGAAGCUUUCGCUACACGCUCUCCCUCCCACACGCGGUGGACAUGCAGCAGUUCAAUCGGUGUCAGAUGGCCAGAAGCAUACUGUAGUACUCCUCCAGUGCAGUAGUACUCCAUCAUUGUUCGACUUCUCGAAGAGGCGAAGAGCCAAGCGCAGCCCGGACGCUCGUGUGGCAGUUUCAUGUGUAGAGUAGUCUAGGAUAGCAUGUAUCGUGCCUGUAAGCUUAAAAUCGUUGGGGUCGGCUCCAUGCUAUGUGGCCGUCUCGAAGUUUUAAAAAAAAGUCUUCUGUCCCUACCUGACACCCUGGUGAUUGUAGUUUGCACGCUCAUCUGGUCAAGACAGGAAUAUAUAUUUUAAUUUGUUUUUCUUUUUCAAAAAGUGGGGACUCCCCGGCCUCUGCAUCAGAACGAUGCAUACGGCCACAUAUAUUUUAAUUUGUGGUGGGUAAAUGUUAGAGGUUGCAGCAAAUAUAUUGUACACUGCGGGUCUUUUAGCUAAGUUUAGAGGCAAGCAUGUGGGGCCAGUGCUAUGAUGUGUCGCGUCAACUCAUACAACGAGGAGAAGCUUGAAUUUACUACACGCCUUUUCCCUCACCCAUGCGCGCGGUUGCUCGCAAACGAGGACAGGCUUUUGCUUAGUAGUACUUCUACAACAAGCUAUCCGUCCCGCUCGCGGUGGACGGACAUGCAGCAGUGGAUUCGACACUGUAGAAGCAGUAGUAGUAACAUCAUUGUUCGUCUGAGGCGAAGAGCCAAGCGCAAACCGAACGUUGCAGUUGCGAACAUUGGAGCACGCAUAUAGCCAGGCUCUUGCAUGAGACAAAAUUGCUAUGUGAGCCCACUAUUGUACUAGUACGUACAACUACUUGCUAGUAUAGCCCUGUAAACCAGAAAGGAGUAUUUGCCCUUCUAGAGAUUUCAACAAGUGACUAGACUACACCGAGACGGAGUACAUAUGGAGCAAAAUGAGUGAAUCUGCACCGUAAAUAAAUACGUACUAGUUCUAUCGUUUUCCUCUCCGAGGUGCACAAUAUUGAGUAUACUGACUAGUCUCUUUUUGACACGCAUUUACGUUUAUUUUUACACAGUACAGACGCAAGCGCUCAUAUACACGUGCAUACACUCACCCCUAUGAACGCACACAUGCACGACACUAUCAUCUUGAAAUUUACGAAGUCACCAUAGGCACCUCGUUGUCGACGGGUCCAUAGGUGCUUGAAUGCCAAGGAGGGAGAGGGUAGCGGUUCCUGAGACGUUGAACGGUCAAUGAUGCAUCCUCAAUUACAUGCAGAGAGAAUUAAUUGGAGAAGCAGAAUAGAGCCAGCACGAUGUGAAUGCAACAGAGUUUGGACUCUCAUAUAAUAAAGGAGCCCCACCACUCCAAUCCAUCUACUCCCAAGUCUCUGCGCAACACUGCUCACUCCAAUCCAAGACCAAGUGACCAGAAGCCACAAGCACCUAUGGAGGCGAUGGACGCGAGCGGCAGUCGGCUGAGCCAAAUCAUCCAAGGCGCCGGCCUGCGGCCCCGCACCGCGCAGCGUUUCCAGAUGGUGCUGGCAACCGCAAGCAUCGUAGCCCUCGCCGACGCUGGCUUCGCCUCUCGCAUGGACGACAUGAUGGUCAACUCCAUCCGCAAGUUCACCGCCGUGAAGAAGCGCGCGGACAACCUUGCCGUACUGCUCCAGCCCGCGCUCCCAGGCUCCUCAUUGCCUGCCACCCUCAUCGGCCUCCAUGGUGACGAACUCUUUCAAGCCCUGGUGGCCCUGCAGGUGCCGGAGGUCGCGAUGAAGAAUGUGCACCUCGAGGCUGCGCUCGCCGCGCAGCGCCUCGCCAUGCAAGAAACCGUCGACCUGCACAUCCACGUCUACGCCUCGACGGUGUAGAGUGCCCUGAGGUUGAGCACACAGAUGAUCUACGUAUGUUCAAAUACGAUCAACCGUGUGACAGCAGUUCCAAAUCGAGAGGGAAAGGCGAAGAGUCGGUGGACGGUUGCCAGUUUGCCACGGUACACGAAGAGGCGCCCCGGCCUACACGUCCUUUUGGAAAUUGUACAAAAGGACUCGCCGUCUUCUUACUGCACCUGCCUUUGGGUGUAUGACACGUGGGUCCAACGGGUGGCUGGCCAACCUGUCAUACAGCCAAAGGCAGGUGCAGUAGAGGGGCGAGGAGUAGAUGGCCAACACGCACGUGAAUUCAAAGCAGUCUGCACUUCUCAUAUAAAGGCUCCCGCCAGUCCAAUCUACGAAAUCCUACGCACCUACGCACCUAAGGGCAAGAGUGAUCACUCCAAUCGCAAGAUCAGUUGACUAGAAGCUAGACCCACUGAGGCGAUGAGCGCGAGCAUCAGCCGGCUGUGCCAGAUGGUCCACGACGCCGGCCUGCAUCCUGGCAUGGAGGAAUGUCUCCAGGUAGUGCUUGAGGCCGCUAGGGCGAGGGGCCGCUUGGACGACAGCUUCGUCUCCUUGUUCGACGAGGUCCUCAUCGGCUUCCUCAACAAGUUCACCGUCGUCAAGAAGCUCGCGGACGACCUUGACGUACGCCUCCAGCCCACGCGCCCAGGCUCUGUGAUGCCUGCCACCCUCAAAAGCAUCUAUGGUGACAACCUCUUCGACGCACUGGUGGCCCUGCGACUGCCCGCCGUCGCGCUAGAGAAUGUCCACCUCGAGGUCGCGCUCGCCGCGCAGUGCCUGGCGUAGCAAGACACCAUCGACAUAAUCACCCACGUCUACGCGCAAAUCGUCCACAAGGACUACUACAUGCAAGAGGAGGACGAUAGGACGCUGGCCUUCUUGGACCGCAGGGCAACCUUGGACGGCAUUGUUUAGAAGCACAUUGAGCUUGCCGCCAACGCUGCUGCUCCUCACACGUCGGUUGGUGACCCGGUGCACUAGGGCGUGAGGAUGUCGUUGAUGGAUCCGUAUGUAUCUUUAUCUUUUCGUCAAAUCCAUGUAGUAGUAUAUGGUACUACUAGUAAUUGUCUUACCUUUCGCAUCAACUUCAUAAUUUUCCUACGUACUCCAUGCAUGAACCGUGCCAGAACCAAACUUCUCAUUACUCUAGGGAAAAUUGUUAUUUCUAUCUAUCGGUCGCCCCAUGGAGCAGAACCAAAAUUUACAAGUUACAAGUUCAAAAGGAAAAGCCUGCCGUGUUCGCGUCGCACCCCCACACGGUUUGUCCGGCACGCCGCUCAAGGGGGAAUGCGUGCUGUGUUGCAUUUUCACUUACAAGUGGGACCGUAGUUGAGCAAACCGACUAUCGGCAAACCCCCACCCCGCCCACCGUGCGAUGGCUGAGAAAACAGGAGGGAGAAGAGAUGGCUGUAGCUAGCACGGACUCCAAGAAAAUUGGUGUCGGAUGGAACUCGUGUGGGUGGCGUCUGUCGUACUGCUAGACAUGAAUGCUAGUUAUGGCCCAUGCCACCCCACUAUAUCGAGGUGCUGGUUACUCCACUAUAUCGAGUACGUAGAACAAAUUUCCUGGAGUCCGUGCUCGGCCCUCCUCUAUCUCUCUUCUCAGCCAGCCAGCAGACGCGCGGAGCCAUCGUCUGUUUGCUCAUAUGCGGUCCCACAUGUCAGUGAAAACGCAAGAGGACCCACUGAACCUACACAUCUUUCACCUCGACGUGCUGGUGAUGAAAAACAAAUCCAAUAAAGAUCUUCGGUGGUCGCUUUUGGAGUUACUCAAGAGUAGUAAGAUUCUAUUUACAGUUUAACCCAAGAUGCACAUCACGUGGCUUCACCUACCACUCUAUUUUCUUGCAUGACAUGACCUGGAUGCUGGAUGUCCCACGUGUCGGCAAAAGGAGGAAGAACUCGACCAAAUCUUCGGUUGUGCUCUCGGAUUAGACUAGUUGUGCUAACUUAAAAUUUUAUUGUGUAGAAUGGAUGCAAGUUUUGGUAUUGGGAAGAAGAGUACAAUGAUAUAUUGACAGAGCAUAAUUUAGUAGAUGUUCUAGCACUUUUAGCUAGCAUAGAGGCUAGAGAUGAGACUAGUGCACUUGUUGAUAGAAUAGAGGCUAGACACGUCUACUUCUUUACACUCGGAGAAGAAAGAAGCACGCAAGAUCGAGCCUCCGCAGAUCAACAAUGAAUGCAUCGAGAAGGCACUAAUCCAACUUACAGGAGCAGUUAUGGAAGUUGGAUAUCUUCUAAAAUGUAUUCUUGUGGUUCUUGUUUUCUUUGGUCUUGCUUUUCUAGUCAAAAUUUUGGUGAUGUAUUUCCAUGUACCAAAAAAUCAAUGAUGAAAAAAAGAUAUGUGAAUAGUGCACGUACUCAAUGAUAGAGCACGGGAUGGUAGCCAUGGACAUGGUCGGCCCUUUUUGAAGAGAGUACUAAUAAAUAACUUUGAUGUGUCCCGUCAACUCGCAGAAUGACGAGAAGCUUGCUUACUACGCCUUCUCCCUCGCCAACGCGUGCGCGGUGGCUCGCAGCACGAGGAGAAACUUUUGCUUACAAGCGGUGGACGUGCAGCAGUUCAUUUGGUGUCAGAUUGCCACAAGUACUACUGUAGUACCAUCAUUAUUGUUCGACUUCCGGAAGAGGAGAAGAGCCAAGCGCAAGGUCACCUACUAACCUAGUACAGUACUACUAUAGCCAAAGCUGGUCCACCUUUUUAGAGCAUGGUUAAUAAAUAUAGGCGGCUCUUGCAGCGGCACAUCAUUUAGAGCAAGUACUCUCUUCAUAGGAACAAAGGAAGUGAAACAAAAGUUGGAGUGGAUGCUAGAUUGCCAAUUAAAAGAUGAUUACAUAGGAAAAAAAAUCCUAUAGCAUUCUAUCCUAUGAAUCAAAUGACCAAUGUAGGAAAAUUAUGAGGGGGGUCUCUCCAACAGUGUUCCUGGGCUCUCACCUAACAUCACGGUGGUCGAACUUGGAGCCAUUCAUCUGGUACACGUGGCAUCUCAGAUCUGGACACAAGGUGACGCGACCUCUCACUUCCUCCGCCAUUUGAAGCGGCGCGCCAGUGGAGGGCUAGCAUACUCCAAUAUUAGGUUGGCUCUAUGUGAUGUGGCAACUUCAUAUACUAACCGGAUGCUGGCUAUACUACUACGGUACUCACAGUCCAAGAAGUGACUCGAAAACCAUUAAUAAAUUGAGUCUAUGACAUGCAUUCGCAACUGAAAUGUACCAUUCAUUAAAUACAACAAGUCAUCAACACACAACGACAACGAGGAUACAUGUUGGAUUAUAGAUUAUUUCCAACAAAACAUUCUAGCAAAUACUAAAGUUUUCAUCACACAACAAAUAACAAGCAAUGAAAUGAACUUCAACUCAACCAAUCCUCGGCGUUGGAAAUGCUGGCUUUGAACCAUAUGUGCUCUGGGAAGGGCCAGCUAUUGUCAAUAUCGAGAGCAACGCAGGACUGAUCAUCCAGGCUGAAGCGGCAUAUAUCAGGACCAGGGUAGGGAACCACCGAAAUGUCUGAGGUAUAGAUACAGUUGCUUCUCAUAAAUGGUAGUAACGUUGUGUCAACAGCAGCUGGAUCGCCUUUCACCAUCAUUGGAUAGUUUGGUCCAAGGAAGAGCGAGUUUGUUCCAAGACUAUCAAUACUGAACCAGGGAGAAGGUGUUUGCGCUAGCACACUAGUAUCCGUCCUGAAUACCAUGCAAUAGGUGUUGGAAUAGGUCAGGAGAGGGCGACCAUGGGAGACAACACCUGCUUCCUCAGUAGUAACAGUCUAAGUGCACUGUAUACAGACAAGAAGAGGUGAUCCAUCGGAAUUAGUUGCCAGGCGCCACUGAGUAUAUAAGUUCUGCUCCUCCUCAUGCUCGUGAUCAUCACCAUCGUCAUCUCCCCCUUGCUUAUAAAUUUUUUCAAGUAUAGGUGGUGGAAUGUUCACAGGACCUUGGAAACACAAGAAGAAGGUUAAUUAGUAAAGGGAAACUUGCUAACCCGCAUGCAUGUGGAUGAAACAAUUAUAAUUACGGUGGAAGACAAACGUACCGAAACUACGAGGAUCCCAUGCAAAAACAAUGCCACGAGUGGUGGCAGCAAACACAAGAUCCUCGUAUUCAAUUGCAUCAUAGUACACAUCCGUGUAUAGAAACUGAUUUUUGAGCAAUAUCCAUCCAGUCGAACCACGAAGGACGGCAACAAGCUUGUCGAAGAUAGCAACAACUUGAUAGUUCUUGUAAUUCCAAGAGCGGUUGGGAACUCGACAAAUUGGUAUCUUCAGUAGACGACAGUCACCAUGAUCGUAUUUGAACGUACGUAGAUCAUCUGUGUGCUCAACCUCAGGGCACUCGGAGAUUUUUGGAAGUGGAAUCCGCUGACGAGUGUACACAUUCACAAGUUCCCAGUCGCAAUUGUACCCAAUAUAAACAACCCAAUCUCCAUUUGUGCCAGCCCAGGACUUACCCUUAAGCGAUGGCAUCUUGACAUCACACGUAUCAUUAUCAAGCGGCAUCAACUUGCACAAGGCGAGGCCUCCGUCGUCCGCGCCCAUGCGAACAGGCUUAUAGAGAAGAAGAUAAGGGAGAUCAAACCGCUCCUGGACCCUUGGGUUCCUUGUAAUGAUGUUAUUAGUUGAGUCGAGAAUGGGCUUGAACGAACCUGCCAUGCUAGCCGAGGUGAUGACGUCGCACCGAUCAAUGAGUUCCCCCACCACGUCAUCUUUCAGAUCGGGGCAAGAAUAACGGGGUCAUUUCCGGCUUGUUCCCUCCAUGGAGAAGACGAUCGAACAAUGGCUGAAGGAAGGUGAAGGCAAAUGGAGGGGGGAGGAAGAGUGUGCGACAGCAGUUCCAAAUCGAGAGGGAAAGGCGAAGAGUCGGUGGACGGUUGCCAGUUUGCCACGGUACACGAAGAGGCGCCCCGGCCUACACGUCCUUUCGGAAAUUGUACAGAAGGACUCGCCGUCGUCUCACUGACAUGUUGGAACGGGACCACAUGUCAACGAAACAUCGUGUGUAAUUUCUCGUGCAAAAUGCGAUCUAGCCGCGUUGGCCCGAGGUGCCGCAUUAUUUCUUGACUUUAUUUUUUUAAUGGCGUGCCGUUCAGUUUUGAAGCACGACUAACUGGUACUGUUUGCAGAGAAAAUAUAAACUACUCUACCACUACUCCACCUCUAGUACUAGUAGUAUAAAAAAGAUAUAUAGGCUGGAGCUUCAGAGCUUUCUUGCUAAGGGCUGCCCACUUGCUUCUCACACUAUCACCCUCUCUCCAGAUCUAAAAAAGACGGCCUCUCUCUCCCUCCUCACCGGUGGUCACAGAUCCGCCGGGGAAGAAAAAGAUGUGCAGUGUUGAUGCACUCGUCGUCGGCGAGCGAGGUCACGCACUGACGACAAGGCCGUCCUCUCAGACCUAGCGCCCGCGCGGAAUGGCCUCCGUCCCCAAGCUCGCUGUCGUAGUGCGUGUGGAGGACGAUGACCACGAGCGAAGCCACUUCCCGCUGACCCUCAGGUAUGCUACCUCUUUUCGAACCAUACCCUUGCUCUAUUGCCCCAUCUGCCAUGUCGCUGCAUGUGGAUCUUUUUCCACUCCACCAUCUUCCCAAUUUGCUAUCCUCUGCUCUGCUGGUCACGCAGACGAAAACCUUAAUUUCACUAUUAAAGGAAACCCUACUUCAUGCAGACUAAUCCAUGUCUGGGUUGAAUAAGGAAAGGAAGGGAGACUGUACUAUCCAAGAGAGUAGGCAUCGAACCCGCAUCUAGGUUGAGAAGGGGAAAAUCAGUAGCUAAGGAACGAGUCUCGUGUCUCUUGGUUGAAGAAGGGUAGAAAGGCAUGACAACGCAAUAGAGAAUGACCAGGUCGAUCGGUUUGUUGUCCUCACAUAGGAAAAAGGUGGCUAAACAUAACAAAAAUGGGACGUAUCCACAUAUGCUGUCUGGAUAUUUGUUGCUCUGGGCAACCAUACCUCCCUCACCACUCUAUGCGUCCGUGGAGGUACAUCGUACUGGUGCGCCCACUAUCCGAAUGGGCCUCGCAUGCUCUUAGUCUAACUUUUUUGUUGUUAGUAUAACGCUAGCAGUCAAGUCAAGCAAUGCUACUGCUAAAGUGAUGCCACAUUUAACUAAUGCCGCACUCAGUCUAAUGCCACCGAUAAAUUUAAGCAAUGCCAUUUAAUGUCACUGGAUUAUUUCAGGGUUAGCUGUUGAUUGUGGAUGUAUUAAAGAUUUUUCAACUAAGACAUUCUAAUGAUGUUGCACAGCCAGUAUACCAACGAUGAAACUUGUUACUACCUUCAUCAGCCUCUGGUGCCUUAUUUAUUCCUUCAAAAAGGUGGUUAGAAACAGUCUUGCUACCUUUUCCCAUUAAGAAAUUGGAAUGCUUAUAUUUGUGAGUCUAUGCAUCAACUAGUGCCACUUUUAUAGUAAUCACACUUUCAAUAUCUAUGCAAACAGGGAUGCUCGAUUUUAGUGGAACUGCACAAAAAGUCCAACUGGUUCAACAUUAGGAGCAUGUUUUCUCCCAAACCUUUAUAUCCAAUUGGUGGCACUAUGAGCUGUUCAUUAAGAAGGUACAUGGUUUGCUACUAUCUUGCUACUCUUUUUGUACUGUCAUUAGAUAGUAAUACUAGUGGUUUGCACGUGAAUUUAUUGGCAGGGUGGACCUACAUUGGAGGUGCAGGACAUGAUUCAAUGACUGGAUGCUCAAUUUCGGUUGUAUCGAUUUCACCUCUUCCAUCACUGCGAACAUGGAUAUCCUUGGUCUGAUGAAGACUAGGCGCUAUAUUUCUGCUCUGAACAAGCAAAUCAAUUCAGUAUGAAAUUGUCCAGGGCAAAACAUGACUGUAUCAAAUUGUCCAGUGCAAAACAUGACAGAUCUAAGCGGAAGAGACAUGUUUAAACCAAAAAUACAAGGUGGGGUAUAUGUUUACUAGCUGCUUGAUAUUUGUGCAGACAGAGAUGUCUGCCCGUUGCUAUUUAGCAAACACACAAAGUGACCGCAAUUUUGGUUGAACUGCACAAGAGAAUAGUAUAGUCACUACAUGCAGUGCCAUUUGAAAAUAGACACAGAAAGAUUGGAUAGUCACUUCAUGGACUGCAGAAAAGUAGUACUGUACUAUUUAUUGGCCAACACUAGGUGCUUCAUUCCUUUGGUCUGAUUAUACAAUGGGCAUCAUUUUGCCUAAGUUAAAGUUUGUAUUCCGAAAAUAGUCUCGCCGUGUGAUCAAGAGAAGACCAAAUCAUAUUGCAGUGGAUGUUCCUCCAUCAUGUGUGUUUCAUUCCCAUGGUUCCAGCUGUUGGUAAGACCAAAUCAAACGUUUGCAAGAGGAAUUGUAGACUUCACAAACAAAUUUGUCAUUCAGUCUGUACUGAAUGUUGGCCAAGAGAAGCAUCCAUGUUAGUAGGAAGAACAUAUGUUUUUUCUAGAUCUUUGCUUUUGGAGCUACAUAUUUGUAUAUGAUAUGUGAAUCAUUGAGAUCCAUUAACAUGUUGAUCUUAUGUAUGGGAAUCGUACUAGUCGGUUUUAGUUGUGGCUGAUAUUUGCUUUUGGAGCUACAUAUUUGUAUAUGAUCUGUGAAUCAUUGAGAUGCAUUAACAGUUCCUUAUAUCUGUUCGCUCAGUGUUUACAAGUUACCGAUCGAUCACUAGCUAGCCUACUAAUGCCCUCCUGGCUAUUUUAGUUGCGACGCAAGAUCCGAAGUGGCAGUUUUUUUAACAGAAAUGCCUACCUUUGAAAAAACUGACAAGCUGCUCUGAAGAAAAUGCCAUGCGAAUCUGAAGAAACUGCUAGCAAAAACGUUCGCAAAUGCCUUAUCUCCCAGCUAAAGUUCAUCAAUUAAUGCCCUCGGCUGUGACUCGUUGCAUGCUGCUCCGCAUACUGGCUGCGAGCGAUUUUGAGUGCCCGCAUGCAGCCGGCCGUAAUUAAGGCAGCUAACUGAUGCGAAAAAAGAUGUGCUUUAAUUGUUGCGGGCCUUUUAAAUCCGUGGAAUCAUUAUUGACAAGGAGGGAGAUGAUUCGAGUGCACUCGUUUGACCGUAAGGCCGGCGUGCGACCCAGCACGAACGGGACGGGACGGCACAGUCAGAAUUUCAGUUUCUCUAGUUUUCCACGGCAAGCUGGCGCGCUAAGCCAUGCCUGCUUCAUUAUACAUUGAAUUCUGAUGACCGUCGCGCUACCUUCCGCUUAUAAGUACUGUUUUUCGGCCUUCUAUGGUGGCACCGUGACCCAACUCGCCCUAUCCUCAUAAGCCCCCACCGGCCCGACGUUGCUCGCCACUUAUCCUCGCUCUCGCCACGUCCGCCAUGCCCCCGCCCGUCUGCGAUAGGCGUGGCCGGAGGCGGUCACCGCCGGAACUAGUGUUCGGUUUUUCACCGGAAGGCAGACGGAGGGAGGAGGCAUUCUAUCGGUCUUUAGAUGGCAAUGCGGAGAUCGAGGACUUGUUGGAGCGCGACCGCCUGGUGGAGGAGCAGGAGUUGUUGGAGCACGACCGCUUGGCGGAUGAGCAGCAUAUCGCCGAUUUGCGCCACCAGCGGGACAUGGAGCAGCAGCGCACCGACGCUCUGAGUCGCGAGCAGAGCGCCCGCACGUGGGCCGACUACGUGGAGGCCGGUGCCCGGCAAAUAGCCCUGGAGGCUGUCGGGCACGCACGCGUUCGCGACGCCAAUUUUUACUACCAGCUCGUCAAGUGGGUUUCCCGCUUAGAAGCCGAAGCUUCGGUGGACCACGCCGGCAUGGAAAGGGCCAACGCGUGCGAGCAACGCGCCCUAUCGCACCUCUGGCAAGUCCGAGGCGAGGCGGAGGACGCCAGUGCCGGCGUUUAGCGUGUACCGCAGAUGGCGGCCGGCAUCGUCUAGUUAGCUAAGAGUAAGUUAGUACUUGUACGCUACUAGAGUAUUAGUGGAAGUAGAUAGUUAACUUGGCUAUGAUGGUUGUCAACGUGGAAGUUCAGUACUCUAUAUGUGGAUCAGACCUGUUACUUUGCUCUGAAUGUUGAACUUUCUGUUUGAACAUAUGGAAUGGGCUGUUAUUUUUUUUUAAUGGGUUGUAUUUGUCCUCCACGGGUUUAGAGGCUGACUCGUGGGCCUACCAAGUUGACGCGUACACAACCAGGAGAUGAUUGUACGUGGAGAGGAUGACAGCAGGGACCCGCCAAGGUCAUGGCAGUACGCAAGCAAAGUGCCUCCUUAUUUCAAUCCAAUAAAAAAUGGCUCCUCGUAAUGGAUUUCUGACAUCUGGGUCCCACGCCAUUGUCAACGUAGUCAAUAAACGAGAGUUGCACAACGAGCGGCUGACAUCAGGGACCCAGCAGCUCGCCUAGUUAUUUUUGUUUUGGGUUAAUUUGAUAAAUACCACUCCAAAUCUGGCGUUUCUAAGAAAUGCCAUUGCAAUUUCCAAACUUUGAAAAAUGCCAUUUCAUGCCAUCCCCAGUGGCAUUUUUCGAAGUCUGGAGUGGCGUUUUUCAAAGUUUGCAAAUUGCAGUGGCGUUUUCCAAAGUUUGCAAAAAUUGAAGUGGCAUUUUUCAAAGUUUGGAAAUUGCAGUGGCAUUUUUAUGAAUCGCCAUAUUUGUUGUGGCAUUUAUCUAAUUUGUUUUUGAGACGGAAGCAGGGUAUCAACUGGGCUGUGCAGGGCACUCUGGCAUGUCUAGACAGCCUUCUCUUUUAUGUUUACCACAGACCAGCCCAGUAGUUUUCUUUCUUUCUGAAAAUGGCCAGCCCAGUUUUUUUGUGAUUUGCCAAGUAAGUCGCUUUGUCAGGCCUAUUGGGCUGCAAAUCUUUCAAGAUGAGGAGAGCUUCAUUCGGCUGGACGAGAAAAUGGCCUAUCAGUAAUGAGAAAUGGGUUGUACAUUUUUAAAACACAUCAAACCGGCAAUUACUUUCAAAUUUCUUUUUUUUCAUUUCAAGAUUUUAAAUUGCAUUAAUUUUUAUGUGUGGACAAUUUGUUGGAUUUUAUAUUGAUAUACAUUUAUUUUUAAAAUCAGUUUGAAUGUGACUCGAAAUUUCGGGAUUAAAACAGUUCGGACCGCACCGAAAUAUGCAACAUUUCGUAUAAUUUUUUAACCGUGGCCACAAUAUGGGCUGUAAUGCUAACAAAAAGAAUAUGGGCUCCAAAAGUAACCUUCAGAAUUAGCAAAUGGGCUGUAAAUUAUUAGAAAUAAUGGCAGAUGGGUUGUAUGCUGUUUUCCACAGAUUUGAGGCUUUCCUAAAAAAAGGUUGGCGCACAAGCAGUGACUGUUGGAUGGCCAUCCAACGGCCGUCGUGCUUCUUCAAUCUCUGCUCUUCCUGCUCCAGCCGCUCAAACAAGCGCCGGCGGGACUGCCUGCUCCCUCCUCCCUGCGGCCAGCUCUGCUGCCGCGCAGGCCUCACCGCCCCACCGUACUCCCAUCGCUGGCCUAGCCAUCCCUCUACUCACCCACACCUGCUGUUAUUCUCCGGCGACGGCAGACGAACCAGUAAACCCUCGUACAGUCGUACUCCCCUCCGCGUGGGAAACAACUGCCGAGUCUUCCCCCGUGUCGUUCCCUUCCUAGGCCUCGCCGUCGUCCACCGCCCUGGUGCUCUCGGCGCGGCCUGGUCAACGUGGUCAACGACCGACAUGCAUCUGAAGUGGACUGUACGUGGAGAGGCCGACAGCUGGGUCCACGACCGCACGCAAGGAAAUGCCUCCUUAUUACGCGCAAAAUAAUGAUUCCUCCACCUGACAUCAGGGACCCACCGAAAGGGCCUCUGUAUUUCACAAAAAAAAUGUUACCGCCGCUGACAGCUCGGACCCACCAGCUAUUUCUUCGCACGCAAGGAAGUGCCUCCUUAUUACGCACAAAAAAAAGAAUACUCCCCCUGCUAGCUGGGACCCACCAUGGUGGGAGGCUGACUUGUGGGCCUACUAAGUUGUCUGGGAUGGGGGCCUUUUGUCAACUUUAGUCAAUAUGAACGAUUCUAGCUCCAGUGACCGUACGAUGUCCAUCCAACGGCCGUAGUGCUUCUUCAACCUCUGGUCUACUUGCUCCAGCCGCCCAAAGCAGCGCCGGUCGUGCCGCAUGCUCCUGCCUCCCGUGGCCGGCUAUGCUGCCGCGGAGGCCUCACCGCCCCCUACUAUUCCCACCGCUGGCCAGGCCCUGUGGCGACGGCAGCCUCACACCGCAGCCGAACCAAUGAACCCUCGUACUCCUCUCCGCGCGGGCUUCCACUGCCACGUCUUCCCCGGCUCCCCGUCAUCCCCUUCCUAGGCCUCGCCGUCGUCCACCACCCUGGUGCUCUCGGCGCGGCGUGGUCAACAUGGUCAAGGAACGACUUCCAUCGGACGUGGACUGUACGUGGAGAGGCUGACAGCUGGGUCCACGGCCGCAGCAAGGAAGUGCCUCCUUAUUACGCGGAAAAUAAUGAUUCCUCCACCUGACAGCUAGGACCCACCAGACGGGCCACUGUAUUUCGUGAAAAAAAACGUUUCCCCCUGACUGCUGGGACCCACCAGCUACAUCUUCGCACGCAAGGAAGUGCGUUCGGGUAAAAAACGAUUCGCCCCCCUGACUGCUGGGACCCAGAAGCUACAUCUUCGCAGGCAAGGAAGUGCCUGACAGUCAGGACCCACCUGGUCGAAGCGUAUGUAGCGUUGUCAUUCUGGUCGCGAACGUGUACGUACAUAUAUACUGGUGGAUGUAGAGGCGCGCACGUGUCGUAGUAGAGGCGCGCACGUAGCAUGUACACGUACGUACAGCGGCCAGUGUGCAAGAAAAAAAAUACGGCCACGUACGUACAUACGGGCAGGGUCUCGAAUGCCUACUCGCGCAUACGUACGGCCAGGGCUCGUGUACAUGGCUGGGUCGGAACGGAGAAACAGCGUCAUCGUCGUGUUCAUGGGGAGCCAACCGGCUAGGUCGGAACGGAAUGCGUCGUCGUGUUCAUCGGGAGGGCUUGGAUGGAACAGCCGAUGGAAACGAGGCCUGGCGUACCGCAGAACAGAGGAAACGGCCUUGUGUUCGACCAGCCACGUUUGAAACGGGAUCCUGUUCAUCGGGAGGGGUCUGGCGUACCGCAAAACGGAGGAAACGGACAUCCUACGGUCGAAACGGGGGUCCUAUUGAUCGGGAGGGGUGUGGCGUACCGCAAAACGGAGGAAACGGACUUGUGUUGGAGCACUAUGGUCGAAACGGGGGUCCUGUUCAUCGGGAGGGGUCUGGCGUACCGCAAAACGGGACUCCACGAGAUACUGUUCAUCUCCACCGUCGACCCCCUCCAGCCUCCACGGGCUACUGUUCAUCCACCGUCGAUCUCCUCCAGCCUCCACCUGCGACUGUUCAUCCACGGGCUCCUGUUCAUCCAGCCUCCACCACGCGCUACUCCACCGGCUACUGUUCAACCAGCCCUCUCCACGGGCUCCUGUUCAACCACCCCUCCACGGGCUACUGUUCAUCCAGCCCUCCACCGUCUACUGUUCAUUCUGCCCUCCACGGGGUGGUCCUGUUCAUCCUGCCCUCCACGGGGUCCUAUUCAUCCAGCCCCAACCGGCUCGAUCGAUCGGGGUCCUGUUCAUCCAGAGGCAACACCACGGGGUCCUGUUCAUCCACCCCCACCGGGAACUGUUCAUCCAAACCCCCCCAGCAACGCUCACUGUUCAUCCAGAGGCAACAUCGAUCGGCUUCAGUUAGCAGCAGUAGCGAAGGAAUCGCUUGAUCGGGUUCAGUUAACAGCCAUCGAUCGAUCGCUCGGGUUCAGUAACGCAUAGCCUGCAGUGCAAUCGCUCGGGUUCAGUUAGAGCCCAACGCCUCGCUCGGGUUCAGUUAGAGCCAACGCCUCGCACACAUGCACGUACGUGUACGAGAGAAACGCGCAUUGCUCGGCCCCCGACCUCCCACCGUAACCGGGAACUCCCCAAAAUUUUCCUCGCCCUCGCUUCUACCAUGGUUUUUUUCGUCAUGGACGGCCCAAAGAAUGUCAUGCAGCUGCGUCUCCGGCCCGCCCAGGACGAAAAGCCCAUUUUCUGUCAUGAUUUUUUGUCAUAGAAGUAGGAGCCCACCACAUCUAUGAUGAUACCGGGUUUUGUCACAAUUAUCGUCAUAGAAGUGUCACAUGUAUGACAGAAAAAAAAUUCUUUCGGCCCAAAAUGUCACGGAUGUGUCUUUUUUUGUAGUGUAUUAUUCUUGGUAGACCUUUCCUUAGAACGAUUGGUGCAAUUAUUGAUAUGAAGGAAGGAAAUAUUAGAUUCCAAUUUCCGUUAAGGAAAGGCAUGGAACACUUUCCUAGAAAGAAAAUAAAAUUACCUUAUGAAUCUAUUAUGAGAGCCACUUAUGGAUUGCCUACCAAAGAUGGCAAUACCUAGAUCUAUCCUUGCUUUUAUGCCUAGCUAGGGGCGUUAAACGAUAGCGCUUGUUGGGAGGCAACCCACUUUUAUUUUAGUUUUUUGCUUUUUGCUCCUGUUUAGGAAUAAAUCUUUGAUCUAGCCUCUGGUUAGAUGUGUUUUUAUGUUUUAAUUAGUGUUUGUGCCAAGUAAAACCUAUAGGAUCUUCUUGGAUGAUAGUUAUUUGAUCUUGCUGAAAAUUCCAGAAACAUUCUGUUCACAAAAACAAUUGUUAAAAAUCACCAGAACGUGAUAAAAUAUUGAUUCCAAUUGAAGCAGAUCAAUAAACAAAUUAUCUAGGUCGUCCUAUUUUGGUAGAUUUUUCUGAGUUCCAGAAGUUUGCGUUAGUUACAGAUUACUACAGACUGUUCUGUUUUUGACAGAUUCUGUUUUUCGUGUGUUGUUUGCUUAUUUUGAUGAGUCUAUGGUUAGUAAAAUAGUUUAUAAACCAUAGGGAAGUUGGAAUAAAGUAGGUUUAACACCAAUACAAAUAAAUAAUGAGUUCAUUACAGUCCCUUGAAGUGGUGUUUUGUUUUCUUUCGCUAACAGAGCUCACGAGAUUUUCUGUUAAGUUUUGUGUUGUGAAGUUUUCAAGUUUUGGGUAAGGAUUUGAUGGAUUAUGGAACAAGGAGUGACAAGAGCCUAAGCUUGGGGAUGCCCAAGGCACCACAAGGUAAAUCCAAGGACACCGAAAAGCCAAAGCUUGGGGAUGCCCUAGAAGGCAUCCCCUCUUUCGUCUUCGUCCAUCGGUAACUUUGCUUGGAGCUAUAUUUUUAUUCACUACAUGAUAUGUGUUUUGCUUGGAGCGUCUUGUAUGAUUUGAUUCUUUUCUUUUUAGUUUACCACAAUCAUCCUUGCUGUACACACAUUUUGAGGGAGACACACAUGAUUCGGAAUUUGUUAGAAUACUCUAUGUGCUUCACUUAUAUCUUUUGAGCUAUAUAGUUUUUGCUCUAGUGCUUCACUUAUAUCUUUUAGAGCACGGUGGUGGUUUUAUUUUAUAGAAAUUAUUGUUCUCUCAUGCUUCACUUAUAUUAUUUUUAGAGUCCUAUAAAACAGCAUGGUAAUUUGCUUAAAUUGUGAAAUUAGUCCUAAUAUGAUAGGCAUCCAAGAUUAGUAAAACUUUCUUAUGAGUGCAUUGAAUAUUAUGAGAAGUUUGAUACUUGAUAAUUGUUUUGAGAUAUGAAGAUGGUGAUAUUAGAUUCAUGCUAGUUGAGUAGUUGUGAAUUUGAGAAAUACUUGUUCUAAAGUUUGUGAUUCCCGUAGCAUGCACGUAUGGUGAACCGUUAUGUGAUGAAGUCGGAGCAUGAUUUAUUUAUUGAUUGUAUUCCUUAUGAGUGGCAGUCGGGGACGAGCGAUGGUCUUUUCCUACCAAUAUAUCCCCCUAGGAGCAUGCGCGUAAUACUUUGUUUCGAUAACUAAUAGAUUUUUGCAAUAAGUAUGUGAGUUCUUUAUGACUAAUGUUGAGUCCAUGGAUUAUACGCACUCUCACCCUUCCACCAUUGCUAGCCUCUCUAAUACCGCGCACUUUUCGCCGGCACCCACCAUAUACCUUCCUCAAAACAGCCACCAUACCUACCUAUUAUGGCAUUUCCAUAGCCAUUCUGAGAUAUAUUGCCAUGCAGCUUACCACCGUUCCGUUUAUUAUGACACGCUCCAUCAUUGUCAUAUUGCUUUGCAUGAUCAUGUAGUUGACAUCAUAUUUAUAGCAAAGCCACCUGCAUAUUAUUUCAUAGAUGUCACUCUUGAUUCAUUGCAUAUCCCGGUACUCCGCCGGAGGCAUUCACAUAGAGUCAUAUUUUUGUUCUAAGUAUUGAGUUGUAAUUCUUGAGUUGUAAGUAAAUAAAAGUGUGAUGAUCAUCAUUAUUAGAGCAUUGCCCCAGUGAGGAAAGGAUGAUGGAGACUAUGAUUCCCCCACAAGUCGGGAUGAGACUCCGGACGAAAAAUAGAAAAAAGAAAAAAAAAGGAAAAAAAAAGAGGCCAUAAAAAAAGAGAAAAGGCCCAAAUAAAAAAAUGAGAGAAAAAGAGAGAAGGGACAAUGUUACUAUCCUUUUACCACACUUGUGCUUCAAAAGUAGCACCAUGAUCUUCAUGAUAGAGAGUCUCCUAUGUUGUCACUUUCAUAUACUAGUGGGAAUUUUACAUUAUAGAACUUGGCUUGUAUAUUCCAAUGAUGGGCUUCCUCAAAAUGCCCUAGGUCUUCAUGAGCAAGCGAGUUGGAUGCACACCCACUUAGUUUCUUUUGUUGAGCUUCCAUACACUUAUAGCUCUAGUGCAUCCGUUGCAUGGCAACCCCUACUCACUCACAUUGAUAUCUAUUGAUGGACAUCUCCAUAGCCCAUUGAUACGCCUAGUUGAUGUGAGACUAUCUUCUUCUUUUUUGUCUUCUCCACAACCACCAUUCUAUUCCACAUAUAGUGUUAUGUCCAUGUCUCACGCUCAUGUAUUGUGUGAAGAUUGAAAAAGUUUGAGAACAUCAAAAGUAUGAAACAAUUGCUUGGCUUGUCAUCGGGGUUGUGCAUGAUUAAAUACUUUAUGUGAUGAAGAUAGAGCAUAGCCAGACUAUAUGAUUUUGUAGGGAUAACUUUCUUUGGCCAUGUUAUUUUGAGAAGACAUGAUUGCUUUGUUAGUAUGCUUGAAGUAUUAUUAUUUUUAUGUCAAUAUUAAACUUUUAUCUUGAAUUUUUCGGAUCUGAACAUUCAUGCCACAAUUAAGAGAAUUACAUUGAAAAUUAUGCCAAGUAGCAUUCCACAUAAAAAAUUCUGUUUUUAUCAUUUACCUACUCGAGGACGAGCAGGAAUUAAGCUUGGGGAUGCUUGAUACGUCUCCAACGUAUCUAUAAUUUUUUAUUGUUCCAUGCUAUUAUAUUAUCUGUUUUGGAUGUUCAAUGCGAUUUAUUAUACACUUUUAUAUUAUUUUUGGGACUAACCUAUUAACCGGAGGCCCAGCCCAAAUUGCUGUUUUUUGCCUAUUUCAGUGUUUCGAAGGAAAGGAAUAUCAAACGGAGUCCAAACAGAAUGACACCUUCGGGAACAUGAUUUUCGGAACAAACGUGAUCCAGAGGACUUGGAGUGGACGUCAAGCAAUCAACAAGGAAGCCACGAGGCAGGGGGCGCGCCUACCCCCGGGACGCGCCCUCCACCCUCGUGGGCCCCUCCUAGCUCUCCUGACCGACCUCCUUCUCCUAUUUAUACUCAUACACCCUGGAAACAUCAUAUACGGGGCCAAAACCCUAUUUACACCUCCGCAACCUUCUGUACCCAUGAGAUCCCAUCUUGGGGCCUUUUCCGGCGCUCCGCCGGAGGGGGCAUUGAUCACGGAGGGCUUCUACAUCAACACCAUAGCCUCUCCGAUGAUGUGUGAGUAUUUACCUCAGACCUUCGGGUCCAUAGUUAUUAGCUAGAUGGCUUCUUCUCUCUCUUUGGAUCUCAAUACAAAGUUCUCCUCGAUUCUCUUGGAGAUCUAUUUGAUGUAACUCUUCUUUUGCAGUGUGUUUGUCGAGAUCCGAUGAAUUGUGGGUUUAUGAUCAAGAUUAUCUAUGAACAAUAUUUGAAUCUCCUUUGAAUUCUUUUAUGUAUGAUUGGUUAUCUUUGCAAGUCUCUUCGAAUUACCAGUUUGGUUUGGCCUACUAGAUUGAUCUUUCUUGCAAUGGGAGAAGUGCUUAGCUUUGGGUUCAAUCUUGCGGUGCUCGAUCCCAGUGACAGUAGGGGAAACGACACGUUUGUAUUGUUGCCAUCGAGGAUAAAAAGAUGGGGUUUAUAUCAUAUUGCAUGAGUUUAUCCCUCUACAUCAUGUCAUCUUGCUUAAAGCGUUACUCCGUUCUUAUGAACUUAAUACUCUAGAUGCAUGCUGGAUAGCGGUCGAUGUGUGGAGUAAUAGUAGUAGAUGCAGGCAGGAGUCGGUCUACUUGUCACGGACGUGAUGCCUAUAUACAUGAUCAUACCUAGAUAUUCUCAUAACUAUGCUCAAUUCUAUCAAUUGCUCGACAGUAAUUCGUUUACCCACUGUAAUACUUAUGCUAUCUUGAGAGAAGCCACUAGUGAAACCUAUGGCCCCCGGGUCUAUUUUCUAUCAUAUUAAUCUCCCGUCAACAAGUUAUUUCUAUUGUCGUUUAUUUUGCUUUCUUUACUUUUAGUCUUUAUCAUAAAAAUACUAAAAAUAUUAUCUUAUCAUCUCUAUCAGAUCUCACUUUUGCAAGUGGUCGUGAAGGGAUUGACAACCCCUUUAUCGCGUUGGUUGCAAGGUUCUUAUUUGUUUGUGUAGGUGCGUGGGACUUGAGCGUGGUCUCCUACUGGAUUGAUACCUUGGUUCUCAAAAACUGAGGGAAAUACUUACGCUACUUUACUGCAUCACCCUUUCCUCUUCAAGGGAAAACCAACGCAGUGCUCAAGAGGUAGCACCAAGCAACGUGUGGUCAUGCCUCUACACAAGUGGAAAGCCAAGGAGUGGGAAGCCUUCCGAAAAAGGAAUCCGUACAUGGUUCCCAUUGUGCCUCGAUGGACUAUUGUUCAGUUCCGGAAUGAGAUGCAAGUGAGGAUUGUUCAUGAGCUUUGCAAGCAUAACAAGAAUCAGUAUACCAAGCAAUGGACCAUUGACCUGUAUCAUUGGAGGGGCAACAUGGAGUACUCUGGAGGGACUUUGGCUCUCUGUGAGGAGUUUGAUUUGGUGAAGCUCAUGUCUAUCAACUGUGACUUUGAUGUUCAGCUCAUCCAUCAGUGUUAUGCAACCGUUCAUUUUGGUGAGGAUGAUGCUCGCACUCUCUCAUUUAGGUGUCGUGAUGAGUUCUUUCAAGUGCCCUGGAGAGCCUUCUGCAAUGCUCUUGGCUAUGAGGAUACCGGUCUCGAUGGUAAUGGUGGCAUUCAUCCUCACGACCAUCCCCACUCUAUGCCUAAGGAGAAGCUAGCACCUCUCUACAUCCGUGGGAGGGGCAUUAUUGGUGAGUCCAAGGAUCUUGAGAAGGUUUAUGAUAUCAUGCAUCGUGUGUUUGGCAAAUGUGCUCCUGCCCAAGGUUGGAAAUCAGGAUGAGAUCCAUGGGUAUCUUGUUGACUUGAUGGUUGCCGUGAAGACUAAAGUGGGGACUGGUACGACGUUUGAUGUGUCCAAGUGGCUUUGGGAGAAGAUGUACAACAUGGUCAUCUACAGAAAGGCCCCCAUCUAUGCACCAUUUGUCAUGUGCUUUCUGUACUCGGUUUGAGCUGUUCGCCGUGCUGGAGAGCUUCUCACUGCGCCAGAUAACCUCACCGUGCAUGAGGUCAAGCAGCUUAAGAAGAAGAAGCAUGCCGAGCCUCGCUUUCCUGCUGAUGAUCCCGAGGAUGUCUAUGCCACUUCAGAUGAUGAGGAUUUCGAGAUGGAGCCUAGUGCCAAGCCUUCCUGGGUGACCAAGCUCACAACUAAAGUGAAGAAGACUUUUUGCCUUCAAUCUCACAUUCAGAAUAAGAUGUAUGAGGCACAUGUUAAUGAGAAGCUUGCUCGGCGCCGUCAGAUUGCCAUGAUGAAGCACCUCAACAUGCCUAUGAAGAGUGGAUCUAAGAAGAGCAUCACUCCAGAGGACAAGUGGAUUUCUGCGUAUAGCACCUGGACUGAUAAUGAGGCUGAGGCAUCUGGCCAUCCUGCUACCUCCACUUUGGCUGUUGUUAAUGAUACCAUGGAGGAAGAUGAGCAGUCUGAAGAUCAUGAUUCAGAUGAGACCAAGGGGUCAGACGAGAUCUACUGAGCUCUGGCGCGUUAGCAUCGCUCUUUUCCUUUUUGGUGUCUUGAUGCCAAAGGAGGAGAGAGGUUUACUAGGUCUCGGGAUUUGCAUGGGUUGGUUACUUGCCUCGUGUUGAGAGUUGAACUUGGUCUUUCAUUUGCUUUCCUUCAGUUUGUGAACCUUGUGGUGCGUGACUUUAGCAUGGUGUGAGACAUGCGUCCUAUUUAUGCUUAGGGUCUAUCCUAGUUGGUUGUUUGUAUUUACGCUUAUUGUCUAUCAUUUUUGCUCUUUCAUAGUGGUUGGUCUAUAAAAUCUAGAGGGAGAUUUUUCCCUAAUGUGUGACUUUGCAUUUCAAAAGAAAAUCCAAAGAGUGCACACAUUUAGGAGGAGCCCGUCUACAUUGUAUAGACCCUCUAUGCAAAUCUUGUAGUUGUCAUCAUCCACCAAAAAGGGGGAGAUUGUUAGGGCAUUUCCCAUCUUUUUGUUUUGGGUGAUGAUGACAACUCUCCUUGUGAUAUAAUCGUGUGCUAAGUUCUUCAGGUACUCUAUGCUUAGGUACAAGUUGCAUUGGCUAGACAUUCCCUCUGGACGAAAAAGAUCGAAGACAGCGUUAUCUGCGUGUCUAUUUCUUUGGUUGUAGGGAACCCGUACUAUUAAGAGGGAAUCCACAUCGGAAGGUAUUGGGUGAAUCAAUGCACGUACACACUUCUCUUCACCCACCAUUCCCUUCCGUUCUAGGAAGAGAGAGGUCCCUUUGUUCCAAUGUGAAACAGUGCUUUCUCCUUAUAGCGGUUGUACCGCCCACAAGGGCGUUUGUAUCGUUGGCCCUGUUCUACCGGCUCAACCACCGCCCCAGGGGUGAUACCCUGGGGUUGCACCUCCCAGGUAUAUGCCCAACGGUUGUACCAUUGCCCCCGGCAGUGGUGCCGCCACUGCGCUGGGAAAACCCAAGAGUGGCUUCACAGGCGGUUGUACCGGCCAGGUACCGCCCAACCAUCGGAUUUGCUUCUGUGAUGGGGCGGUAGAGGGAGUCCUGGAUUAAGGGCUCCUCGGGUGUCCGGGUUGUGUGAUAUGGGCAGGACUGAUGGGCCGUGAAGAUACAAGGUAGAAGGCCUUUUCCCGUGUCCGGAUAGGACUCUCCUUUAUGUGGAUGACAAGAUUGGCGUCCAGAUGUAUAGUUCCCUUCUUCUAUAAACCGACUCUGUACAACCCUAGGCCCUUCCAGUGUCUAUAUAAACCGAAGGGCUUGGUCCGUAGAGGCUAUCAGAAUUCAUAUAGGCUGGACAUCUAGGGUUUAGCCAUUACAAUCUCGAGGUAGAUCAACUCUUGUAACCCCUAUACUCAUCAAAGUCAAUCAAGCAGGAAGUAGGGUUUUACCUCCAUUAAGAGGGCCUGAACCUGGGUAAACAUCGUGUCCCCUUUGUCUCCUGUUACCUUCGAUCCUCAGAUGCACAGUUCGGGACCCCCUACCCGAGAUCGGCCGGUUUUGACACCGACAGUGGUACUUGGGCGGUGGUGGCCCGGUUGUCCCUGUUAUGCUUGGCAAACUGGUACUACCGGUGUCCGGAGCAGUUCUACCGCUCUGGACUUAGCUACCUCCGGUUCUAGGGCCAGGCGGUAGUUCCGGUGCAACUACCACCCGACGACCGCCCAUAGGGGGGACUCCCUUCUAUUUCAAGGCGGUUGUUGAGCGGUUAGUCUGGUUAAUCUUGUAACUGGUACUACCGCUCGAGCCACCGGUUGUACCGCCUGUUAGGGUUUCUGCAGCAUAACCUUGAAUCCCGUUUGUACCGGGGUUAGGAGCGGUUGUAAUUUGGGGAUGCCUAUAUAAAGGGGGUUUCUUCCACCUAGAUCCUUACCUCUUGCCUCUCUCUCUCCUCCAUUAAUGCCCUUCAAGCUUUCUUGCCUGAUCUCUCUCUCUCUAGCCACUCAAACUCUUUGAUUUGCUAGGGAUUGAAGGAGGAGACCUAGAUCUACACUUCCACCAAGGGAAAUUUGAUUUCCCCAUACUUUCUUGUGUGGAUUUUGUUACUCUUGGGUGUUUGAGCACUCUAGACGGUUGAGGUCACCUCGGAGCCAAAUUCCAUUGUGGUGAAACUCCAUGGUUUCGUUGGGAGCUGAUUGCGGCUUGAGCUACGUCGGUAUUUCCCCAAAGAGGAAGGGAUGAUGCAGCACAACGAAGGUGGGUAUUUCCCUCAGUGAUGACACCAAGGUUAUCGAACCGGUAGGAGAAUCACGCAACACUAUGUAAACGGUACCUGCACACAAAGAACAAAUACUUGCAACCCGACGUGUUAAAGGGGUUGUCAAUCCCUUUGGGGUAACGGUGCCAGAAAUUGUUGAGUUGAUGGGAUAAAAAUAUGAUAGAUUGGAUAAAUAGAUCGCAAAUAAAAGCAAAAUAAAAUAAAGUGCAGCAAGGUAUUUUUGGGUUUUUGGAAAUAUAGAUCUGAAAAUAAAAGAGAAUAAAAAUAGAUCUCGAAGGCAAAUAUGAUAAAGAAGAGACCCGGGGGGCCGUAGAUUUCACGGCUUCUCUCGAGAAAAAUAGCAUACGAUGGGUAAUCAAAAUUACUAUUGGGAAAUUGAUAGAACUUCAAAUAAUCAUGACGAUAUCCAGGCAAUGAUCAUUAUAUAGUCAUCACGUCCAAGAUUAGUAGACCGACUCGUGCCUACAUCUAUUACUAUUACUCCACACAUCGACCACUAUCUAGCAUGCAUCUAGUGUAUUAAGUUCAUGGAGAAACGGAGUAAUGCAAUAAGAAUGAUGACAUGAUGUAGACAAGAUCUAUUUAUGUAGAAAUAGAUCCCAUCUUGUUAUCCUUAAUAGCAAUGAUACAUACGUGUUGGUUCCCCUUCUGUCACUGGAAUCAAGCACGGUAAGAUCGAACCCAUCACAAAGCACCUCUUCCCAUGGCAAGAAAAGUCGAUCUAGUUGGCCUAACUAAACCAAAGAUUCGAAGAAGAAAUACGAGACUAUAAGUAAUCAUGCAUAUAAGAGAUCAAAAGACUCAAAUAACUUUCAUGGAUAAAUACAUAGAUCUGAUCAUAAACUCAAAGUUCAUCGGAUCCCAGCAAACACACCGCAAAAAAGAGUUACAUCAGAUAGAUCUCCAAGAGACCAUUGUAUUGAGAAUCAAAAGAGAGAGAGGAAGCCAUCUAGCUACUAACUACGGACCCGUAGGUCUACAGUGAACUACUCACGCAUCAUUAGAGAGGCACCAAUGAGGAUGAUGAACCCCUCCGUUAUGGUGUCUAGAUUGGAUCUAUGGUUUCUGGAACUUGCAGCUGCUGGAAUUGAUUUUCGUCGACUCCCCUAGGGUUUCUGGAAUAUUAGGGUAUUUAUAGAGCAAAGAGGCGGUGCGGGAGGGUGCCAAGGUGGGCACAACCCACCAAGGCGCGCCUAGUCCGCCAGGCGUGCCCAGGUGGGUUGUGCCCCCCUUGGGGCAUCCCUAUGGUACUUCUUCGGCCCAUCUUGUGUCUUCUGGUCCAGAAAAAUUCUCCAAAAAGUUUUACUGUGUUUGGACUCCGUUUGGUAUUGAUCUUCUGCGAAGUAAAAAAACAAGCAAAAAAACAGCAACUGGCACUGGGCGCUAUGUCAAUAGGUUAGUCCCAAAAAAUUGAUAUAAAGUUGCUAUAAAAUGAUUGUAAAACAUCCAAGAAUGAUAAUAUAACAGCGUCGAACAAUAAAAAAUUAUAGAUACGUUGCAGACGUAUCAGCAUCCCCAAGCUUAAUUCCUGCUCGUCCUCGAGUAGGUAAAUGAUAAAAAACAGAUUUUUUGAUGUGGAAUGUUGCCUAACAUGUUUAUCACAUUUUCUUUUCUUUGUAGCAUGGACAUUUGGACUUCUAUAUGAUUCAAAGCAAUAGUCUAGUUUUGACAUGAAGAUUUCAAUACUCAAGCAUAUCAACAAGCAACCAUGUCUUUCAAAAUAUCAACACUAAAGCAAGUUAUCCCUAGCCCAUUAUGCUCAAUCAUUAAUCCAUUCAUGAAACACACUCGCAUAUUAGCUACACCCAAUGCUCUCAAGUACGAUCAUACUGCCCCUUGGUUGGUGCUUUAUAAGAGAAGAUGGAGACUCAAAAUAAAAAUUGCAUAAAGUAAAUAGAAAGGCCCUUCACGGAGGGAAGUAGGGAUUUGUAGAGGUGCCAGAGCUCAAAGCGAAAAAGAUAGAGAUAAAAAACCUUUUGGGUGGCAUGCUUUUCCUUUCAACGAAAACGAUCGCGUAGUUCCCAAUACUUUACAUGCUAGAUGUAUCAUAGGGAGUUCGCAAACAGAAAAUAAAGUUUAUUCCUUUUUCCACCAUACUCACUUUCCAUGGCUAUCAGUAUCCACGGAUGCCUUCGAUACCAACACUUUCCAAGGAAUUUAUUAUUUGACAACAUAAAGUAAAUCCAUUUUUCAUUUCGGGACUGGGCAUCCCUAAUACCUUUCUCGUACUCUCAUGCAAUGGCAAGUGAAUAAACACUCAUCUUGAGAAUCACACAUCUAGCAUGGAAAUAUAUCAGCCACCUCCUACCAUUUCAUGAGCGGUACGAGCACACAAAAGGGAAAUUUAUUUUGAAAAUUAGAGAUGGCACAUACAAAUUUGCUUAGAACGGCAAAAGAAUACCGCAUAUUGUUGGGGAACGUAGUAAUUUAAAAAAAUUCCUACGCACACGCAAGAUCAUGGUGAUGCAUAGCAACAAGAGGGGAGAGUGUCGUCCACAUACCCUUGUAGACCGUUAAGCGGAAGCGUUAUGACAACGCGGUUGAUGUAGUCGUACGUCUUCACGAUCGACCAAUCCUCAGUACCGAACGUACGGCACCUCCGCGUUCAGCACACGUUCAGCUCGGUGACGUCCCGCGAACUCACAAUCCAGUAGAGCUCAAGGGAGAGUAUUGUCAGCACGACGGCGUGGUGACGAUGUUGAUGAAGCUACCGUCGCAGGGCUUCGCCUAAGCACUGCUACGGUAUGACCGAGGUGGAUUAUGGUGGAGGGGGGCACCGCACACGGCUGGGAGAGAUCAAUGAUCAACUUGUGUGUCUAUGGGGUGCCCCCCUGCCCCCGUAUAUAAAGGAGCUAGGGGGAAGGCGGCCGGCCAGGAGGAGGGCGCGGCAAGGGGGAGUCCUACUCCCACCGGGAGUAGGACUCCUCCUUUCCUAGUAGGAGUAGGAGAAGGGGGAAGGGAAGGAGAGAGGAGGAAGGAAAGGGGGGCGCCGCCCCCUCCCCCCUCCUUGUCCAAUUCGGACUAGAGGGGGAGGGGGCACGCGGUCUGCCCUGGCCGCCCCUCCUCUUCUCCACUAAGGCCCAUAAGGCCCAAUAUACUCCCCGGGGGGUUCCGGUAACCCCCCCGAUACUCCGGUAUAUGUCUGAAACCUCCCGAAACACUUCCGGUGUCCGAACAUAGUCGUCCAAUAUAUCGAUCUUUACGUCUCGACCAUUUCGAGACUCCUCGUCAUGUCCGUGAUCAUACCCGGGACUCCGAACUACCUUCGGUACAUCAAAACACAAAAACUCAUAAUACCGAUCGUCACAGAACUUUAAGCGUGUGGACCCUAUGGGUUCGAGAACUAUGUAGACAUGACCGAGACACGUCUCCGGUCAAUAACCAAUAGCAGAACCUGGAUGCUCAUAUUGGUUCCUACAUAUUCUACGAAGAUCUUUAUCGGUCAAACCGCAUAACAACAUACGUUGUUCCCUUUGUCAUCGGUAUGUUACUUGCCCGAGAUUCGAUCAUCGGUAUCUCAAUUCCUAGCUCAAUCUCGUUACCGACAAGUCUCUUUACUCGUUCCGUAAUGCAUCAUCCCGCAACUAACUCAUUAGUCACAUUGCUUGUUAGGCUUAUGGAGAUGUGCAUUACCGAGAGGGCCCAGAGAUACCUCUCCGACAAUCGGAGUGACAAAUCCUAUUCUCGAUCUAUGCCAACUCAACAAGUACCAUCUUAGACACCUGUAGAGCACCUUUAUAAUCACCCAGUUACGUUGUGAUGUUUGGUAGCACACAAAGUGUUCCUCCGGUAAUAGGGAGUUGCAUAAUCUCAUAGUCAUAGGAACAUGUAUAAGUCAUGAAGAAAGCAAUAGCAGUAAACUAAACGAUCAAGUGCUAAGCUAACGGAAUGGGUCAAGUCAAUCACAUCAUUCUCCUAAUGAUGUGAUCCCGUUAAUCAAAUGACAACUCAUGUCUAUGGCUAGGAAACUCAACCAUCUUUGAUCAACGAGCUAGUCAAGUAGAAGCAUACUAGCGACACUAUGUUUGUCUAUGUAUUCACACAUGUAUUAUGUUUCCGGUUCAUACAAUUCUAGCAUGAAUAAUAAACAUUUAUCAUGAUAUGAGGAAAUAAAUAAUAACUUUAUUAUUGCCUCUAGGGCAUAUUUCCUUCAGUCUACCACUUGCACUAGAGUCAAUAAUCUAGAUUACACAGUAAUGAGUCUAACACCCAUGGAGUCUUGGUGCUGAUCAUGUUUUGCUCGUGGAAGAGGCUUAGUCAACGGGUCUACAACAUUCAGAUCCGUAUGUAUCUUGCAAAUCUCUAUGUCUCCCACCUGGACUUGAUCCCGGAUGGAAUUGAAGCGUCUCUUGAUGUGCUUGGUUCUCUUGUGAAAUCUGGAUUCCUUUGCCAAGGCAAUUGCACUAGUAUUGUCACAAAAGAUUUUCAUUGGACCUGAUGCACUAGGUAUGACACCUAGAUCGGAUAUGAACUCCUUCAUUCAGACUCCUUCAUUUGCUGCUUCCGAAGCAGCUAUGUACUCCGCUUCACACGUAGAUCCCGCCAUGACGCUUUGUUUAGAACUGCACCAACUGACAACUCCACCGUUCAAUGUAAACACGUAUCCGGUUUGCGAUUUAGAAUCGUCUGGAUCAGUGUCAAAGCUUGCAUCAACGUAACCAUUUACGACGAGCUCUUUGUCACCUCCAUAAAUGAGAAACAUAUCCUUAGUACUUUUCAGGUAUUUCAGGAUGUUCUUGACCGCUGUCCGGUGAUCCACUCCUGGAUUACUUUGGUACCUCCCUGCUAAGCUAAUAGCAAGGCACACAUCAGGUCUGGUACAUAGCAUUGCAUACAUGAUAGAGCCUAUGGCAGAAGCAUAGGGAACACUUUUCAUUUUCUCUCUAUCUUCUACAGUGGUCGGGCAUUGAGUCUGACUCAACUUCACACCUUGUAACACAGGCAAGUACCCUUUCUUUGCUUGAUCCAUUUUGAACUUUUUCAAAACUUUGUCAAGGUAUGUGCUUUGUGAAAGUCCAAUUAAGCGUCUUGAUCUAUCUCUAUAGAUCUUGAUGCCCAAUAUAUAAGCAGCUUCACCGAUGUCUUUUAUUGAAAAACUCUUAUUCAAGUAUCCUUUCAUGCUAUCCAGAAAUUCUAUAUCAUUUCCAAUUAGCAAUAUGCCAUCCACAUAUAAUAUUAGAAAUGCUACAGAGCUCCCACUCACUUUCUUGUAAAUACAGGCUUCUCCAAAAGUCUGUAUAAAACCAUAUGCUUUGAUCACACUAUCAAAACGUUUAUUCCAACUCCGAGAAGCUUGCACCAGUCCAUAAAUGGAUCGCUGGAGCUUGCACACUUUGUUAGCUCCCUUUGGAUCGACAAAACCUUUCGGUUGCAUCAUAUACAACUCUUCUUCCAGAAAUCCAUUCAGGAAUGCAGUUUUGACAUCCAUUUGCCAAAUUUCAUAAUCAUAAAAUGCGGCAAUUGCUAACAUGAUUCGGACAGACUUAAGCAUCGCUACGGGUGAGAAAGUAUCAUCGUAGUCAACUCCUUGAACUUGUCGAAAACCUUUCGCAACAAGUCGAGCUUUGUAGACAGUAACAUUACCGUCAGCGUCAGUCUUCUUCUUGAAGAUCCAUUUAUUCUCUCUGGCUUGCCGAUCAUCGGGCAAGUCAACCAAAGUCCACACUUUGUUCUCAUACAUGGAUCCCAUCUCAGAUUUCGUGGCCUCAAGCCAUUUUGCGGAAUCUGGGCUCACCAUCGCUUCUUCAUAGUUCGUAGGUUUGCCUUGGUCAAGUAACAUGACCUCCAGAAUAGGAUUACCGUACCACUCUGGUGCGGAUCUUACUCUGGUUGACCUACGAGGUUCGGUAGUAACUUGAUCUGAAGUUUCAUGAUCAAUAUCAUUAGCUUCUUCACUGAUUGGUGUAGGCGUCACAGGAACCGAUUUCUGUGAUGAACUACUUUCCAAUAAGGGAGCAGGUACAGUUACCUCAUCAAGUUCUACUUUCCUCCCACUCACUUCUUUCGAGAGAAACUCCUUCUCUAGAAAGGAUCCAUUCUUAGCAACUAAUGUCUUGCCUUCGGAUCUGUGAUAGAAGGUGUACCCAACAGUUUCCUUUGGGUAUCCUAUGAAGACACAUUUCUCCAAUUUGGGUUCGAGCUUAUCAGGUUGAAGCUUUUUCACAUAAGCAUCGCAGCCCCAAACUUUAAGAAAUGACAACUUUGCUUUCUUGCCAAACCACAGUUCAUAAGGCGUCGUCUCAACGGAUUUCGAUGGUGCCCUAUUUAACGUGAAUGCAGCCGUCUCUAAAGCAUAACCCCAAAACGAUAGCGGUAAAUUAGUAAGAGACAUCAUAGAUCGCACCAUAUCUAGUAAAGUACGAUUACGACGUUCGGACACACCAUUUCGCUGUGGUGUUCCGGGUGGCGUGAGUUGCGAAACUAUUCCGCAUUGUUUCAAAUGUAGACCAAACUCGUAACUCAAAUAUUCUCCUCCACGAUCAGAUCGUAGAAACUUUAUUUUCUUUUUACAAGGAUUUUCCACUUCACUCUGAACUUCAUUGAACUUUUCAAAUGUCUCAGAAUUAUGUUUCAUUAAGUAUAUACCCAUAUCUGCUCAAAUCAUCUGUGAAGGUGAGAAAAUAACGAUACCCGCUGCGAGCCUCAAUAUUCAUCGGACCACAUACAUCAGUAUGUAUGAUCUCCAACAAAUCUGUUGCUCGCUCCAUUUUUUCGGAGAACGACGUUUUAGCCAUCUUGCCCAUGAGGCAUGGUUCGCAAGUACCAAGUGAUUCAUAAUCAAGUGAUUCCAAAAGUCCAUCAGUAUGGAGUUUCUUCAUGCGCUUCACACCAAUAUGUCCUAAACGGCAGUGCCACAAAUAAGUUGCACUAUCAUUAUCAACUCUGCAUCUUGUGGCUUCAAUAUUAUGAAUAUGUGUAUCACUACUAUCGAGAUUUAAUAAAAAUAGACCACUCUUCAAGGGUGCAUGACCAUAAAAGAUAUUACUCAUAUAAAUAGAACAACCAUUAUUAUCUGAUUUAAAUGAAUAACCGUCUCGCAUCAAACAAGAUCUAGAUAUAAUGUUCAUGCUUAACGCUGGCACCAAAUAACAAUUAUUCAGGUCUAAAACUAAUCCCAAAGGUAGAUGUAGAGGUAGCGUGCCGACCGCGAUAAGAUCGACUUUGGAACCAUUUCCCACGCGCAUCAUCACCUCGUCCUUAGCCAAUCUUCGCUUAAUCCGUAGUCCCUGUUUCGAGUUGCAAAUAUUAGCAACAGAACCAGUAUCAAAUACCCAGGUGCUACUGCGAGCAUUAGUAAGGUACACAUCAAUAACAUGUAUAACACUUUUACCUUUGUUCACCUUGCCAUCCUUCUUAUCCGCCAAAUACAUGGGGCAGUUCCACUUCCAGUGACCAGUCUGUUUGCAGUAGAAGCACUCGAUCUCAGGCUUAGGUCCAGACUUGGGUUUCUUCUCCUGAGCAGCAACUUGUUUGCUGUUCUUCUUGAAGUUGCUCUUCUUCUUCCAUUUACCCUUUUUCUUGAAACUGGUGGUCUUGUUGACCAUCAACACUUGAUGCUCCUUCUUGAUUUCUACCUCCGCAGCCUUUAGCAUUGCGAAGAGCUCGGGAAUUGUCUUAUCCAUCCCUUGCAUAUUAUAGUUCAUCACAAAGCUCUUGUAGCUUGGUGGCAGUGAUUGAAGAAUUCUGUCAAUGACACUAUCAUCCGGAAGAUUAACUCCCAGUUGAAUCAAGUGAUUAUUAUACCCAGACAUUUUGAGUAUAUGUUCACUGACAGAACUAUUCUCCUCCAUCUUGCAACUAUAGAACUUAUUGGAGACUUCAUAUCUCUCAAUCCGAGCAUUUGCUUGAAAUAUUAACUUCAACUCCUGGAACAUCUCAUAUGCUCCAUGACGUUCAAAACGUCGUUGAAGUCCCGGUUCUAAGCCGUAAAGCAUGGCACACUGAACUAUCGAGUAGUCAUCAGCUUUGCUCUGCCAGACAUUCUUAACGUCGUCAGUUGCAUCUACAGCAGGCCUGGCACCCAGCGGUGCUUCCAGGACGUAAUUCUUCUGUGCAGCAAUGAGGAUAAUCCUCAAGUUACGGACCCAGUCCGUGUAAUUGCUACCAUCAUCUUUCAACUUUGCUUUCUCAAGGAACGCAUUAAAAUUCAACGGAACAACAGCACGGGCCAUCUAUCUACAACAACAUAGACAAGCAAAAUACUAUCAGGUACUAAGUUCAUGAUAAAUUAAAGUUCAAUUAAUCAUAUUACUUAAGAACUCCCACUUAGAUAGACAUCCCUCGAAUCAUCUAAGUGAUCACGUGAUCCAUCUCAACUAAACCAUGUCCGAUCAUCACGUGAGAUGGAGUAGUUUUCAAUGGUGAACAUCACUAUGUUGAUCAUAUCUACUAUAUGAUUCACGCUCAACCUUUCGGUCUCAGUGUUCCGAGGCCAUAUCUGCAUAUGCUAGGCUCGUCAAGUUUAACCCGAGUAUUCUGCGUGUGCAAAACUGUCUUACACCCGUUGUAUUUGAACGGAGAGCUUAUCACACCCGAUCAUCACGUGGUGUCUCGGCACGACGAACUUUAGCAACGGUGCAUACUCAGGGAGAACACUUAUACCUUGAAAUUUAGUGAGAGAUCAUCUUAUAAUGCUACCGUCAAUCAAAGCAGAAUAAGAUGCAUAAAGGAUAAACAUCACAUGCAAUCAAUAUAAGUGAUAUGAUAUGGCCAUCAUCAUCUUGUGCCUUUGAUCUCCAUCUCCAAAGCACCGUCAUGAUCACCAUCGUCACCGGCGCGACACCUUGAUCUCCAUCGUAGCAUCAUUGUCGUCUCACCAACUAUUGCUUCUACGACUAUCGCUACCGCUUAGUGAUAAAGUAAAGCAAUUACAGGGCGAUUGCAUUGCAUACAAUAAAGCGACAACCAUAUGGCUCCUGCGAGUUGCCGAUAACUCCGUUACAAAACAUGAUCAUCUCAUACAAUAAAAUAUAGCAUCAUGUCUUGACCAUAUCACAUCACAACAUGCCCUGCAAAAACAAGUUAGACGUCCUCUACUUUGUUGUUGCAAGUUUUACGUGGCUGCUACGGGCUGAGCAAGAACCGUUCUUACCUACGCAUCAAAAUCACAACGAUAGUUCGUCAAGUUAGUGUUGUUUUAACCUUCUCAAGGACCGGGCGUAGCCACACUCAGUUCAACUAAAGUUGGAGAAACUGACACCCGCCAGUCACCUGUGUGCAAAGCACGUCGGUAGAACCAGUCUCGCGUAAGCGUACGCGUAAUGUCGGUCCAGGCCGCUUCAUCCAACAAUACCGCUGAACCAAAGUAUGACAUGUUGGUAAGCAGUAUGACUUGUAUUUCCCACAACUCACUUGUGUUCUACUCGUGCAUAUAACAUCUACGCAUAAACCUGGCUCUGAUACCACUGUUGGGGAAUGUAGUAAUUUCAAAAAAAAUCCUACGCACACGCAAGAUCAUGGUGAUGCAUAGCAAUGAGAGGGGAGAGUGUCGUCCACAUACCCUUGUAGACCGUUAAGCGGAAGCAUUAUGACAACGCGGUUGAUGUAGUCGUACGUCUUCACGAUCGACCGAUCCUCAGUACCGAACGUACGGCACCUCCGCGUUCAGCACACGUUCAGCUCGGUGACGUCCCGCGAACUCACGAUCCAGUAGAGCUCGAGGGAGAGUAUCGUCAGCACGACGGAGUGGUGACGAUGUUGAUGAAUCUACCAUCGCAGGGCUUCACCUAAGCACUGCUACAAUAUGACCGAGGUGGAUUAUGAUGGAGGGGGGCACCGCACACGGCUGGGAGAGAUCAAUGAUCAACUUGUGUGUCUAUGGGGUGCCCCCUGCCCCCGUAUAUAAAGGAGCUAGGGGGGAGGCGGCCGGCCAGGAGGAGGGCGCGCCAAGGGGGGAGUCCUACUCCCACCGGGAGUAGGACUCCUCCUUUCCUAGUAGGAGUAGGAGAAGGGGGGAGGGAAGGAGAGAGGAGGAAGGAAAGGGGGGGGCCGCCCCCUCCCCCCUCCUUGUCCAAUUCNNNNNNNNNNNNNNNNNNNNNNNNNNNNNNNNNNNNNNNNNNNNNNNNNNNNNNNNNNNNNNNNNNNNNNNNNNNNNNNNNNNNNNNNNNNNNNNNNNNNNNNNNNNNNNNNNNNNNNNNNNNNNNNNNNNNNNNNNNNNNNNNNNNNNNNNNNNNNNNNNNNNNNNNNNNNNNNNNNNNNNNNNNNNNNNNNNNNNNNNNNNNNNNNNNNNNNNNNNNNNNNNNNNNNNNNNNNNNNNNNNNNNNNNNNNNNNNNNNNNNNNNNNNNNNNNNNNNNNNNNNNNNNNNNNNNNGUCUGAAACCUCCCGAAACACUUCCGGUGUCCGAACAUAGUCGUCCAAUAUAUCGAUCUUUACGCCUCGACCAUUUCGAGACUCCUCGUCAUGUCCGUGAUCAUAUCCGGGACUCCGAACUACCUUUGGUACAUCAAAACACAAAAACUCAUAAUACCGAUCGUCACAGAACUUUAAGUGUGUGGACCCUACGGGUUCGAGAACUAUGUAGACAUGACCGAGACAUGUCUCCGGUAAAUAACCAAUACCGGAACCUAGAUGCUCAUAUUGGUUCCUACAUAUUCUACGAAGAUCUUUAUCGAUCAAACCGCAUAACAACAUACGUUGUUCCCUUUGUCAUCGGUAUGUUACUUGCCCGAGAUUCAAUCAUCGGUAUCUCAAUACCUAGCUCAAUCUCGUUACCGGCAAGUCUCUUUACUCGUUCUGUAAUGCAUCAUCCCGCAACUAACUCAUUAGUCACAUUGCUUGCAAGGCUUAUAGUGAUGUGCAUUACCAAGAGGGUCCAGAGAUACCUCUCCGACAAUCGGAGUGACAAAUCCUAUUCUCGAUCUAUGCCAACUCAACAAGUACCAUCGGAGACAGUUGUAGAGCACCUUUAUAAUCACCCAGUUACGUUGUGACGUUUGGUAGCACACAAAGUGUUCCUCCGGUAAUCGGGAGUUGCAUAAUCUCAUAGUCAUAGGAACAUGUAUAAGUCAUGAAGAAAGCAAUAGCAGUAAACUAAACGAUCAAGUGCUAAGCUAACGGAAUGGGUCAAGUCAAUCACAUCAUUCUCCUAAUGAUGUGAUCCCGUUAAUCAAAUGCCAACUCAUGUCUAUGGCUAGGAAACUCAACCAUCUUUGAUCAACGAGCUAGUCAAGUAGAGGCAUACUAGUGACACUAUGUUUGUCUAUGUAUUCACACAUGUAUUAUGUUUCCGGUUAAUACAAUUCUAGCAUGACUAAUAAACAUUUAUCAUGAUAUGAGGAAAUAAAUAAUAACUUUAUCAUUGCCUCUAGGGCAUAUUUCCUUCACAUAUAGGUAGGUAAUAGUGGACUCAUAUGGCAAAACUGGUUUAAGGAUUUUGGAUGCACAAGUAGUGAUCAUACUAAGUGCAAAUCAAGGCUAGCAAAAGAUUGAGAAGCAUCCAACCAAGAAACGAAAAAUCUCAUAAGCGAGCAUUAAGCAUAACUAACACCGAGUAAUGCACCACAAGUAGGAUGUAAUUUCAUUGCAUAACUAUUGACUUUCGUGCUUUCAUAGGGAAUCACAAACCUUAACACCAAUAUUCUUACUAAAGCAUAAUUACUCAUCAACAUGACUCACAUAUUAUAUCAUCAUAUCGCAAAACUAUUACAAUGAAUCAAGUUUAUUUUUUCCAAUGAUCUUCAUGAAAGUUUUUAUUAUAUCCCUCUUGAAUAUCUAUCACUCUGGGACUAAUUUCAUAUGUUGCUUUUGAUAGCUCAAACAAAUCUAAGUGAAGAACAUAAGCAUAAAAAAUUUCUUCUCUCAAAAUAAUUUAAGUGAAGCAUGAGAGAAUUUCUAAAAAACUUUUUACUAACUUGUCGGCGUUCUGGGAACGGGGGUCCCCAGACUUGCCUGCCUGCAGCCCACAGCGUGGCUAAGCAGCAGGCCGUACGGCCCAUCUUCGUCAACAAGGCACCCAAGACCCUCGCAAGGGUCCAAGCCUCGCGAGGCGGACGACGCAAGACCUCCUCUGGAGCGGCCUAGCCAAGCAGGCUCACGAGGAGCAGAGAUAUCAAGGUGAGGCAAACCUCACGAGGCUUUCGUGACGUGAGCCAUGACGAACGGUACCAGGCAGGUGCCAGGCGGACGCCAGUGCGCGCAGCGUCUCUAUUUCCUCUUUGGUGCUAAGGAGGCCAGCGCAGGCCAAGAGUACCGAGGCAUCAGGCAAAGGUUGCCAUAUUGGUGCAACGAGACCAAGACCGGAGGACGGCAAGGUGGAGGUCAUCGUGGAGCCCAAGACGGCGUCACCCCAGGGCUUUUCGCAGGCAAAGACCGCUUUUGUCAGGAUAGCUGGUACUAGUUGUCCCCCUUCAAAUUUGCCCGCUGUUGUUGGCUCCCUUCCCGCUCGAUAUUUGGGAAGAGGACCAGGGCCUAUAUAAGUAGAGCUAGCCACCACGGUAGGGAGAGAUCGAAUCCUCACACCACAAGUUCACAAGCACAAGAACACCUCAACCUCAGGAGGCUGUUCUUCCCUUGUACUGUUCAUCAUCAGCCCAAGAGGCAAUCCACCACCACCACACUGGAGUAGGGUAUUACACCACAACGGUGGCCCGAACCAGUAUAAACCCCGUGUCUUUCUGUGUUGCAAGUUCGCCGAGUUCAUCCGCGAGAUCUUAGCGAGCUAGAGCGUAGAUCGGUAGGAGGGAGAGACUUCGCGCGCACCCCAGUGUUCGAACCUUAAGGGUUUGCCGGAACCCCACAUCCGACAUUUGGCGCGCCAGGUAGGGGUGCGCCGGAGCUUCUUCUCCGCCAGUCAGCUCUCCGACGCUCCCCAGCCAUGAUGUCUGGUGAUUCAAGGGCCGGCUCCGACUGCUGGGCAGCCUGGCCAGCCCGGGCAGCGCCGCCUGCCCAUGAAGGUCUCGACCCUGCACUCCAAGCGGCACGGGCGCCGCCAAACCCCGCCGGGCGCGGGCAGCGCGGCCAGGCGUCAUCCACCCUCACCCCACGACAGGUACGAGCUGCGGCAAGAGCGGCGAGUCAUGCCGCAGCAACGGCGCCGCACUCACGGCGGGAGCAAGCAAACAUGCGGGCAGCACUCACCGUGGCAAGGGAGCUGCUGCGGUGCAGGCUGAUGGAGAGCGGCCGGGACACGCUGCUUGAGCGUGUUGCCGAGCUGCUGGACGUAGCGGCGUCGGGAGCACCACCCUUCUGCUAUCGACUUCCUCCCCAGGCCACUGCAGGGCCGCGCGGCGAACCUCAACACGUCCGCGCGCCAUCGACUACGCCCGGGGGCUUCAUCAACAUCUACACGGCCGGCGGCGUAGGGGGCUCCAACUCCCCCAUGCCGCCCUUGACAAGAACAAGCGCAAGCGCCGCCCCCAUGGUCCCGGCCGGAUGCCGUAUUGUCAUCCCCAGGACGCCGUCAUGGGCGGGGUAACAUGGAGCGUGGGGCACCACGGCGAGGUGUUCGGGGUGACGGCCCCGGUAGCCUACGUGCCCCGCAUGAUGGACCAAGGGUACGCACCAGAGGACGACCUCGGCCCAUUCACUGGAGAAGAUUGGGGGGAGGGGGCGCUAGGAGCCGAAGCCUUCCAAGAACCAACGGAGAACCACAACGAUCGCGCCGGCAGCGGCAACUACAGGGUACCGCUAGUCUCUCAGGAACAGGCUUAUGCUAACCAUGGACUACAGAUGAAUCACGUUGCAGCGUCGACCGACGGCCCAGGCACGGCGGCACCCGUCCCAACCAGGGAGACACGCUGGGGGCCACCGAGAGGGAUCCAGGAUCAAGGCCCCUCCCCGCGGCGCGCGACGCCUGACGACACCCGGAGGUAGGCCCUCUGUCGGGGAGGCUUCGACAACCCUUCCCCCGGCAGAGGACCAGUGGUCGCCGAGGGAACCGCUGGCGUCCUCUUUCCCUCCUCUGUGUCAUCCUGGUGACCGGCCGGCUCAGAGGAGGUCAAGAGUGGCGCAAGGCGGGGACCUCGUCUGGCGAUAUGAAGCAAGGCCAGUACCUGUGAAGAAGGCCCAGUGCCUGUGGAGCUCGCCGCCCGUGACACUCUCACGUAAUAAUGAGUUGGGGCUGUACACGCCCUGGAGUCUCAGGGGUGCCGGCCUCAGGCCCUGGGGCUCCCUCCCACGUCUAGUGGCAGCAGUUAGCUCUGGGCUGGUGAGAAGACUUGAAGACCAGAAGACUAGACUAGGUGCCGGACGCGGCCUUUUGCUUUGGAUCUCUCUUUCUGUAGCUUUGCUUUCUGGAUCUGGAUUUGAGUUGAAGCUGAGUUUUUAUCGAUGCGCUCGGGGGGAGCCUUUUCUCGUUUGAGCAAUUUCUUGCCUUCUGGAUCUCGUUUUGUUUGGGACUCAUGUCCUUCGCCUUUCCCCCACGAGCUCCUCGCGAGCAGGACUGCGCAAAGCACGUGCGCGCCAAGCACGCGCUAACGCUACAACUGGCGCUCACCUCACGUGGGGCCCCUUCCAACGGGGCGACGAGCUCCGCAAGGUUCUCAGGAACUCAACACAUCGCAGCCCAGCUCAAAGUUGGCGCUGACUAAGGUAAACCAAGACAGAAAACUCGCAUCAGGAUUCACAAGUUCACGAGGACACAAACUCACAUCGCAUGGAAAAGUAAAAAACUGCAGUUUGCUUACAUGAGGGGCUCCCCCUCUCAAAAUGCUCUCACAAAGUUUUUCAAGGGCACGCCCGAGUUUGUGCGCAGGGUGAAAUGAUAGGAGAACAAGGGAUCAACCAGAAAUGUCGCUCACCGCGUCACCCGUGGAUGCGUCACUCGCGUCGUCAUCGUCUUCAUCGGCAUUGUCGCCGCCAUCGGCGACGCCCCCGACGCCGUCGUCAACCACGUCGCCUUCGUCUGCGGCGACCACCACCGCGUCGUCCUCGGGAGUGAAGGCCCUGACCAACGCGUCCACAUUGUCCUCAACCCAACGCGCUAGGUCGCCCCGAACGGCCGUGGGUACGGGGGAGAUGGCGGCGUCGAAAUCAAAGUUAGGGUUGGCAUUCAGGAGGUGGCUGAAGACGCGGGAGAAAGCGCGCUCGAGCAGGCCACGACCCCUUUCCUCCACAAGCUGGCGAGCUCUGGCAGAUCAGGCCUCCAGGCGCGUCACCACCUCGGUGAAGAAGGUCAGGUGGCUGGCAUAGUCAUUCGAGUGAGGGGCCGGCGCCUCCACGUCGCAGAUAUGGCCCAGGGCGAUAUUGGCCCUGUUCCGGAGAUCCUGAAGCAUAGGGGUAUGCUCGUGCUCCAGUGUGCGCCGCUGAAGCACUUCUUCCGUGUUCUGCCUCGCGACGGCCUCAGCGUCAUCAACCCGCCUCCGGAGGGAACGCAGCUCGGCGCGGGCGGAGGCCAAGUCCGCCUGCACAGUGACCAAGGCGGCGGCCGUGGCUUCCGCGCGCCUCUCAGCCUCGUCCAACCUGGGCCUGAGGGCAGCGGCCCUGCCCUCGUCCUCCAUGCCCGCGAGCUUCAGCUUCAGGUCGUAAUUGCCCUCCAGGUCCGCGCGAACCUCGGCCACCCGGUGGUUCACCUCCUCCUCAACUCUAGCCUCGCGAGCCCCGACGGCGUCUUUUGCUUGGGCCACUUGACGCUCCCUCGUCUCCAGUUGCUCGAGCUCGCGGCUACGCUCCAUGGCCUCCAGGGCCAGCGCCUCCUCACGCUUCCGGACCUCCUCUUCCUCCGCGGGUGUCCCCCUCAGCGACGCAAGAGCGGCCCUGCGCGCCUCCACUUGCUGCUCAAGAGACGCGCUCCAGGCCUGGAGCUCCCACGCGCGCUUCUCCGCAGCCUCGCGGCGGCGAUCGGCCUCGCGAGCCCCUUCCAAGGCUCGUGAGCGGGCUUCGUGGGAAACCUGGAGAGACGCCUCGGCCUUCGCGUUCUCAAAGUCACGCUGAUAGCGGCCGAGGUUGAUGGCCACCUUCAGCUUGCGCCGCUCCUCCGCCAGCCGGAGACCUUCAGCCUCAAGACGCGAAUCGACACUCGCGAGUUCUUCACCAAGUCGGCUCAUCGCGUUCAUCGCCUCCUGGAAGAGCUCAUGGCGAACCACGCUCCGCCCGCGCUCAAGCUCGAACGCCCGGCCUUCUUCGUCCUCCACCUCAUGGGCUACGGGCGGGGCGCCAAGCGGCGCGCCACCCCUCGGCAGGGGGCUGGGGACUGGCGCCACACUCGACACCAGCCCGUCGUCGCGAGAAGCCCAAUCCGGCUGGGGCUCGCUGCUCGAAGAGGAGCCGAAGAUCGAAGCCAACAAGUUGCCGUCAAAGACCAGCGAAGGAGUCUUGGGCAUGCUUGCCAAGCUCCACGCCAGACCAAGGGGGAGGAGCGACGAGGCCGCAGGUUCAGCGCGCCAGGAAGGCAGGAGUGCCUCUUCAACAAACCCUGCUCCAGGGGCAACCAGCGGACUCGGAGCGCUCGAGGCCAGCGGAAGAUUUAAGGAAGAGGGAGGCUGUUUCUCAAGAGACUCAGCAGCCUCAGUGGAAGGAGCCCUGAAAGACUGGCAUCAGAAGAAGAAAGCAGCAUACAGAGAGCCACAGCGGUACGAUACUUAGACGUCAAUGGUGAUGUACUUCCUCCGCUUCAGCGGUCCAAAGAUGUUGCUACCGCUGGGAGAUCCUUUCCUCUUGCGGAGCUCCUCGAAGUCCACACAAAGACGACCAAAACGCUGGACGUGACGGCCGGUGCACGGCGGGGCCGAAGAAGAGCUCAGAAGAAUAUCUUCAGGGGUACCCGGUUGCGGCGAACAGCCGGGCACCAUUUCACCACGACCUCCCGAGGCUCCUGACUUGGCCUCGGGAGUCGCAUACAGCGUCUCCUCAGCAACCGACGCCUCAGGAGGGGAGUGGCAGGCUCCUGAGGACGAUGCCCCAGGAUCACCACAUGGCACAUGCUCCUCAGCACUCGAGCCACCGGCCUCCUCCUGAGCUCGCCCGCCUGCACCGUCACUUGGGGCGAGCUCAGCAUCGGGGGCAAGGAAGGAAACCACGACGACGGGGUUCUCACGAGGCCCCUCCAGGCCGAUCGGCCGCGGCCCCCAUUCAUCAAAGAGAGGCAUGUCCUUUACAAAUUCAUCCUUAUUCUUGCAGCAGUACGGCAAACAGUUCUUCCCAGGCAGUUCGGCCGGCAGAAAGACACCCGACGGGACCUUGAGCACUCUUCGCCACGUCCCGAGGAGGAGCCCGGACUCCUGAAACCUCAUGUGGUCCUGGCUGCUGAGCAAGGUCCACAUUGGGCGAGAAUGGCGCUGAAGCGGAGCGACCCGGCGUUGGACGAAUUCCUUCACCACCAUUGGUGCAGUUACGCCGCGAUCCUUCAACAACCUCAACCUGAGCCAGACGCGGGCAAGGCCGGGGCUCGCGAGCCGCUGAUGGCUCCAGCCGGAGUUAGGAACGGUGGGCCCCGACGAAGCCUGAAGCAGAGGACUGAGCACACCGGCAUCGACGAACACCCAUCGUGUCUGGAAUUCGCUCGUGGAUGGAGGAAGCUCGAAAUCGAUCCCCUCGCCCGCCGUCGCAGCCACGGCCUGGAAGCUCAUGCACCUCGAGCAUUGCUGUGGGUCGGCCAGAUGCAAUGAGAAGAAGUGAUGGAGGAGAGCCACCGAAGGAGCGAUGCCCACCAUGGCUUUGCACACGAAGGCGAAGACAGCAAGAAGAGUCACAGACUGAGGGUCGAGAUGCAACAUGUGGAUCUGAUAAUGCUCAAGCACAGCAUUGAAGAAGGCGGAGAAGGGAGGAAUCAGGCCAGCCCAGAGGGCAUCUAUGAAGAUUGGGACCUCGGUGGCCGUCUGAGCCGUGCGAGUGCGAGACGCGGGCCAAGCCACCGUCUCCCUCCACUCAUUGAAGCUGGAAGAAAGCAUCGGGCGCACCUUGUUCAUGGCCUCGUCGUUGAGCACCCGAGACCGGCCGAGCGCCGGCGCAAAGGACGGAGGCGCAGCUGGAAGAGACAAAGGACUCUUCCCCUUCUCAGCUUGUUUUGGCGCCAUGGCGACGGAGCAGGCGGGGCGCAAGUCAGAUUGGAAAAGAGAAGCAGAGCCACAAGGAAGCAGGGGAAUUGGGGAAGCAAGGCGCAGGAGGCGGAGGAAUAACUGUGUAGGCCGCAGGGGGCGCAUAGCCAAGCGGAUUCAAAGGCAGCGUGGGGAAGCGGAGACGCCCACGUCCAAUCAACCGCCACGCGUCGACCAAGGCCGCAGGCUUUUGGGGCCCGCGGUGCUCCGAACUUGACCCUUGGCUUCGCCGCGAAGCCAAGCCCGAGCGCACCUUGGGCCCGGGGGCUACUGUCGGCGUUCUGGGAAUGGGGGUCCCCAGACUUGCCUGCCUACGGCCCACACCGUGGCUAAGCAGCAAGCCGUACGGCCCAUCUUCGUCAACAAGGCACCCAAGACCCUCGCGAGGGUCCAAGACUCGCGAGGCGGACGACGCAAGACCUCCUCUGGAGCGGCCUAGCCAAGCAGGCUCACGAGGAGCGGAGAUAUCAAGGCGAGGCAAAACUCACGAGGCUUUCAUGACGGGAGCCAUGACGAACGGUACCAGGCGGGUGCCAGGCGGGCGCCAGUGCGCGCAGCGUCUCUAUUUCCUCUUUGGUGCUAAGGAGGCCAGCGCAGGCGAAGAGUACCGAGGCAUCAGGCAAAGGUUGCCAUAUUGGUGCAACUAGACCAAGACCGGAGGAAGGCAAGGCGGAGGUCAUCGUGGAGCCCAAGACGGCGUCACCCCAGAGCUUUUCACAGGCGAAGACCGCUUUUGUCAGGAUAGCUUGUACUAGCUGUCCCCCUUCAAAUUUGCCCGCCGUUGUUGGCUCCCUUCCUGCUCGAUAUUUGGGAAGAAGACCAGGGCCUAUAUAAGUAGAGCUAGCCACCACGGUAGGGAGAGAUCGAAUCCUCACGCCACAAGUUCACAAGCACAAGAACACCUCAACCUCAGGAGGCUGUUCUUCCCUUGUACUGUUCAUCAUCAGCCCAAGAGGCAAUCCACCACCACCACACUGGAGUAGGGUAUUACACCACAACGGUGGCCCGAACCAGUAUAAACCCCGUGUCUUUCUGUGUUACAAGUUCGUCGAGUUCAUCCGCGAGAUCUUAGCGAGCUAGAGCGUAGAUCGGUAGGAGGGAGAGACUUCACGCGCACCCCAGUGUUCGAACCUUAAGGGUUUGCCGGAACCCCACAUCCGACAUAACUCUCAAAUAAAUCUAAGCGAAGCAUGAGAGCAUUUCUUCAAAAAUACUCAAGCACAUCAUGCUCAAAAGGAUAUAAGUGAAGCACUAGAGCAAUUCCAUAGCUUAAAAAUAUUUAAGUGAAGCAUAGAGAGCAAUUCUAACAAGUCAUAGCAUAAGUUUGGCUCUCUCAAAUAGGUGUGUCCAGCAAGGAUUCAAGACUAAAAAUAAAAAGCAAAAAAAGCAAAUACUCAUAUCAUACAAGAUGCUCCAAGCAAAACUCAUGAUAUGUGACGAAUAAAAAUAUAGCUCCAAGUAAAAUACCGAUGGUCGUUAGAAGAAAGAGGGGAUGCCACUCGGGCAUCCCCAAGCUUAGUUACUUGCUUCUCUUUUGAUAAUAGCUUGGGAUGCCAUGGGCAUCCCCAAGCUUAGGCUCUUCUUAUUCCUUAUUCCUUCAUCCAUCAUGAUCUCACCCAAAACAUGAAAACUUCAAUCACACAAAACUCAACAAGACCAUCGUGAGAUCCGUUAGUAAAAGAAAGCAAAUCACUACUAUAAGUAUUGUUGCAAACCCAUUCAUAUUUUAUUUUUGCAUUAUAUCUACUGUAUUCCAACUUUGGUAUGGCUCAAACCCCCUGAAAUAGUCCAUAGAUUCAUCAAAAUAAGCACACAACGCAAAGAAAAUAGAAUCUGUCAAAAACAAAACAGUCUGUAGCAAUCUGAAAACUUUCGAUACUUAUGUAACUCCAAAAAUUCUGAAAAAUUAGUACAAGGUGGGAAAUUUGUAUAUCAAUCUUGUGUACAAAAUCAGGAUUUUAUCACACUCCUGUUAAAAAUGAAAAUUAUUUUUCUGGGCACAAAAGUUUCUGUUUUUCAACAAUAUCAAAGCAACUAUCACCCAACAUGAUCCCAAAGGCUUUGCUUGGCACAAACACUAAUUAAAAAAAUAAAAAACACAAUCAUAACACUAGCAUAAUUUUGCAAACACUCAAGAACAGAAAGAAAAAGACAGAAAUAAAUUUUAUUUAUUGGGUUGCCUCCCAACAAGCGCAAUUGUUUUACGCCCCUAGCUAGGCAUAAAGCAAAGAUCUAAGUAUUGUCCUCUUUUGUUCUAAAUCCAUAAGAUGCCCUCAUGAUUGAUUCAUAUGGUGGCCUAAUUCUUCUUCUAGGGAAGUGUUCCAUACGCUUCCUUAGUGGAAAUUGAAAUUUAAUGUUGCCUUCUUUCAUAUCAAUCACGGCACCAAUAGUGCGUAAAAACGGUCUACCAAGAAUAAUUCGACAAGACGGAUUGCAAUCAAUAUCAAGAACAAUAAAAUCUAUGGGCACAUAAUCCCUAUUUGCAAGAAUAAGAACAUCGUUAAUUCUUCCCAUAGGCUUUUUAAUAGUAGAAUCCGCCAAGUGCAAAUUUAAAGAACAUUCUUCUAUAUCGGUAAGACCAAGCACAUCACAUAAAGAUUUCGGAAUUGUAGAAACACUAGCACCCAAGUCACAUAAAGAAAAACACUCAUAAUUUUUAAUCUUGACUUUGAUAGUAGGUUCCCAUUCAUCAUGUAAUUUUCUAGGAAUUGAAAUCUCUAAUUCCAACUUUUCUUCCAAAGCUCUCAUCAUAUCAUCAACAAUAUGUUUAGUAAAAGCUUUAUUUUGUUCAUAAGCAUGGGGUGAAUUUAUCGUGGGUUGCAACAAAGAAAUUCAAUCAGUCAAAGAGAAAUUAUCAUAAUUGAAGUCUUUGUAAUCCAAAAGAGUGGGCACAUCACUAGUUAAAGUUUUGACCUCUCCAAACCCACUUUUAUCAAUUUUCUCAACAAGAUUUUCACCCUACAAAUUUUCGGGACGCCUUUUAACUAAAGUUGACUCUUCUUCAGUCCCUUUUUCAUCAAUCUUAAUUUUACUAAACAAAGAAUCAAUAGAAGAAACACCAAUCAUUUUAAGAUCUUCAUCAUUUUUAUGAAAGCAAUCGCUAGAAAACAUUUUUUUCUAAAUAUUCUCUUUAGCUCUAAGCAUAGCGGUUCUUUUCUUGCUUUCAUCCAUAGAAACAUAUACAGGUUUAAUUGAUUCUUCAACCUUAGGAACAAAAAAUUUCAUCUUGAGAUUUUCCACAUCAUGAGAAAUUCUAUCAAUGCUUCUAGACAUAUCAUCAAUCUUACUCAACUUUUCUUCUAUCGUAGAUUCGUAGUAUUAAACUUAUUUUGAGCAUUGGUAAAUUCUUUAAUAUUAUUCUCAAGAUCAGAGGUGUUCCUAUUAUUAUUAUAAGAAGAAUUACCAUAGGAAUUAACAUAAUUAUUAGAGGAAUUUCCCGGAAAAGGUCUAGGAUUAAAAUUACCCCUAUAAGCAUUGUUAUUAAAAUUGUUUCGAGAAACAAAAUUCACAUCUAUGGCAUCACUAUUUUUCUCAAUCAAAGUAGACAAAGGCACAUAUUUAAGAUCAAUAGGAGCAUAGCAACCAACUUCAUAAGAGCAUCAACUUUUCACUCAAAGAAUUUAUUUCUUCUACCGAAUUAACCUUUUUACUAGGAGCUCUUUCGGUAUGCCAUUGUGAAUAAUUAGCCAUAAUAUUAUCAAGCAAUUUAGUAGAUUCACCUGAAGUAAUUUGCAUAAAAGUACCCCCCGCGGCGGAAUCUAAAAUAUUUCUAGAAACAAAAUUCAAUCCCACAUAAAAAAAUUGUAUGAUCAUCCAAAGAUUUAAACCAUGAGUAGGACAAUUUCUAAGCAUGAAUUUCAUUAUUUCCCAAGAUUGCGCAACAUAUUCAUGCUCAAGUUGUUUUAAAUUCAUGAUUUGUGUCCUAAGAGAAAUAAUUUUCGUGAGCGGAAAAUACUUAGUAAUAAAAGCAUCCUUGCACUUAUCCCAAGAAUCGAUACUAUUGCGAAGCAAAGAAGAAAACCAAAUUUUUGCGCGAUCUCGCAAAGAAAGCGGAAAUAAUUUCAACUUCACAAUAUCAUUGUCCACAUAUUUUUUCUUUUGCAUAUCGCAUAAUUCCACGAAUGUGUUAAGAUGGGACGCGGCAUCCUCAUUAGGAGUACCGGAAAAUUGAUCUUUCAUGACGAGAUUCAACAAAGCGGCAUUAAUAUCACAAGACUCUGCACUAGUGGCGGGAGGAGCAAUUGGAGUGCUAAUAAAAUCAUUGUUGUUGGUAUUGGAAAAAUCACACAACUUGGUGUUCUCUUGAGUCAUUGUGACUACGCAACAAGAUUGCACUCAAAAACAAAUCUGACGAGAAAAAUGACGAACGAAAAAGAGGGCCAAUAAAACGGCAAAUUUUUGUGAAGUGGGGGAGAGGAAAACAAGAGGAAAAUGGCGAAUAAUGUAAAUUUCAAGGAGAUGAGAUUUGUGAUUAGGAACCUAGUAGAUGAUGAUGAUGUAUCCCCAGCAACGGCGCCAGAAAUUCCUUUUGAUUGCGACUUGAGCUACGUCGGUGUUUCCCCAAAGAGGAAGGGAUGAUGCAGCACAACGACGGUAGGUAUUUCCCUCAGUGAUGAGACCAAGGUUAUCGAACCAGUAGGAGAAUCACGUAACACUACGUAAACGGUACCUGCACACAAAGAACAAAUACUUGCAACCCGACGUGUUAAAGGGGUUGUCAAUCCCUUUCCGGUAACGGUGCGAGAAAUUGUCGAGUUGACGGGAUAAAAAUAUGAUAGAUUGGAUAAAUAGAUCGCGAAUAAAAGCAAAAUAAAAUAAAGUGCAACAAGGUAUUUUUGGGUUUUUGGAAAUAUAGAUCUUAUAAUAAAAGCGAAGAAAAAUAGACCUCGAAGGAAAAUAUGAUAAAGAAGAGACCCGGGGGCCGUAGAUUUCACUAGUGGCUUCUAUCGAAAAAAUAGCAUACGGUGGGUAAAAAAAUUACUGUUGGGCAAUUGAUAGAACUUCAAAUAAUCAUGACGAUAUCCAGGCAAUGGUCAUUAUAUAGGCAUCACGUCCAAGAUUAGUAGACCGACUCCUGCCUGCAUCUACUACUAUUACUCCACACAUCUAGUGUAUUAAGUUCAUGGAGAAAUGGAGUAAUGCAAUAAGAACGAUGACAUGAUGUAGACAAGAUCUAUUUAUGUAGAAAUAGAUCUCAUCUUGUUAUCCUUAAUAGCAACGAUACAUACGUGUCGGUUCCCCUUCUGUCACUGUGAUCAAGCACCGUAAGAUCGAACCCAUCACAAAGCACCUCUUCCCAUGGCAAGAAAAAUCGAUAUAGUUGGCCUAACUAAACCAAAGAUUCGAAGAAGAAAUGCGAGGCUAUAAGUAAUCAUGCAUAUAAGAGAUCAAAAGACUCAAAUAACUUUCAUGGAUAAAAACAUAGAUCUGAUCAUAAACUCAAAGUUCAUCGGAUCCCAGCAAACACAUUGCAAAAAAGAGUUACAUCAAAUAGAUCUCCAAGAGACCAUUGUAUUGAGAAUCAAACGAGAGAGAGGAAUCCUUCUAGCUACUAACUAUGGACCCGUAGGUCUACAAUGAACUACUCACGCAUCAUCGAAGAGGCACCAAUGAGGAUGAUGAGCCCCUCCUUGAUGGUGUCUAGAGGAUCUGUGGUUUCUAGAACUUGCGGCCGCUGGAAUUUAUUUUCGUCAACUCCCCUAGGGUUUUGGGAAUAUUAGGGUAUUUAUAGAGCAAAGAGGUGGUGCGGGAGGCCACCGAGGUGGGCACAACCCACCAGGGCGCUCCUGGGCCCCCAGGCGCGCCCAGGUGGGUUGUGCCCCCCUCGGGGCACCCCUCUGGUACUUCUUCGACCCAUCUUGUUUCUUCUGGUCCAAAAAAAUCCUCCAAAAAGUUUCGCUGUGUUUCGACUCUGUUUGCUAUUGAUUUUCUGCAAAGUAAAAAACAAGCAAAAAACAACAACUGGCACUGGGAACUAUGUCAACAGGUUAGUCCCAAAAUGAUAUAAAGUUGCUAUAAAAUGAUUGUAAAACAUCCAAGAAUGAUAAUAUAACAACAUGGAACAAUCAAAAAUUAUAGAUACGUUGGAGACGUAUCAUGAGCCUCCAAUUUGGUUGUGGAGAGAGCCCCAACCUUGUUUGUAAAGGUCCGGUUGCCGCCUUCAAGGGCACCACUUGUGGAAUCACGGCAUCUCACAUUGUGUGAGGGCGUGAGGAGAAUACGGUGGCCCUAGUGGCUUCUUGGGGAGCAUUGUGCCUCCACACCGCUCCAAGGGAGACGUACUUCCCUUCAAAGAGAAGGAACUUCGGUAACACAUCCUCGUCUUCUCCAAAUCCACUUGUGGUUAUCUCUUACCUUUACUUUGUGCAAGCUAUUAUUGUAUUGUAUCUCUUGCUUGUGCUUGUUGUUGUUGUUGUUGUUGUUGUUGGUGGUGGUGGUGGUGGUGGUGUUGUUGUUGUUGUUGUUGUUGUUGUUGUUGUUGUUGUUGUUGUUGUUGUUGUUGUUGUUGUUGUUGUUGUUGUUGUUGUUGUUGUUGUUGUUGUUGUUGUUGUUGUUGUUGUUGUUGUUGUUGUUGUUGUUGUUGUUGUUGUUGUUGUUGUUGUUGUUGUUGUUGUUGUUGUUGUUGUUGUUGUUGUUGUUGUUGUUGUUGUUGUUGCUGUUGCUGUCGUCGUCGUCGUCGUUGUUGUUGUUGUUGUUGUUAGCAUCAUAUAGGUUGUUCACCUAGUUGCACAUCUAGACAACCUAUUUGUUGCUGAACCUAAUUUGUGAAGAAGAGCUAAAAAUGGUAGUUGCAUAUUCACCCCCUCUAGUCAAACAUAUCGAUCUUUUCACUCAUUUACAAAGAAAUGAGCUGGAAAAAUAAGUGAAUGAACUAUUAAAAUCCAGAAUUAUAAGAGCAAGUCAGAGCGCCUAGUCCUCCCCUCAAUUUUGGUUAUUAAAAAAUAUGGCACCUGGAGAUUGUGCAUAGAUUAUAGAAAGCUCAAUGAUGCAACUAUUAAGAACAAGUUUCCAAUUCCCGUCAUUGAGGAUUUUCUAGAUGAGUUACUUGGUGCAACGGUAUUUUCCAAGCUGGACAUAAGAUCAGGUUACCACCAGAUUAGGAUGCAUGAUAAAGACAUUCCUAGGACUGCCUUUUGAACUUAUUUUGGCCAUUAUGAGUUCUUGGUGAUGCCCUUUAGCCUCACCAAUGCUCUUGGAACCUUCCAAUGUCUCAUGAACAAGAUAUUUGGGAAGUAUUUGAGGAAGUUCAUACUAGUUUUGUUUGAUGACAUCUUGAUAUUCAACAAAUCCAUGGAAGAACACAUAGCACACUUGACAAUUGUCAUGCAACUCUUACAAGAACAUAAACUAUCUGCCAAGCUAUCUAAGUGUGUAUUUGCAGUACCGCUGAUUGACUACUUGGGUAACAAUAAUUCUGGUCAAGGAGUUUCUAUUGUUUCUUCCCAGGUUGCACUGUUGCUGACUGGCCAGUACCUACAACAGUCACACAACUUAGGGCAUUUCUGGUGUUGUGUGGAUACUACAUGAGUUUUGUUAAGAACUUUGGCAGCAAUGCAAGGCCUCUUCAGGAUGUACUUAAGAAAUAUAGCUUUGCUUGGACUACUGCUCAAAACACAUCUCAAACAUGCCGUGAUGUCUACACAUGUUUUAGCCCUUCCCAAUUUUUCUAAACCAUUUAUCCUUGAAAUUAAUGCAUCUGGAACUGGCUUGGGAGCAAUGAUGAUGCAACAAGGCAGACUAAUAGCAUAAUAUAGCUCCACUCUCUGCCCAAAGAAUCAUGCCCUGUCCACAUAUGUAAAGGAAGCCCUAGCUAUCAUUUAAGCACUUAAAAGAUGGAGGCACUACAUCUUGGGGUCAGAUGUUAUUAUUAGACCAGAUCAUCAGAGUCUCAAGUUUAUGAAAUAUCAGAAAAUCUUCUCAAGAAUUCAACACAAACUCAUGUUGAAGUUAUUGGAACUCAACUUCCAUUUGUACUACAAAAAGGGCAAAGAUAACAUUGUGGCAGACACUUUGUCCAGGAAAUUUUCCUUGCAAGCAAUUUCUUUAGUAACACCUACCUGGAUAUUACCUGUGGGGGAUUCUUAUCCGACAGACGGCACUGCAAAAGACUACUUGAGAAACUGCUACUAUCACCAGAGCACAGAGUGGACCAAAACAGCUUACAUGAUGGGAUCAUCACACACAAAGGCAAGGUCUAUGUAGGCAAGGACAGUGACCUACGAAAUAGGCUUCUCCAUGCCUUACAUUCUUCUGCGCUUGGAGGGCACUCUCGUAUGAAAGUUACUUACCAGGCCCAAGAAAAUAUUUUAUUGCCCAGGUAUGAAGAGAGAUGUGGAUCGGUUUGUCACUUAAUGCCCAACAUGCCAGAAAAAUAAAGGGGAAACAUGUCCUUAUCCUGGUUUCCUGGACCCACAUAAAAUCCCUGAUAUGAUGUGGAAACAUGUUAGUAUGGAUUUCAUCGAAGGGCUGCCGAAAUCAAAAAGAAAAGAAGUUAUUUUUGUGGUGGUUGACAGGCUUUCCAAAUUUGCCCAUUUUAUACCCCUUGCUCAUCCAUUUAUAGUGAUGAAAGUGGCUACAACGUUCAUUGACAAUGUAUUGAAGUUACAUGGCCCUCCAUCGGCAAUAGUUUCGGAUCAUGACCGGAUCUUCACAAGUAAACUUUGGCAGUAUAUAUUCAGAAGCAUGGGCAGUGAACUACGCCGCAGUUCUGCGUAUCAUCCACAAUCUGACAGUCACGCGGAAUGUGUGAAUCCAUGCAUCGUAAAUUACUUGCGCUGCGAGGCAUCUGAAGAGCCGACAAAGUGGACAAGUCGCCUGGCAAUGGCGGAGGACUGUUACAAGACUUCUUUUCAUUCCUCUCUUCGGAAAAUCCAUUUGAACCAAUGUACGGAUACCCACCCCAAGCAUUUGUGAAAACAUCCUCCCUGACAGUAUUAGUGAUGAAGCCGUAUUAGGGCACCUACAAUGGAGGCGCUUAGCCCGGGCGCUAGGGUCAAAUCCCCAGCUGUUAUGCCCCAAAUCCCAGCCCUUUUUUUCUGUUCCCAGCUAAGCCCAGGCUUCACGCUUGCGUCGACGCAACUUCUCGCGCCGGGCGCUAGACCUCUUUUCCUUCUGCGCUAGGACUGGAAGUGUGCCAUAUUAAGCGCCUAGCCUUGUUAUUAGCGUUCGAGGAUUGGAUGCUACAGCAGCUGCUACGUGAUUUAACUUUUCUUUUAUUUUCCUAAGCGCUCGUGCAAGCGGCCAGGCAUUGGACAUGCCCUUAGUGCUAAAGCAGAGCACUUUAUGAAUGACGGAGACAAGUGGAUGCAGCAACUGAAAGACAAUUUGGCAGCAACUCAAGCGCAUGAAAAAGUGCGGAUCGCAAGCGUAUUGAGCGCAGUUUCGACGUGUGGGACAUGGUGUAUUUGAAGGUGCAACCGUACCGCCUAAAUGUAUUUGGUUUGACGGCGCACAUCAAAUUGUAGAGCAAAUUCUACGGGCCAUUCCGAGUGAUUCCUAAACUGCGAAAAGUGGCCUAUAAAUUGCUCCUUCCAGAGAAAGCCCAUACGGGCCUCAAGCUAUUCCAUGCGCUGAUCUCCCUCUGGUUGAAGAAGACGAACGGAUCAAAACUGGGCCAGUUUUAGUACUGGACACACAGCAAAUUCCUUGCAAUAAUCUGCCUAUGGUCCAAUGAGCGAAUCUACCACUAGAUGAUGCAUCCUGGGAAGACACUGAUUUCAUCAAGACCACCUUCCCGGCCUUGUUCAAGCAAACAGUACGGGGCUGGUUCGAUCGCCAUCAACUCCUUGAGGACAAGUUCGUCUUCACGGGGAGGUAUUGUCAGGCCGAAACUGCUUCAGAUAACUCCUCAUCAAGAUUCAGUUAGUGGACGCUCAAGAUUGAAGCUCGUCACAGGAUCGGACGGCUCAUGGGACUCGCCGUCUAUUCAACCAAUAUUUACUAUUCGCUCCAUUUCAAAAUAAUACUAAAGUUAGUACAAAAUUGAGACAGUUAUUUUGAGAUGAAGGGAGUAUUAUUGUAUCAGUUCACUUGCCGAGUUGUUUCCUUUCUACCUGUUGCCAGCGGGGCAAUUUAAGCCUCCCCUGUUUCUAUGGAAUCAGCAUUGGAUUCUAUUGUGAGCCUUUGGCCAUACUAAACCUAUAGCUUCCCCAAUACUCGAUCCCACGAACCCUAGUUCCUUUCAGUCAUGCCAUCCCACGACGGGUCGCAACUACCCAACGGAAAAUAAACAGCUAGACUACAUGACAGGCAGUGGGCGUGCACUCUGCCAUGACACAACAUAUUGAACAGCAAAGUUUACUGCAACAAUUUACGUCAGUGAAUGGAGAACAAAAUAGUUGACAACUUACGAGCCACAGUACAUUAAGAAGCUAUUAAUAACUCUUACAAUAGGGCAAAAACUGAAAGAAAACUCGGGUCCACGGCGUAAGGCUAUGCUGUUUCCCUGGCAAGGCUCCUUCCCUGGCAGAUGAUCUAGACAGUUGUUAUUCCUCGGUGCUCUACCGGUACUCCUGAUGAUGGAAUCUGGCAUAUAUCGCUCCAGGGAUCAUCUGACCUGCCUCCAUCUUAAACCACCACCCUUCUGCCCAUG
rnacentral:lncRNA from 1 species